GAUGGGGACCCACCUCGUGGGUACGCCGCGUGCAUCAUCCACGCAGUAGGAAAACAAAAAGCUCAGUCUUCAGUGUCUCAGUAUUUUACUCUACUAGCCAUCGUCAAUAAUCCAAAAUUCCAAAUCAACAACGCAUUUCUACGAAGGCGUAGCUUCUUAGCCCUACGCGCACCAUAGAUACCAAGAGCAUGUUGUAUCAUCGCGCAUGUUAUACCGGGCGAUCCUCUCGUAACACCAUUUUUCAUGCACGCUUAGCGCCGGACCCCCAAUCUGAUUCGGUCACGGAUACAGCUCGAUCGGGUGGGCCGGUGAUCGAGUGGCUCGCGACGAUCACACCACCGUAGCACGAGUCCGAGCCGAGGACGAUCGGCGCGAGCUUCCGUAGCUGCGGGUAACAUAUCUUGAUCCGGAGUUGCGAACAGACCGACGGACGGACGACGACGAUCCAAGUCGAAACUCGUAGCCAGCAGAGCGUGCUUGCCCUAUGUAGGACGACGCCGAGGAGGCCUCGCCGUCGCAGCGCGUGGCGUCCUCGCCCACCAAGGGCAACGCCGUCGUCGUAGUCGUCGUCGCGAUGACGCUGCUGGGCGGCUUGGCGUGCCUAGGCCUGGGCGCCCUCUUCGCGCCGCGGGGGGGCCCCCACCACCUCGCCCGCCGCCUUGCCGCGGAGGCGGCCCGGAAGACCGCGCCGGGGACGGUCUCGAUCGCCGCCGCCGCGCGCGUGCUGCACCGUGGCGCUGCUGCUGUGUGGCGCCGCCGCCUUCCUCUGCUGCUGCGGCGUCGUGUCCGCGCGGCCCGGGCGCGGGAGGAAGGUCGGGUGGCAGAGCCAGCAGGCCCCUGUCACUGCGCAAAAAAAACCGCCUGGAGGAGCCACGGCCGGCGAGCGACCAGCUGCCCAGCCGCAGCAGCAGGAGCCGCCUCCUAACGCCACAGAGACAGAGCCCGUGGUCAGCGAGACGUCGCGGUCCGUCAAGACGGAGCAGGAGCUCCUUGCUUCCGACCCACCUGGAGCCAUGGCCACGAGCAACGACCGGGUGCCGGCCGGAAACCAGCAGAAGCCUCCUCCUCCUCCUCCUCCUCCGACCCCCAGACGGACGGCACGGCCCAGGCAACCGUCGCGGCGCUACAGCGCGAAGGAAUGGGAGCUGUGAUCCGUGUUGUUGCAACUUGCAAGGGUAUCUGAACCCUGAACUGACCCUCUCCGCAUGCUCUGCUCCUUCCUAGGGCCUAGGCUCCUUGCUCUACUGGAACAUUCCAGCUUCCCCACAGUCCAGCCAGUGAGCCAGGAGCGCGGACGCCUUGGAGAGAUGGGUAUGACACAUGCUGAAUUAUUCAGAUCACCUGUGCGUUAAGCAAUAGUCAUGCCUUCGAAUCUAGUAACUAUCUCCCACUCCCAGAUCAACAGCCUUGGCAAGAAAUUGAGGCUGGAGGUAUGGCCGGAUUAUCUGAAAGCCUGAGAGAAAUUUUGGCUGAUUUACCUGAACCUGUAUGAGAGCCUUUCUUCAGAACGUGUAUUUUGAAGCUUGUUUGUCUGAAGUAGCGGCGUUUUUUGUUUACCUGGGUUUACGUUUGUUCUUUGCUUUUGGGGUUGCAAUCCUGUUGCUUAGACAUGCAGAUCUCUAAAGUCUCAUUUAAAACAACACGAAACGCAAGAUACUUCGUAUUGAUCUUGCUUCUUAUCUACAUCGCAGUAUCUAGGAACACCAGCAAAUGAUUGGGAUGCAUAUUUUCUGUCUGCAGAUGGGUUUACUUGGCAGUAGAUAAACCAGACAGACAAUAUCUCAUACGACGAACAAACUAUGGCGCACGAUUUCAUGCUCAGUCGCACCUUGCGACCGGUCACCAUAACGCUGAAAACUCCUGAACAAUCUAUACAGAUGCUUGGCUUCCCCUGUGGUUUUCUACUACACAUCAGAAUCGCUAAAUCUCCAACCGCAACUCAACCGCUGUUACAACCAGAUCCUCUACCAACAAAUCCACGCAACACAUCUAUGCAUGCUAUCAUCCUAAGCUACUAUGCGAUUACACGACAGGCUCACAAAUUGCAGCCGCACCAGGUCACAGCAUGGCAGAUCAACAGCGACCAGAAACCCCCAAUGUUGAGGUUGGCGGGUGCCAAGCCACCAGCAGGAUGCGGCUAAGGCCCUCGUCGCUUGGUGCCUGUGGCGGCCUUGACUGGAAGCAGGCACAAUCCAAAUGUCAACGUUGACAAUGUUGGUUCAAUGGUCUCCACUAGUUAAUCAAUCAGAAGUAUGUGUCUGCAUCUGAUUCACCACCAGUUGCGCUGCAGGUGGGAACAUCAUUGGUCCUGAAAAAGGGCAGAUCGGUUUAAGGGGUUGCCAACUUUGAACAAAAACCAGCAUGAGAAUUGGAAGAUUAUGCAGACUAGUGUAACUAAGACUUGGAUUAGCACCUGGAACAGCGUUGAAACCAUUCACGGUAUGCUGCAAGGCUGGGUGUCCGUGAAGAUUAUUAUGGCUGCCCUUCAUCUCAACACCAUGUUCACCUCGAUUUAUUGGAAUCUGUGGUAUGGAUCCACAUUGCUGGCUUGCUAAUGCUUCAGAAUUGGUCCUCUGCACGGUGCUGGUAGAAGCAUAUGGCAUAGCAUGUGCCUGAGAUCCUGCCAAAUGGCUUGAGCUGGCAGCACAAUCCUCAGUGGCAGGGCCACUGUUAUUAGGUGGCUGCUCACCUGAUGCCGCGACAUUGUUUGGUGGUGCCAUUGCUUCUGAAAAUGCAGCUAGUACAGGUGGCUGAAAUGAGCUUGGUGGUGCUUCACCAUCUCCUACCCAGCCACGACCAAAUUUUGUUCCAGGAGGAAGGCUUCGCUCAAUUCGUCUUGAUGCCAUUUCCCAGCCAAUAGGACCAAGUUGUGCAGCAAAACGUGCCAGGCUGCGGGAAUAUGACUGCUGCAACUGAACCCCGACCUGAUAAAAACAUUGUGUUAAAGUGUGGUCAAUUGUGUCUUGCUAUUCUCUAAUGUUCAUGGAAGGCUGAAAUUAUAGUAGUGUAUCAUCAUUUACUUAUAGGACAGAAUUAGUUGGGACACUCAACUGGUACUAGCAGCUUCUUCGUCCCGUUGUAGGAGGAUGAUACCGGCAGAUCAUACAUUGAACUGGACGGUUGAGACUCGUAAUAUGUGCUUCGACGACUAUCUUCCAUCAGAAUUGGCUUCUUUCCCAUUUUUCCAGACCACAUACUCCCGUAACCUGGAACAAAAGUCAGACACCAACCAAGGUUAUAAGAAAAAUGAGUUAGCCAAAUUGGAUGCAAGUCCUUUGUUCACUCAGUACUUGUUAAAUGCUAGCCUCUUGAAAAGACACUUUUUGAAAGAAAAAAUGAGAGAGAAGUCAAAACCUGAGUAAUCUUCCAUUCUUUCUGUUUUCCGCUCGCCAGACCAGUUGUGCUCAUUUUUCCGAUUAGCAAAAGAGGCUCUCAGCACAUCUGCAAUCAUCGCUUCUUGCUGUGCAUGACGUCCACUAUUUGCAGCAUUAGCAAGUGUUGCCCCAGAAAAGUCUGCAGUAGCACGUUCUGCUGGUGGCCUCCCAACUUUUUGUUUGGCAUUAUUCUUGUUUGGAGGCCUGCCCCUACGAGGCUGUGGCUUUGGUUCUUCUGGUUCUGGCUCUGGCUUCAGUUCUGGUUCCGGUUCCGGUUCUGGUUCACUGGCAUCACUAUCUUGCCUAAGAUUCUCAAAAUCCUUUUUAGCAAUCUCUUGAAUACCUCGUGCCUGUAAUGCAUGGCAUAUGGAUGUUAAGUACACCAUAAUUCAUGAUUAUAUUCAAAGAUCAUAACAUGUAGGCUUAACGUCUGACCUGUCGAUAGUAUAUUGUAUCUGGUGAAUUGUAGCACAUUGCAUUUGAGCUUAUCAAGAACACAUCAUCCUGUAAAUUGAAAUUUCAGUCAUGUUGAAUGAGCUUGAUAAAAACACCAAUAGCAUAUUCUGAGAUCAGGAAAGAAAUAGUAUUUUGCAGCAGCACUGUAGGAAUGAUAAAAGCAACACAUAUUUGUUCCAAAACAAAAUCUGACAUACUUCUAGCAUGACUGCACGAGUAAGACGUAAUGCUUUCAAAAACACUGCGAUUACACAUGCUACAGUUUGCAGUUUUGGUUCUGACUAGAAAAUUUAUUCUUAAGAGAUGUUCAGCAAAGAUGUUUGAGCACAGAAGGAUUCUGCAUACAAGUUGGCUUGUGUUGGUGAUGUUCAAUGCAAGACAGUCGAAUGCACAGUGAAAAUGCAAAUCCAUGAUGUUGGUAGCAAUAUAUAUAAAUCAGAAACUUCUCAAAUAGUAAGUAUUACAAGUAAAGUCAUUAGCUAGAAGCCAAAAAAGGUGGCGUCCUAAUGGCCAGUGUUAACUUUUCAUGAAAUAACUCCACUUGUUCGGGCAUUACAAAGGCCGAAAUCAUCUCAUUUUACCAAAUGCCUGCCUCAUCUUUAAGCUCAUAAUUUCUGCUGAGGCCCAACAUACUUCACAAGAACAAAUGAAUUAGCAACUGAGGUACAACUUGAAUAUGAUUUGCCAACAUAAACAAACACAAAUGAGGCAAAUGGUCUCUGAGUUGUUUUUAGAGAAAACAUCUAGCUAUUUACGACCUUCCAUAGUACGGCGUGAAUAUGACUUAUACAAAAGGGAAGGAUAUGAGUUAUUUAGAGUGCUCUUUUUUUUUCAAAUAAUGAGCCUUUUUAAAUGGAAAAUUUGAAAGUGUCGAAUCAAAAGUAACACAGGCAGUGCAACGCUCGCAUAAUUUUUUGCACAUCUACAACUUUAACACUAUAUGGUACACGGGUCCAUCCCUGUGCUAUCAUGUACUUCGAAAAUAGCAUCAAUUCACUCUUUUCUGAAAAGAUAAGGUCAUUUAAUCGUUUGUAACAGCAUAUUUAAUCCAAAUACCUUUUCCAUCAUAAAAACUCUACUGUAUUUACGGCAGUAUAUUGUGUCCAAAUAAUUUUUUAACUACUGUUAUUGGCACUUGCCUUCCUAGUUAUAUGUACUGGAACCACAAAUACCACCAGCUGCAGUAGAUGAUCUCAUGCAAGUACAAUUAGGUGGUUAAAUGACAUGUCGCUGUGUUCUCUUAGCAAGUUUCUAAUGUGUAAAAUGCUUCUGUCAUUGAACAUGCUGCUGAGUUCACAACCAUACAUUGCAGCAAACAAAAAGUGACAUGAGAUAUCUCAGAGUAUGAGAGUUUCUUUAGGCACAUCAACAGAACAAAUGUAUAAACAUAUGCUCCCUCGGUCCAUAAAGAUAUGAACUUCAGGACAAGCUAAUUAGUAGCUUGUCCUGAACUUUCAUAUAUUUAAGGACGGAGGGAGUACAAUUUAAACUCAGCCAAAUAGUUGAAAAGCAGAAUACAGAGAUAUCAUGCCUCAGAAAAAGUUAGGUUGCAUAGUACAACCACAGAAAUCCAAACAGGAAGGCAAUUGUCUGCUAACCUAUUACAGUUGUGUCUCAGCCUAUAUGUAGAUGUUAAUCUCAAUGCUUGAACUGCCGUAAAACAAAUAAAGAAUACACAGGAGAAUUUCAAACGUGAAAUAGGUCUUUCCUUCAAGUUCCUGGAUUUACGUGCAUAUGUAGAGCAAAUCAAUACAAACAACAACGGAUAGGUGACUGAAUGCAAACAUAGUCUUGGACAAACGUUUUUCUAUUAAAAUCCUGUAAAGGUCAUGGAACCAAUAAAAUAGACCCUGGGCUUAAGUGCUUCACUGGAACGAAAACAUUAUAAGACUAAAUUUGAUAAAGAGUUUACAUGUUUAAAUAAAUUGUUAAGAGAAUUUACAUGAUAAAAUAUAUAUGUUGCACCACUCUUGAAAGCGUUUAGAUUGCCAAGAACAAUCAGAUGUGGAGUUACAACUUACAAGAUCUAGUACACAUGGAACACCAUCAGAGACAGAACCUAGCAGAAAAACACCCAGGUGUCCAAUUAACUAUUUGCAGUAGUGUUUCAACAUAUCUGGGCAACAGUCCAAGAGAGUGAACAUCUGCUCCUAAACUGUGCAAUCAGCAUAGAGCAAGAGGCUCCAAAGGCAACAGUACAAAGAGUUUCUUACCAAACUGGGGGACGCAAAGAUUUUACAAAUGGACUGUAAUAAGAAUCUAGAACGUGUGUGUAUACAAAGGUCAGGAAAAAAACAUUGUCGAAGAAAACGACAUGGUGAUGAGAUAAGUAAGCUAGCUGAUUAGCAAACUAACUUAACCACAACAUUUCAGAACAAAGGUGCAACAGCUUAUUAGUAGUUAUUACCAAACAAGCACAUGCAAUUUUGUUGAAGAAAAACCCAAACAAAAGAAAAACACAAACAACCUAAACAUAUCCUAUAACCCACCUCAAAUUGCUCCAAGUUGGAAUAGGCCCCCUUAUCAAGCUUCUUCCUUAUUGUCGAAAAAUCCAUUGGAUGCUUGAUAAUAUCAUGAUAGUCAGGCAGCUGGCCAUAAAUGGACAUGAACAGGCAAAUCAGUCAGGUUCGAAAAAUCAAAACCAACAAACCAAACAUAUAGCAUCAUCAUCUUUCAAAGCAGAAACAAACCUCUUCAGGAUCAACAGGCUCUGAGAAUACACCAUAAGUGUCCUUCCUGCAAGAAACAAGGACACACAAAGAUGAGAAGUCCUGGAGUGGAGAAUGGACGAGCUGAAGGCCAGGAAGAACAAAGCUGCGAGCACAGCAACUCACUUCUGUAGCCUAUCAAGGAUGAAGAGCAACAACUUUUUGUUCGGCAAAGGUGUUGUGGGCCCGGAAUCUGACGGCUCUGUCAAAUGAGCAAAUCCAACCCAUGAGCACAGGGCGAUCGGAGGCACAAGCAUUAAUUAAAGACAAGGAAAUUGGAAUGCAUCCAACAGUAAAAGAAUUAAAAAAAGGCAUCUUUGUGCACAUUUGUCCAGGUAUAUUUUUUGCCCCUGGAAAUCUGAAGAGUUAAAUGCCACAUAGCAAGGAGCACCAACCUUCACGCCCAUCCGUCGCUUUCCUCGUCUUUUCUCCCUGCAGCAGCAGAAGCGGAAGAUAAAAAGAUAUUUAGAAACAAAACAUCCUAUAAAUAAAAAUACUUACAAGAACCGAAAGAAAACCGGGGUAGAAAAUAAGCAGCAGAAAAAGUGGGGCUUUCGUUUACCAGCGCCAGUUACCAAGUACAAAGAUCUAACGAGGGCGCGAAAUGCAGCGAAAUUUGGCGCGAGAAGCAGACAAAAACCAAACCCGAAAAGGCACGCCUUUAAAAGCUUUGAGCCAGGGUGUUUAAAAAAAUUGCGCCAAUUAUUGUGACGACAGGGCGAUGCGACUAUGCGAGGGUUUAGGAUUAUCCCCCUCCCAAAUGAUUGGGAGAGCUGCUCUCAGGCUGGGCUGAGCAGAGCGGGGUUGACCACUGCGCCUCUCACUAUGGAGAUAAAUAAAUAAAUGCGGCCUUUUCAUGCCCGAAAUAGCAAAGAAAUUUCCUCGGGCGGCGCGCGGGCGCGCAGAUCCGUACGCGCCCCGGGGCCAGGGCCCCCAAAUUAGGCAAAUUCCGCUAGGGAUCGACAGAAUUGGCGCGGAUUCGGCUCAGAUCGAGUCGGAGAAGAGGGGGAGAAGGGGAGGGCGCCCACCUUGGCCGAUCCGUCGUGGAGGCCCAUGACGAGGCGAAGCUUCUUCUCGCGGCGGCCAGAGCCGGAUGCGGGCCCGUCAUCGUCCUCGUCGUCGGCGGAGCCGGGGUUCCGGCGGUUGGGGCGGCGCGCCUGGGGCUGCUGCCGCUCCUGCAGCUGCUGCUCGAGGCGGAGGCUGCGCUUCUGGAGGUCGAGCAGCGACGGGCGGCCCUUCUUCUUCCGGCGCCGCGGCGGCGGAGGCGCCGACAUCGCCGGGGACCGCCGCGACGGUGGCGCCUGCUGCUGCUUGCCCAUUCCCGGCGUUCUUUUUGUUUUUUCCUUUUUUUUCUUUUGCCCCUCGGUUUUGUGUGCGGGGGCGCCGUUGGCGUUGCGUGUUGGGGGGCGUGAGCUAGCAGCGGGGAGGUGGGUAGACUUUUCGGUGCGUUUUCUUUUUCUUUUGGGGGCGAUUUGGAUGCGAGCACGUGAGGAGCGUGUGCGCCUCAGCGCUUGCGUUUGCGUGCGCGGCUGAACCGUGUACCCACAGAGUCGAUCAGGAAAGAAUUCAGAACGUGAUGGCAACGUGGACGUCGCCGGCUCGAUCAGUAUCAAGAUACCCAUGGUGCCCAGUUAUCAUAGAAUCUGGAUUCUGUUGAUGAGAUAUUACGUGACUUUUACCCGCUCCUGAUUGCACGAUUCCGUGGUGUACGACCAUAAUAAAAGACUCCUUAGUUAAUUCAGAUUAGUAUGUCGUACUCAAUCCAAAUCCUUGUAAGAAGUAGAAUAUGUUACAAAAACAUAAAGCGGUAUUGCCAUGUGUUUGAUAAGUUGAAAGGAUAUAUUCCCAGAAAUUAUACGUUCUAUAUAUAUAUAUAUGUAGGGAUGUAGGGGUGGAUCGUGACCAUAAUGGUCCCUUCACAGUCCAACUCAAUCCUUAAUUAUUCUUGACUUACACUUAUAUAGGAUUAUAUAUAUGAUAUGAGCCCGUCUUAACUUAACUUAUUAUAUAUGAGUCCGGUCCUGAAGUUGUCUAUGUUAAAUUUUUAGGCCAUUUAAAUUUAUGAUAGGAAACUAAUGCUAUUAGAUUCGUAUUAGAAGUACUUUUUUUUUAACUAUGGAUGAACCUGAAUUUCAGUACUGACGGUGUCUCCCGUGAAUGCAUUCAAAUAAAUAAUUUUGUACUAAACAGAAUAGUAAUUGAGUAAAAUAUUGGUUAAAACUUGUCCUAACAAAAUGAAUAAGCCUUGUAAAAUGUGGUAUCAAAAGACAUGAAAACAUAGAGAGAAUCCUGGAGAAGUGAACCAUGUCACGCUAGAUUGGGGGAAGGGUCUCUAGUCUGUCACCUGAGAGCUGCUGCAAACAUGAUUUUAGUUUCCAUACACUUUUGCCGGUUUUGGGUGGUUAGUUGCUGGUUAGAAUUCAGAAAGAAAAGGGAUGCUAGUGUGUUGCUUCCCAGUUCCCACCCAAGUCCUCUAAAAACUAAGGGAAAGCAAGCAUGUGGUUUUCAGGCAAGGGCAAGAACAAAAGAACAGUAGAGAGGUGAGGUGACACCUGGGAACCUUGAGCUUCGUGCCCAUUGUUUUCUCCGAACACUUGGUGCCAGUACGGCAGUACCCCACUGUUAACCGUUUCCACGGACGCGCUCACGCACAUGCCCAGAAAGAAGCUUCCCCCGACGGAGGAUUCGUUUCCACGCAUGGUGCAAGCAGAGUCUGUAGUGACGUAGCGGUAGCACUAGCAGUAGGCAGUAGCAGUACUUUUUUUUCAUAAGAAGCAGUGUCCUCUUUGGCAAAGGCAGUGAAGUAAAAAAAAAACUACACGGCCGAGUGAAGCUACAGUCCCAAGAAAAAAAAAAUGGCCGUCUGCAGUGAGGCAGCAGUAGACCCCUCCUGGCCUCCUGGGUCAAAUCCGGUUGCAGUUUUCGUAGAAGGGCUCGCCGGCGCCGGCGCCGGCGAAGCAUGGGCUCCGUUGCGCGAGUGCGUGGGAGGUGCGCCGACGCCACGGCCGCGUACGAAUCGAGCGCUCCGGGCCUCCGGGGGGCGCCGGCCGAGCGCGGCACGCCGCUCGGUGCGUCCACGGCCCAGCGUUGGGCGCUGCUGCGUAGGAAUCCGACGGGCGGCGCAUGGAGACAGGAGACGCCGCGGGGAACGGCCAAACUAGCAUUCCGACGAGGCGCUGCGGCGCUGGUUGGCUUCUUUCUCGUGUGCGGCCGACGGAAGUGACGCUCGAACAAGCUCCGAGGCCUCUUGCUCAGCGUCCCGCGGAGAUCACCGUAGUUCGCUGGAGAGGACAGCUUCAGACACUGGGGCAUCUCCAGUGUCCACUGUGGACAGUGGACACCGGAGCACAGAUGAACAAGCUGACAGGCCAACAACAACAUUGAUUAUACAUCGAACGCAAAAUUUGUGUACCGCGUCCCAGCACGUCAGCACAAGGGUGCAACACGUCAACAAACUGAACAAGUUGUGAUAAAAAAAUUAACCCCUAUUCUGGUGGAAAAUGGAAGAUCGACUCGUGGGGGUUAAAAAAAAUGCUAUGCCCGCAGCAGAAGUACGAGGCUCAAGUUUUUGGUACAGCAACUUGCUGACUUGCUGAGAGUAGGCUACGGACGCAGAAGCACGAAGCUGAAUUUUUGGCACAGCAACUUGCUGACCCGGGAGGUCAGAAACAGCCAUGGGAGUAUUCCAACCUGCACCAAAGAGGCGAUCGCCGCGUCAGGGACUCAGAAAAUAGUACAUAGGUGCAGCUUUGUACCCAGUAACGUUGCAUCCAAGCAACGUCAUGUUUGGGAAAUUAAAAGCAGUUUCCUCAAUCAUCCAAUGAAGACUCCACGUUAAUUUAACAUGCAAACAAAGUUCACUCUGCUAAGGUGAUGACUUCUUCCUUUCACGGCAUGUGUUACCAAUAGAUUAUACAAUACUAGCCCAUACGCGUUGGGCCGAUGGCAUUCAAAUUUAAAAGUUCCAUGGUUUAUAGUAUUUACCACAACAUUGCCCGUAGCAGAAUCAACCCCCCUCAAGGAAAACAUCUUUCCUGCAAAAACAAUUGAGGUGUCACCAAUAUUAUUGGUUACAUGAAUCAAAAGUAGGACAGAGGCCUAGUGUAAACAAAGUUUUCUGACAGAGAAGGCAGCACAAGGAAGGACUGCUACUGAACAACAUAUAAGACAAAAAAAACAUUCCUGAUCUUAAAAACGGACCUAGUUGUGCAGUAUUUGCAAUUUAAAUACUGGUUUGGACUGCAUAAAUAAGUUAACCUUGUUUGGCCCAAAAAAAUCAUGUCUUUCUACUGUAUUAAUUAAGUAUAAAAUCACAUUAACUGGUAUUCUAGCAGCACUUGUGAAAUGCAUGUGGCAUAUAUGGUGUGUGUGUGUGUGUGUCACCACAAUCAGUGUUGCAAGGAAGGUGAGAAAUUCCUCUUGCAGUUCUGGCAUUCAGGUUGAACAAAAUACAACCAGAUUACUAAUAUUGGAUAGACUCUAUUGAUAAAUGAACAGAACAGUGAUCACUAAAGUGCAAAUACUGAGCAACAAACAAUCUAGAACACUCUGGCAAGUUGCAUCAACAUACCAAAGGGCUGUAGAAGAUGUCGUCGAACUGUUGUUACAGGAGUGCUCCAAAACCACAGAACGAGCAAGGCAUAAAUUAGUACCUAUUUGGUUGAAAAGAAUUAGUACUAAAGAAAGUAUAGUGCAUGGUUAAACAAAAAAACAAACAUAAAGGCAAUUCACAAAGAAGCACCUUAGUAACCAGCAGAAUUUUUCCGUACUUGUCAUAUAAGGAUUGCUUCCCUUUAGUGUCCUGUUCCUGUACUGUAAAGCAGACAAAGGGGGAAAAGGAACUUAAGAUCGCUAAAAUGCAUCAUUGCAGCACCAAUUCAUUCUACAGAAUAACAGAAGUAACAAACAAGCAAGGAAGCUUUGCUUCCAAACAAACAAUAACAAAGCUAUGGCAUACAAUUAUUCAGCAUUUCCAAAAAUUAUGGGGCCGAAAGACAAUAUUCCGGUGCUCCAUUACAGGGCAACAACUACAGAACAUUGAGAGUUCAGCACUCACUUUUUGUCAGUUCCUUCUCCUUGGCAACAGCCAGACGCUUGAGUUUAGCAGCUUGUGCAAAUGUGGACGGCCUACCACACAUAUUCAGGCAAAUAAGUGAGAUGGAAACCUUGCAGUUGCAAAUCAUUCUUUGGUUAGAAGAGAAAUUUUGGAUAAAGAAAAGCAGUGAUAUGAAAAUUAGUAGAGUUCGAGUCACGGCAAAGGAAGGUUAAUGGCCUACGUUGACAGCUCAUUUGCCUCCUUCAGAAGUUGCUUGAUUUCAAGCCGCAGUUUGAUCUGCUCAUCACUUUGUGAUCCCCUCUGGAUUAUAAGCACAGAACACAUCAGCGACCAGUGAAAACACUAGAGAACAUAAAUACAAGACCGCGGACUGCAGGCUAUAAUAGAUGCGCAGGAUAAGAAAACUCGAGCCUGCAUUCCACAUCCACGCCCAACAGUUCAGAAAUUAGCCCCAAAAUUCAAAUAGCUUAGAGCUAAAGGAACAAUUUCCUCGGAAUUAGUGUUCGAUUCAUUGAAGAAAUAGGUGGAAUCGCUGGGUGGUUACUCUUUCGCCCAAUCAGAAUUCACCGAAGAUCCAGGGCUCCAGACGAGACGGAUGGGAGGGGCAACGCGCGAGGAGGGGGAGGGGGGCGUCGGCGCUAACCUUUUUGGCGAGGUCGAGGUAGCGGUCGACCAGCUGCAGCGCGGAGACGAUGAGGAAGACGAAGAUAGCCGCCAGGGCCAUGGUCGUCGACCGGCGUCGGAGGCGGAGGUCUCUUCCGUCUCCGGUUGGGUCAGGGACUCGCGGCGCAUCGGAUGUGGCUCGAGCUCGACGGUCCGACCGAGCCCGGCCUUAGUCAUCCGCUGGACGCUUUUCGAUAGGCCCAUUUGAACUCUCCAUGGCCCACGGGCCGCUUGGGCAGCUGACAUUCGAAAACCACCAAUCAGUAGCCUUAUCCUCUAGUAAGGCCCAGCCCAAACAUAGUCAACUUGAACAUUUGAGCCGCUGAGCCUUGCUCCACUCGUAUGAAUGGCCGAAAGGUAGAAUAAUCCGAAGGAGGCCACGUCACAUGAACCAAUCCCAUCAAAAUAUCUCCCGCGGAUCAACUGGCCAGUAGGACGCCACCGAGCCCAACACUUGGCGACACCAUGGCGCAGCCCCUAAAAUUCACCGCGGGCCACGGCAAAAACCCAGCCGAACACCCCCGCAAAAAUCCCGCUCGCCGCUCGUCCGGCGCGGUGAGAAUAUCUGGCGGCGAGCUGGUGGCCGGCGCGCGGCCACAUCAGCCACCCCAUCCGCCCACCUCACCUCCGCCGCGCCAAUGGCAACUCGGCUUAAGAUUCCACGAGAUAAGGACCCGAUCGCCCGGCGACACUAUUUAGCCGGGCGCGCCCGCCCCGACACUGUCACUCCCACCACAGCAAGCAGCUAGCGACCGGUCUCAGCAACUCUCCCUCGCCUCACGCAAUGGCCGCCUCCACCAUGGCGAUCUCCUCCCCGGCGAUGGCCGGCACCCCCAUCAAGGUGGGCUCCUUCGGCGAGGGCCGCAUCACCAUGCGCAAGACCGCGGCCAAGCCCAAGGUGGCGGCGUCCGGCAGCCCGUGGUACGGCCCCGACCGCGUCAAGUACCUCGGCCCCUUCUCCGGCGAGCCCCCGAGCUACCUGACCGGCGAGUUCCCCGGCGACUACGGCUGGGACACCGCGGGGCUGUCCGCUGACCCCGAGACCUUCGCCAAGAACCGUGAGCUGGAGGUCAUCCACUCCCGCUGGGCCAUGCUCGGCGCGCUUGGCUGCGUCUUCCCCGAGCUGCUCGCCCGCAACGGCGUCAAGUUCGGCGAGGCCGUCUGGUUCAAGGCCGGCUCCCAGAUCUUCAGCGAGGGCGGGCUCGACUACCUCGGCAACCCCAGCCUGAUCCACGCCCAGAGCAUCCUCGCCAUCUGGGCCUGCCAGGUCGUGCUCAUGGGCGCCGUCGAGGGCUACCGCAUUGCCGGCGGCCCGCUCGGCGAGGUCGUCGACCCGCUCUACCCCGGCGGCAGCUUCGACCCCCUCGGCCUGGCCGACGACCCCGAGGCCUUCGCCGAGCUCAAGGUGAAGGAGCUCAAGAACGGCCGCCUCGCCAUGUUCUCCAUGUUCGGAUUCUUCGUCCAGGCCAUCGUCACCGGCAAGGGCCCACUCGAGAACCUCGCCGACCACCUCGCCGACCCGGUCAACAACAACGCCUGGGCCUACGCCACCAACUUCGUCCCCGGCAACUAAGCUCCAUCCGCUCUGCAACUUCAUUGUCUUCCGGAGGGGGCGUACGUGGAUUCAUUGAUGCUGCAAGCUGCCGCAUGUGUGUCUCUUGUUUCACGUUGCAUUUCAGGGGCAGGUCGAGAUGAUGAGUUGGCGUUGUACACUAAGAUGAAAGAUGAUGUUUGUGCAAUAGUAGUGAUUUUGUAUUUUUGUUCCCUGGUGGUUAAUCAUUGAUUUGUCAGAUUUUAAGGGCACCUUUUCUUCUCCUGCUUUUUACACUUUAUUUUAAAAAAAUUCUAAAAUUUACUCUGAACACCAUAGCCAUACAGCGCUUAGACUUGGAUAAAGAACAUUGAGCCAAGCAAGCGACAUGAACUUGGGCUCAAAUGGUAGAAUUAGUCAAUUACUGAUGUCCUGUUAUAGUGGAUUAGUGGGCACUGGGCGCCAGUUACAUCAUUACAUGGGUGCCAACAGUAGCAAGAGAGAGAUUGCAGGUGCUCUCGCGGGCGGCUGGCUAGGAGACUCGGGUUUGAGUCCUGCUCCUUCCUAAUUCGAAGUGGGGAGGCUGUCUGUCAAGUUUUAGCAAGAGAGAGAGAUUACAUAGCAAACAAAAAGCACCAGCAGAGUCUUGGUUUUUAAAAUUCCUAAUUCGCACCCUCUUAAAGGCAUCACGGUCCAUUCUAGAUUUUGUGUAAUUAAAUAAAAAAUUUGUUGAAGGCAAAACGAUUUCUGCAUGAAAACAAAGCAUAACUUCACCCAACAACAAACCUCUGUUCACAACUUAUGCCACUGUUCACAUACCCCUUUUAGACUGAUCGUUCCUGUAAUCCUUUCGUUUCAAGGCAUAUCAGUACCCAUUUCGAUCAUUUUCUUGGAAAGUUUCCACCCAAGUGACCAAAUGUCGGUACUGCAUCGCUCUAUCGCCCCUCCAGAACUGUAAGGGUCACCGUGUUGUUGGAGUUCUGGGAGCUGUCCCCUGUCUGCUCUGUUUCAGUGUUCCUCGGUGCAAAAUACGCAGGCCUGUCUGGGGCUACGAGUGACUUGCUUUCGCUCUCCAGGAUACGCACAAUAUACGGCAUGGAUGGCCGAUCAUUCAGGUUAUCUUGAACACACAGGAGUGCUAAAUGGAUGCACAGCAUUACCUCAUCCAAGGAGCAACCUUCCACAAUCGACGAGUCUAUUACAGUCUCUGUCUUCCCUUCAUUCCAUAGGUUCCAUGCCUAUACCAAACAAGAAUCGGAAGUCUCAACUUUGAGUUUUCUGUCUCCAUAUUUGUCCUUCAUAGAGCUGUUCAAAUCUUUGUGUCGAAAUAUGUAAAGAAGAAAACUUACAUAGACUAUAAGAUUGGGGAAGUCUUCAAUGAGAUCGGUGGAACUUACCUAACACCACUUACAAUCUCCAGGAGCAAUACGCCGAAGCUAUAAACAUCGGACUUCACUGAAAAGAUGCCCUCCAUAGCAUAUUCAUGAGCCAUGUAGCCACUACUACCAACAUAACUUGUCAAUAUAAUGCAACGGAUUUUGGUGAAACAAUAAUUUGAGCAAGCUAAUUGAACAGAACUCACUAUGUUCCAACGACUUGCUUAGUACUCGCUUGCUCUUGAUUGUCACCAAAGAUUCUUGCCAUGCCAAAGUCUGAUAUCUUUGGAUUCAUCGCUGCAUCCAGCAAAAUGUUGCUCGCCUUAAGAUCUCUGUGGAUUAUUGUCAGUCUUGAAUCUUGACGGAGGUAAAAAAGACCUCGAGCAACCCCUUUGAUUAUCUUGAACCUCGUGGGCCAAUCCAGCAGUGAUUUCCUUGCACCGACUGCAAAAGAGCAACAUUUUCACGAGCAAGAUGAACUGUUUUCAGUGUCUCAAAACAGCACUAUUUCACAUUCUCAAUAAUUCACAUCCACUAAUUCACUAACUCGCAUUUACAUAAUGACAAUGCAUCCAUAUGAAAAUUCACUAAUGACACUCAUAUUACUCAUAUAUUCAAUUAAAACUUCAUUUACUAUUCCUUAUUUACAUGAAUAAUACUCAUGCACUAACUAAUUUUUUCACUAAUCACACUCAUAUUCCUCAUAUAUUUACAUUCACUUUCACAUAUUACGAACCAUAUAUAUUCACAUUUUUUCACUUAUACAUUAACUAAUUUACUAACUAAUUCAUUAACUAAUUCAAAAGGAAAAAAAUGGAAAAAAAUCAAGAACUCACUUGCUGCCAAGAGAGGGCGUGGGCCGGCGGGGAGGAGAGGACAGGGUCACUGCCGAUGGAGGGAGAUACCGCCGACGACUACAAGAGUGGCAUCCACCGAGGGUCCCACAGAUCCGGAGGCGCGCACGGCGGUGGGCUGGAUCCAGAGGCGCGCGGCGGCGGGCCGGCAAGGCGGAGGGCCGAGCCGCCGCCGAGAGGAGCCGGCGGGGAAGAGGAAAUUUUGGCAGCUUAACGCCCCCGUCUGCAUGAAACGAAAAUUUUACUAAGUUCUCGACCCAUUCAACAUAUAUAGAGCAGGGAUUUUCAGGGGUGGGUGACUGUGACGCCCUGAAAAUUUACCAAAUUAAAAUUUCGCGCUAAGAUGUUUUAUUGAAACCCUAAUCACCUCCCGGACUCUUCACCGACCAGACGCUCGGCUCCAGCUGUUGACCCAGCCCCUUUUCCGAUGACCGUACCCUCUUUUUCCUCGUCGCCGUCCCAUCCCGCGCCGCUCGGUGGCCUGCCGCCCACGCGCGAUCACCGCCGCGAUUAGCGCCGGCGCGAUUCCUUUCUCCUCGCGCAGCGCGCGAAAGCCGCGCGCGCGUGGCCGACCGGCCGCGGUCGCCACCGUGAUCGGCACCGACGCCCCCCCCCUCUCUCUCUCCUUCUCCUUUUUUUCUCUCUCCCAUUUCUUUUCUUUUUCCCCAAACUCUCUUUCUCUUCCUUUCUUCCUUUUUUUUCCUUUUUCUUUCCUUCUUUCUUUCCCCCCUCCUUCUCUUUUUCCUUCCCCUGCCGCGAGCCCGAGCCCAGGCCGUGCGCCUGCCUUGCCCCGGCCACGCUACGACGCACGCGCACGCGCAGCGCGUGGCCGUGCGCAGCACCGUGCCGCCCGUCACCCACGCCCCCGCUCUGGCCCGCGCCUCGCCGCGCUGUGCGCGCACGCGCGCGCCCGGACCCGCGACGCCGCGCUGCCCGCCGCUGCCGCGUUCCGCCCCCGCCGCGCCGCCCGUCGCUAGCCGCGCCGCCCGCCGCUGCUACACCCCGCCAUCGUCCUGUGCUCGCACCGCACGCCGCGUCACGACGUGAGCGAACGGACGAACGUCAUUAAUGGCGCUCCGCGCCGCUCGCCGACCUUCACCUACCCCCGGCCUUCCCACCGCCUCAUCCCGCCUAUAAAUCGGCCCCCUGCGCGGCUCACCUCCCCCACAGCCUCCACCGCCGCCCCUAGCUUCCUCCCCGAGCCCCUAGUGCCGCUCCGCCGUGCCCCCGAGGCCGCCGCCGCCCGCCUCUGUCGUCCCACCUCCACACAACACCCCGGCCCAAGGUAAGGCCGGGAACCACUUCCCCUAGCCCCCCUCUCCCUCACCCCCCUGCCCCGUGCCACCCCUGGGCCCUGGCUGGCCGAGAUGGCCGCCGCCACCGUCCUUUCCCCCUUUCCUCUGUUCGGUCACGGGAGGGAGGAGGAAGAACAGGGCAAAUUGCCCGAUAACCCCCUGCCUUUGUUCUCGUUUUCAAAUGAGGAGCCCCCCUCUCUAUUUGCUUCCUUUCGCAAAAGAAACCCUGCCCAUUCUAUUAUUUCAAACUGAACCUCUCCAUUACAUAAAAACCUAAUUAUACCCGACCCCUCUAGCAUGCCCUGGGUAUUUCUAGAAUUCGCAAAAAGGUCCUUACUCUUUCCGGAUAGUUACGAAUAAGCCCCUAGACCCCUAUUUAACCCUUGAAACCCCCUUCACCUCGUCAUUUUAUGCGUCAAACGACCUCCGAUCGACCUGAAACUUUACCACGCCUUUCUAGUAUAGUUUUAACCAUGCCAUUAAGAAACCACCCAAAAAUAUUACCCCUACCUCCGUAACUAAAUUAUUUCCGAUUCAAGCUUAACGAUAAAAGCUUUUAGUUCCUUCGCUUGAUUGUGUGCCUGUUUGCUUGCGUCGUAGGACACGGAGUGAACGAGGAAGGCCCCGACUGUGACCAAGCGAACGAGGAUCAGUUCUGCGACCCCGAGCCCGAGGGACAGUACUUCGAUCAGGACCUCCCGCAAGGAUUUGACGAUGGCAAGUUCAAUCCCGCCCUUUGAUGCAUGUUUCUGUCCUAGUUUUUUUAAACACAACCCAAUGGCCUGUUUUAUAAAAUUGCAUGGUUUUGCUUGCUGAAAAUAUGGUAGGGUAGCCACCCUUGUUUGUGAUAACCAUACCUUGAUCACCUGGUUUUAUAAAGGAAAUGUGUGUGUGUGGGAAGGGAUAAAAUAUGGUUUUGAAAGAUGAGUCAGACGGGAUGGAUGGCAUUUCUGUGUGAAUUGCCGUUGGUGUGCUCGUACCUGUGUGGUUGAGCGAGGAAGGGAGAUAUCCAUCUUGUCACCCCUAAGGACCGAGUUGAUGUGUCAUCUCACCUAGCUUCAUGUCGUGCAAACCACUUGACCGUUGUAUGGGCAACGGCUUAGCAUAAAUCCCACUAGUUAGUCUGCUAGCCAACAGGAGAGCUGAGAGCAACGGGUGAUCAAGGAGAAGGGAUAAGCUCUGUGUGACUUAUGCCCGGUUAAAUCUUGGAGAUAGGUCGAAUGACCCCUUGAUGGAUCCCGUGGUGGCUAGUCAGGUCUAGCUAAGGUGGGUAAUAACUUUGUUGGGAUCUGCACCGACACUAAGGUGAUCGUGCUGUGGUACCCCACCUGUGGGUAAAGUUGCAUACCUCUGCAGAGUUAAAAUCUAUUCGAAUAGCCGUGCCCACGGUAUUGGGCAAGUUAUGAUGUGGUCACAUAACUGGUGUUUCUCUCCGGGAAUGGUUGGGUUGGUGUAAGGUGUCUGGAAAGUGUCCGGCAGUUGUGCCGUGUGCUACGGCGGACGGGGAGUCCGGUAGCAAUUUAAAACUUAGAUCCUGUGCGGAUCGACUUCGUGUGCUCCUUGGUACUAGAAAACUUGUUUUGGAAAUGUUUUAAAACAAACCUUUGCAUACAACCGAGUUUUCCGCAAAUGAACCAUAACCUUAUCCUUGGAUUGUCCUGUGCAUUGAUUUCUGUUAUACCCCCCUCCGUGGGUGUGAUUGGACUUGCUGAGUACGUUCGUACUCAUCCCAUUCUUACUUUUACAGUGGAAGAUCCUGACUACAUUCCCGAAGACGUCGAGUAGGGUUCCGUCCUGCACCCAGUCUUGCCUGUGGUUAAGGCCACCGCUGGAACUCCGCAUGGCGCACGACUCUGAGGACCCUCUUUUCGUAGCUAGUGUAGUAGUGUGGGUUUUAGUUGUAAUCCUCGCGAUAGUGGCGCUUCACUGCCCAUUACCGCGAAGAGCUGUACGGUGACGUACCAUCUGAUGUAAUAAAAGUGUUAUCAGGCUCCUGGGACUGAUAAAGCAUCAUUUUUAAGUCUUCCCUGAUGGGGGGACGCUUCAGUGACCCUCCUAGAAAUAGAUUUUCAGGGGCGGGCCCUACAAAUUAUUUCUAGGGGCGGGUGGGGGAUCACCCACUCCUAGAAUUUUUUUCAAUUUUAUACUAAAAAUUUCAACUAAUUUAAAAAAUAUAGCAAAACACAUCCAAAAAGCUGAAAUUUUUACCCUAAGACUAUUGCCACCUAUAGAACUAGAAAAAAAAUAUGACAACUAUAUUUUAGUGUAAUAAUAGUUAAGAGUGUUGAAAUAACAAUGUAGAGUUCUCCAACACUUAGUAUCUCGUACAACUCAAGCCAUCUUUACUAAAAAUUUAAUUAAUUCAAAAAAUAUAGCAAAACACAUAUAAAAAAUGAAAUUUGUACACUAAGAGAGCUCCAUUUGAGUCUUAAAACUACCAAAAAGUUUAGAAAAGACAUGAGAUUAGUAUCAACUUACCUCCUGUAACCCCCAACUCGAAGGAAAUCAUGUUUAAAAACCUCCCCUACUCUUUUUUCUUUUUUUGGAUUUUCAGGGGCGGGUGGCGCCAUCACCCGCCCCUGAAAAUGAGCCCCACUUUUAGAAGCUGAUGGUGCCACCCGCCCCUAGAAAUUCUAUAUUUAGGCGGGUGGCGUCAUGACCCGCCUGUGAAAUAGGGCUCAUUUUCAGGACGGGUGAUGGCGUCACUCGUCCACUAUAGAUACAAUUCUAGGGACAGAUCUGCUACGUAACUCCGCUUAUUUCAUAGAAACGGGUUAUAUUUUGAUCUGUCUGUAGAAAAAAAUAAGAUGUUACUGCACAUCUCAUCUUUUAGUAGUGUGUCCGUCAUGUAGCCCAUCCAAGGCGAGCUGCGCCAGUGCACGGGCGACCCGUUCCGUAUGAUCAUCUGCAUGCAGCGGCCUGUCCUGGUCCGCGCCGAAGGCGAAGCUCCCCGACGACGGGUCCUCGGGGGCCUUCGAGGACAUGAUGCGCACAGCGCACCCCGGAGCGUGGCAUCCGUAGGCGAUCCCGAUCUUCAUGCCGGGUAGGAACGUGUCGCCGGGGUGCUUUGAAGCUCUGCCACAAGCCCACAAGGUGGUGCCGUUCGGCGACCGGACGACGAGGUUGCCGGUGUUGAGACGCACGGCCAUGAAGCUGGAGCCUGUCGAUGUCCCCACCGUGCCGGUUUCAGGCGGUGACAGGCGUGAGCCAUCCUCCAGAGCGCUGCGCUGGAGAGCCUACGUGCUCCGCACCAUCCAGUAGCCACAGUAUUGGGCGCGGCCGUGCGGGCUCCGUCGUAUGUUGAAGGAGAGACAGACGGUGACCGCCAGUGGAUACGCAUCCAUUUUGUUGUGCGGUUGCGGUUUAUUUGGUGGGUCACCACUGACCAUUUCUGUCGGGCGGGCAGGUUUUGAUGGGCUAAGCUUUUAUAAAAUUAGGCUAGAUCCUGCUAGUGGGUUUGAGAUAAACGGGCUUCGCUACAUCAUAGCCUGCCUCUCAGGUCGGGGAGUUUUUCCCCCUCCUGAUGUCGUGCCGAACUCAAGUCUAGAUUUGAAGCCCACAAUCUUGGAUCCCAGACUGCGCUGGGUUGACGUUUUCAGUUUUUUCAAAAAGGGGUCAAAAAAAUUAAAUUCGAAAAAGGGGUGCCGAUUUCGAAAAUUUCGAAAAAUGGGUACCUCCCGUCCGACCAACGGGCGGGAGCAUGGGGCCGGAGACCUCCCGCCCAUCCAACGGGCGGGAGGCUCCAAAUCUUUUUCCAGGUCCCUCCCAUGGUGGCAAAGACAUCCCGCCCGCCCAACGGGCGGGAGGUCGUUCGCGUCGCGCUGCAGCUGCGCACGGCACCUCUGACGCACGCCGUUUCCUGUUGGGAGAGCGGUCGCUGUCCUGGACUAGACUGCUGGUACGCUUUAUUAGUCUUGUGCAGCAGGUAGCGAUCUUUUUGGCUGCAAGGCAUCCCGCCCAACGGGCGGGCGGGAGGUUAGUUUUUUUAGAUUUAAUUCGAUCAGUUCUAUUACUUGGCUGUUUUUAUGUGAAAGUGUGACAGGAUCUUGUUUCUUUUCCUUCUUUUCCUUUUAUAUGCACAGGAAGAAAAGAACAAAAAGUGGAAGGUAGACGGAGCUCAGUAUGACAAAAGGUGAAGCUGUCAAAUCCACACAGAGGAAAAAAGACACGCUGUUACAGAACAGUGACGGUCAGGCAGUACAGGUGAAUGUGCGGUAGAGCCAUGCAUGCUCUACGGAGCUAGCUACCUAGACAGAGGAGACCGGAGCUAGCUACCUAGACAGAGGAGACCGCAGCAGCAGCCGUGACAGGGAUUAUGAGUGCAGCAGCAGCUACGUGGAACCUCCCGCCCGCCCAACGAGCGGGAGGUGGCCUAAGCAUCCCGCCCGUUGGGCGGACGGGAUGCCCCGCGUUAGGGAUCUCUUUGUGAAUAAAAAAAGUUUCUUAUUCACGAAGAGAUCCUCGGGAGGGGCUAAAAAAAGAUUUGGCACCUCCCGCCCGUUGGAUGGGCGGGAGGUUUCCGGCCCCACGCCUCCCGCCCGUUGGUCGGGCGGGAGGUACCCCUUUUUAGAAAUUUUUCAAAUCGGCACCCUUUUUCGAAUUUAAUUUUUUUUAAACCCCUUUUUUAAAAAAAAUUCGUCCGGUGGCAGCACGUUGAACAGCCUAGAAGCGCACUUUUCUAACCGGGCUCUCGCGGUAGCAUCCUGAACAAAAGUCCAAAUCCAUCACCAGACUUCUCCAACCCCAAUAUCAUGUACGUAAAUACGUAAUCAUCAUGUUGUCAUAAGUUACUAUAUAUAGCAUUUUCCGGUUAUAUAAUCAGCUAUGUUCGCUUGGACUCAUGUGCGCUCGGAGUCAACAAGGAUUCCCAUUUCCCAACCAGGCCUGUACCCAAGUUUUUAGGCCCCCCGAUGCGAAAUACAAAAUGAGCCCCUAUAUUUAGAGAAUAGAAAUAAUAAAAAAAUGUAUUUAGACUUCAUCACAUAAUAGUACCAUAAGAUUUUAUGCUGAAUGGAUAAAAAGCUAAAAUAUAUUUAGACUUCACUAUGCUAAAUAUAAAUAACCUAAAUAGAGUAUUAUAUAGUUUAUAGUAACAGGAAAAAGGGGAAUAUUUGCUUUGCUUGUGAUCUGGAACCUUGAUGCGCUUGGCUUGUUAGAAUAUUAGACCAGAAAACGUGAAGCCGUGAUGCAGCUGCAGGCAACCCAGGGGAAGGACUUAAUUCAUAUUUACAGGUUUUUGAUGUAGUCAUGCUUGAUCCCGACGGACUCGCCGGUGCAGUUUGCGGCGGCAGCUCAAGGAUGGCAGGAGUAGCUGGGGCCUGCCCUCGCGCUAAGCCGCUUAUCGCCGCUGUGUCGGUCUCUUACGUCAAUCGAAUGCAAGCGUAGCUGCUCGCGACUGAGGCCACCAAGUCGCUGGUGCCAUGCGCUUGGCAGGCUGUAGAAAAUUAGAAAUUAACCUGGAUUUAGAUGGACUAACCGCCGAUUAGGGCCCCUCAAAUUUGGGGGCCCGGUGCUGUCGCGCCGUUUGCACCGUAUAAUGUAUGGGCUUGUUCCCAACUCCUUCCGUCGAUUCCCAAAGACUAGGUCGCCGCAGCCUAACUAAUCCGGAUAGAGGUGAGGCAUCAGCACCAACAUUAGACUUUGUUUGGGCCCAUUUUCUUGUCAGCGUGUUCCAUAUAUGUGAAACGAUAAUCUUGGAACAAGACGUCCGAUAGCGAUUUAUUUAAUUUAUGAGACGCUUAUAUCCUGACGUGCACUCCAAAAACAGAAGCAGGAGCUCGCCAUCCGAUUUUCAUGACUUCCAUGUCCUUCGAGUGCUCGUUGGUCUUGUUCGUCGCCGUCAUUUUUUCCGCCCACCAAAUUUUCCCAAAUCCAUCCCCCACGCACCCCGAGUUUCCAUGCUGCCGGCGCCCAAUCCAAAUUUGUUGGAUUCAUAUCAAAUCGCUGCAGCUUAGAGCAUCUCCAGCAGCCCCCCAACAACAUCUCUUAAUAAUAUAGUAUUAGAAUGUUUCAAUACUAUUUUUAUAGAUUAUUGAAAGAGAUGCUUUUAUAGUUUCUCAAUAACCUUAUCCCAAUACAAUUAAUAUAUUGGGGAGCCAAAAUUCUCACUCUAUUUAAGGGGAGUUAGAGUGAAAUAUUAGGACAACCCAAUAGUCACAGGGGAAAGAAAGAGAUUUUGAGGAAUUUCUGAAGUAUAUCUUCCUUCCAAUAUUAUUAGAUUAUUAGAAAAAAAAGAGUGCUGGAGAUGCUCUUGCAGCGGAACGCGAUCCCAAUCUCGCCCCGUUCUUCAUCGAUGGGCGCCCAGCAUGUUUGCCCUCGGCUGCCGCUCCUCCUCCCCUGCCGGCGGCAGGACGUGGUGGCCAUUCCAGCUGCACCUCCCCGGCUCUCCUCCAUCUCCCUCCUUCGAGACGGUAUCCACAACACUAAUAACCGCUCCCCCUUCCAUGGUAUGCUCACCACGCCAUGUGAAAUAGGUGUUGUGCUCUAGACUGGUGAGACCCUUGAUCUAGUAAAACUCGAUAGACUUCAGUUAACCAAACUUCAUGGGCUUCAAAGGGUGAGACUGUUGAAUGCUGCUCCGAUAGAACCAACCUCCAGCUGAUGAAAAUGUCUGGGUUCAACAUGUUGCAAAUAUAUAAGUCUUAGGUUCCGAUUUGACUUUCCAGAUGUUGCAAGGUAUAUUCUUAAAGAAAAUGGGAUUUUAGAUUAGAUGUUGCAUGAAACAUCUCCUUUUGUUACAGUGGGAAUUUGGUUUACUUGUGAUAUCAUAAGAUCGGAGGUUAGCAAGCUCUCACGCACUUCGGAUGUUGUAGAAGGUGGACGUCGACGUUGCAGACUUUAUUUCUGCAUAUUUCCGGUCUUGUGGAUGUUGCAUAAACAUAACGUCACGUUGCGAUAGGAAUUUUUUUAUCCUACAAUAAAAAGAUAGUGUCAGUUUAUGUAUAUAUUUUUAAUGUUACAAUUGAUAAUUUCUUAUGUUGCUGUAGUUAACGUCUGAUGUUGCGAUGGACGUCCGAUGAGAAAUUUUUCAUCGGACGUCCGGACGCUAGCAGUUCGGUACGUGAAAUCUCAAACUCACCUACGUAAGUCCAUCUAUAUAUAUAUGUAAUUCUGGUGCCGGUGGUUGAUGACGCCUGGAGCCUGGAGGGCUACUACUUUUUCUUAAUAAAGGAAAGGAGUCUUCCUUUGGUCUGAACUAGCCUGAUGACGUUACUUUUCAAAAAUAAAUAAAAAAACUAGCCUGAUGUGUAUUUUCCAAACACAUACAAAGAAGUCAGUAUUCCACUAAUGGAGGUUUCCUCGGCAGCGUUUUGGUGACGUUGCACGUACCGACUGGCUGGUCUCCGCAAGCUCCUGCAUGCACAAAUGGCAAGGAAAUACAGAUAUCAAAUGCUCGGGUAAAUUAUUUUGGUUUUACCGGCCGGCAAGAUAUACUGCUACUGCACAAGUUCCGGAAGCCACGACGCAAUUUUCUCGUUGGAAAGUUUGACCACGUAGAUUUCUGCAGCGGUCUAAUAAUAAACUCGUUGAUUGCGGGAAAUACUACAAAUAUUAGUAAAUUUUGAUUGAAAGUCGACAAUGUGGUUUCGGACGACCUACGUUCUUCUACGGACGACAAAGCACUUCGUCUUUACAAUUCUAGAAACCCAUGACGCCAAGGCUUCUCCAAAAAUAAAUUAACGCCACGGAAACAAGCCUACUAACUACUAUAUAUCGCUGUGUACAUUUCAACUACGACCAACAUGUUUUGACUAGAAUGUUUCAACUCAUUACAGUCUAUGAGAAAUCUGGAAUUUUUGCACUCGUGCGUGCACGCCAAGCGUGUAUGCAGGACCUUAUAUCUAUAUCAUAACAUAACAUAACAAGUAGCUUGGGCGCCUUACUCUACCACUUUGAGGCAAAAACUAGUAAACUCUUCAGAGAGCCAGCUAAGCCGCCUCUCAGGAAAUCUGAAUGUCCGAUCUCAUGGGAUUCCUGAGUUCCAUGUCGUUCUUUACUGCAGCUUUCCUCCUCUUGCCAGCCUUGUCUGCUUCAGAUGACCGGCUUGUCCCAGGCAAGCCGCUCUUGCUCGGCGCCACCGUCAUAUCCGAUGGUGGUGACUUCGCCUUGGGCUUCUUCUCCCCAUCCAAUUCCACUCCGGAGAAGCUCUACCUCGGCAUAUGGUACAACAACAUCCCCCAAUUCACUGUGGUGUGGGUUGCCAACCGGGAAACGCCGGCCAUCUCCUCCUCAGCUCCUUCCCUUGUUGUCACCAACAACACAUCUGAUCUUGUCUUGUCCGAUGCCAACGGCCGUGUUCUCUGGACAACCAACACCACCACUUCUGCAAACUCCUCACCUUUACCGAGGUCAUCGAAUAAUACCGGAUCGGUGGCGGUGCUUAUGAACACAGGCAAUCUCAUCCUACGGUCACCGGGUGGCAUGGUGUUGUGGCAGAGCUUUGACCACCCGACUGACAUGUUCCUUCCUGGCAUGAAGAUACGGAAGAGCCACAAGACGCAUGAAGGCAACCGCUUUGUUUCUUGGAACGGCCCCGACGACCCCUCGCCUGGUGCCUUCUCCUUUGUUCAGGAAACACUCCAAAGCUACAUCUUGAACGGUUCCCUCCCAGAAUGGCGCACCCCCGUGUGGACGGGAUUCACAGUCUCUAGCCACCACUGGGCAAACACCAGCAUUGUGGUAUACAUGGCAUAUGUAGACACCGACAAUGAGAUGUCCACGGUGCUCACAGUCUCCGAUGGUGCGCCGCCCAUUCAGUUAGUGAUGAGCUACUCUGGUCUGCUAGAAGGACGUGUUUGGAAUAGGGAUUCGUCAGAGUGGGCAGGGCUUGGAGUGUGGCCGGACGUCCAGUGUAGCAGGUACGGCUACUGCGGGCCCUCUGGUUACUGCGACUACACUACUGAUGCUACCCCGACUUGCAAGUGCCUUGAUGGGUUCGAGCCUGUGGACAAGGAAGAGUGGAACAAUGGCAGGUUCUCGCAGGGCUGCCAGCGAAAGGAGGUGUUUCGGUGCAGUGAUGGUUUCUUGGCGCUGCCGUAUAUGAAGGUGCCCGACAACUUUGUGCGCAUCGGGAGAAAGACCUUCCAGGAGUGCGCAGCUGAGUGCAGUGCCAAUUGCUCUUGUGUGGCCUACGCCUAUGCGACACUGAAUGGGAGCACAUCCAAUGGUGAUGCCACACGGUGCCUUGUGUGGAUUGGUGAUCAUCAGCUCGUCGACACGCAGAAGAUAGGCGUGCGUCCCUAUAAUACGAACACGGCUGGUGCUGAUAGUCAAGAGACGCUAUAUCUCCGAGUUGCAAGCAUGCCAGGUACCAUUCAUAUCAGAAGAACUUGUGUCGGAAGCAUAUCCAAGACGAACUUGUGGAAUGACCGUUAGAGUCUACCAUCACUUUAAUAUAUUAUCAUUUAUCCGUAUCAUCUUAGCACUGAGGUCUUGCUCCAAAUAUGCAGAUAUAGCAUAAUAACACCACUUUUAGUUCCCCAUGAAAAAUUAAGGGAGCGAGCUACAUACAUCUGUAGUCCGCCCGAACUCAGCUGUUCAUUUACCUGGUAUGUAAAGUAGGCAGCAAGAUCAUGGCAUGUAGUAGGAUAGUGGCAACUAAUUUGGAAUAUGCUCGCAUCCUAGAACCAUAAUCUGAUCACAAGAUAUGGCUGCAUGCAUGUUGGAGUCAAUAUAUGAGCAUCAAGAAUAGAUUCUGAACUCUGAGAUAUAUGUACAGUUUUUUUUCCAUUUCCUAGUGAUCUUAAUUUAUCGUAAGCUACAUCGAGUUAAGGAUUGAUCUUAAUUCCCAGCUAUCAUUAUUUUAGUGGAGAGGGUAAUAUUAUGUAUUGUAAAAAUCGUAGCACCGCUUAGUCUGUUUGAAACUGAACUCUGCAGUCAUGCGGUUCUUAACUUGGCGCUAUAUGAAUAAGUUUUGCACUUACUUGCAGGUAAAAGGACAAAAAAGAACACACUGAAAGUUCUACUACCAAUUUUAGCAGUUGUCAUUGUUCUCACUUCCAUUUUACUUGUAUGGGUCCGCAAGUUCAGAGGUAUGUUUUCUUCUAUAUAGUAUCACAGUUACUCAGGAACAAGUACUAACAACUUUUGGUCGCAGGAAGGAAAACAAAUACAGAAAAUCAAAUGAAGCUAAUGCAUGGAGGUUAUACUACUUCAGACGAACUUGGAAGAGAAAAAAAUACCAGUGAUUUUGAACUUCCAUUUCUGAAAUUCCAAGAUAUUCUUUUGGCGACAAACAAUUUCUCCAGUACAUUUAUGAUUGGACAAGGUGGUUUCGGCAAAGUUUAUAAGGUAAUUUAUAGUGGAACUUCCUUACUUUGUUUUUCCUGGAUUAUUGAUUAUCUAAUUAAGUAAUAUGCACAACAUAUCACAAUCAUGCUUCUCUAUGUGAUAAUUACAAAGGGGACAUUAGAAGGUGGUCAAGAGGUUGCAAUCAAAAGACUUAGUAGGGACUCAGACCAAGGAAAUCGGGAAUUCAGAAAUGAAGUUAUUCUAAUUGCCAAGCUACAACAUAGAAACCUGGUUCGACUUCUUGGUUGCUGCAUUGAGGGAGAUGAAAAGCUGUUGAUUUAUGAGUACCUGCCUAAUAAAAGCUUGGAUGCCAUCAUUUUCAGUAUGUUCUACUGAAUACAAGUUCAAUACUCUUAAAAAAACAAGUUAAAUGUGCGACUGAGUAAUUAUAUAAUUACAGUUUUUAAGAGACAUCCCAUGAUUGUUCAUUGUAGAUCGUGAAAGAAAUGCAACACUUGAUUGGCCAAUAAGGUUCGGGAUAAUCAAAGGAGUUGCUAGAGGACUUCUUUACCUCCAUCAUGAUUCAAGACUAACAAUAGUACACAGAGAUCUCAAAGCCAGUAAUAUUUUGCUAGAUGCAGAGAUGAGACCCAAGAUAGCAGACUUUGGUAUGGCAAGGAUCUUUGGUGACAACCAGCAAAAUGCAAAUACGAGAAGAGUUGUUGGGACAUAGUAAGUACUAUUCUUCGCAUAUUAAUAUAUGGUUGUACCAAAUUCAUCUUCAUAAUUUCUGCAUAUUUCAUACCAGUGGUUAUAUGGCUCCUGAGUAUGCAAUGGAGGGCAUUUUCUCUACGAAGUCUGAUGUCUAUAGCUUUGGAGUCUUACUGUUGGAGGUUGUAAGUGGCAUCAAGAUAAGCUCUUCUGAUCGCAUUCCGAGUUACCCAAACCUAAUAGUCUAUGUAAGUAAAUACUAUGAUUUAGCGGAGUGAAGGGUUUUAAUCUUCUUAUAUAAUCUCAGUGAGUGAUGUAAUUGUCUCAGGCGUGGAACCUUUGGAAGGAAGGGAAGGCAACAGAUUUGGUAGACAAAUGUAUUGCGGAGAACUGCGUACUAGAUGAAGCUUCACUUUGCAUCCAUAUAGGUCUUCUGUGCGUACAGGAAAAUCCUGACGAUAGGCCAUUCAUGUCUUCUGUUGUGCUCAACUUGGAGAAUGGAAGUACAACACUACCAGCGCCAAAUCACCCUGCAUAUUUUGUACAGAGAAAUAGUGAUAUGGAGAAAAAGAGAGAAGAUAUUAUGAACUCCAAGAACACGGUGACUCUUACAAUCAUAGAGGGGAGAUAGAGUAGCUCUUCAUUUUUAUUCUACAACAUCUGUCUAGAUCAAUGCUGUGAAAUAAUUUCUUUUAGCAGCAAUCUGGAAGUUCUAUUAAUACAAGUGUGCUGCUAUCUUUCCCUACUAGCAGCCCUGCUGGGAUAGUCUUCAACAGAUAUAUCAAGCUCAACGCAAAGCAUUCCAUUGAGAUUAUACAGAAAGCAUAAAGUCUCUAAAACAGAAGCUCUACAAAGUAUGGGGGCAGCAAGGCAAGGGAUACUGAUUGUUGCGACCAUCCAGGAAGCCACGGUAUUGGGCGCGGCCGCGCGGGCAUGCACCAUCGUAUGUUGAAGCCUUGAAGGAGACGGAUAGACGGUGACUGCCGGUGGAUACGCGUCCAUUUCGUUGCGCGGUUGCGGUUUCAUUUGGUGGGUCGGCAGUGGCCAUUUGUGCUGGGCCGGGCAGGCUUUGAUGGUCCAAGCUUUUGUAAGGUUAGGCUGGACCCUGCUGGUGGGUUGGAGACAAAUGUGCUUUGGCACGCUGUGGCCUACCUUUUAGGCCGGGGAGUUUUCUUUUCCCUCCUAAUGUCGUGCCGAACUCAAGCCCAGAUUUGGAGCCCAGACUCUUCGAUCACGGACAACGCGCGCUGGGUUGACGUUUUCAGUUUUUGUCGGAGCGCGUCCAGUGGUAGCACCUUGAACAACCCAAUAGCCCACUUUUCUAGCCGGGCUCUACGGUAGCAUCCUGAACGAAAGCCCAAAUCCAUCGCCAAACUUCUCCAACCGGCCCCCAAUGUCAAGUACGUAAUCAUCAUGUUGUCAUAAGUUACUAUGUAUAGUAUUUUCCGGUUCUAUAAUAUACUUGUCGCCUUGCGUUGGGAUCAGCUCAUGCCUCCUCGCCUGGAAUGGACUCGCGCGCUCGGAGUCAACAAGAAUUCCCAUUUCCCAACUUCUUCCGUCGAUCCCCAACGACUAGGUCGCCGCAGCCUAACUAAUCCCGCAUAGAGACGAGGUCAAUGCUGUGAGAUAAUUGCUUCUAGCAGUAAUCUGGAAGUACUAUUAAUACAAGUGUGCUGCUGCUAUCUUCCCUACUAGAAGCCCUGCUGGAUUAGUCUUAAACAGAUGUAUCAAACUCAACUUGAAGCAUUUCAUUGAGGUGAUACAGAAAGCUCUAAAACAGAACAGGACCUCUGCCUAGUAUGGGGGCAGCAGGGCAGGAGAUACCGAUUGCUGCUUGCCAUUGAGCUGAGGUCGUCAUCGAUCACCUGCAGAAGCAACUGCGUAACCUGCUAUCGCUUGCCCGCACGCAGGGACAAGCAAUUGCAACCAAUUGGAUGCAGAGCGCGGGAAUGGGCACACAGGUUGAUCUCCGCCGCUCACAAUCUCCUCUCCUCUGCAUUGGCGUCCGGCGGGCGACGGCCUCAGGCUGAUCGGGCAUACGAGGACGCGCGCCGCGAGGAAUUGAAGCGACUGCUCCCAAAUCUUCUGAGCUGGAAGGCAAGCGUACGCCGGCCCAACCCAAAGCAACUGGUUUCUAAUCCGCUUGGCCGCGUGCAAACUUUUGGACCCUGUAGAAGAUUCAGCCCCCACAGGAAAAGAAAAGAAAGCCCAUGAAGCCCAUCCGCCCCGAAAAGUAAAAGAGAAGAAAAGCUUAUGGGCCCAGAAAUUCCGUGGGGUGCAAGUUAGCCCAACAUCUAAAGGACCCCACGUGCCAGUGACACAUUGGAAGACACCCCACCUGUCUAAUCCGACUCCACCUCGCCGGCCUGCCCAAUCCUUUUCACCUCCAAACCGAAAAAACCCACAGAACCCUAGCCUCCCAACCAUCCUCCUGCUCGCUCCCGCCGUCCUCGUAGUCCAUCCACUCUACUGGCGGCGGCGCGGCGGCGAGAGGAGAGCCAACCCGCCCGGCUUGAUCUGAAGCAUGGAGAAGGUAAGCAAAGGAGUGCGGAUCGAGCAACCCGUCCUCCCCCCUCAUGGUCGUGGGGAUCACCUCUCUGUUUGUGGGACUGAUUUGGGUGAGCUUUUGUGCAGCCGCCCGGGGCGCAGGGGGCGGGGAAGGUUGCGGAGGAGAAGGUACGUGUACUCAUUUACCUAACUCUGUCUCGCGUUCGCAGGGGGCUUGGGAAGUGUGAGAUUAUAAAUUGAACCGCACUUUGGCAGCAAGGUCUGCACCCCCCCCCCCCCCAACAACAUCCCCAUGACUGCUUUGCCUAGACCGUGUUUAGCCCGAAAUUGUAACAUAUAUAGUCUCUGAAUCAACUGUUUGUCUUCUGAGAUGUCUGAGUCAGCAGUUUGUAUUGAGUGGUUGGGUAAUGCAUACUAGUAUGUGUUAGCGGCUCCUCAAUAAAUGCAUGGACAGUAUGAAGUGACAAUUUGUGUACUUUGGUAGUAUAAUGCUCCCCACUCACACAACCACGCACGAAAAAUGGCCGCGGGGGGAGGGGGGUACUUGGCACCUUUGUGCAGUCAGAACUGCAUUUUUUUUGGUGUUUUAGUUAGCAACCCUUUCUGUUCAAUAUUCAAUCCUUUUUAAUUUGUGCAGCAACUUGAUGAGAAAGAGUUAGAAAGGAAGCUGAAAAAAGACCAAAAGGUAUCAGCCAAGUUCUUUUCUUGCUUUGAUUUCGAUAUUGUAUACUCAUUUCCCUGCUGUAUUCUUUUGCGUUGGCCCAAAUGGUUAACUGAUAAUUGGAAAUGGUCAUUACAUCAAACUUAACAGUGAUUUCACUGAAGUUGGAAAUGAGCUGAGUUAUGAGAUCGGACUUUUAUUUUGUUAUGGUGUGUGUAAAUAGUCAUUUAUGGGUGAAAUUUUCACUUGCAGGCAAAAGAGAAAGAAGAGAAAAAACUUAAGGCAAAACAAAAGGAGGCAGCUAGGCUCCAGGUUCAAUUAUAAUGCUCUUGAAUUUGUAUAUGACUGAACAGAUGAUCCAGAUAUCUAGUAAGUGAAAUGCUUGUUGGAUAUGACUUAGGCACAAGCAACCUCAGAUGGAACAAAGAAGACUGAGAAAAAACAGAGGAAGAAAGCUGUGGAGGAUGAAAAUCCAGAGGAUUUCAUUGAUCCAGACACUCCUAAUGGACGGAAGAAAUUGCUUGCGCCUCAGAUGGCCAAGCAAUACAGUCCAAAUGCAGUUGAGAAAUCGUAUGAUCUUUUUUGCAUUUGUUGAUUUUAUAAUUCCUAGCACUGUUAAUGUCUAGCUCAACUGCAUGGUUUUUUCUUUUUAUGCAGAUGGUAUGCCUGGUGGGAAUCAUCAGGAUAUUUUGGCGCAGAUUCUGCAAGCACAAAACCACCAUUUGUUAUAGUAAGUGAUUCAUGCUCUUGAAGGUUGUGCAAGAUAAGCUAGAAGCUGAUUUAGAAUACUGCAUCUUUUUACAUAACUGUAGUGCUUUUAUAUUGUCAAAUAGUGGGUAAGCUUCCAACAAAGAGUUGUUAUUUCUUUUCAGGUUUUGCCACCGCCAAAUGUGACUGGAGCUCUUCACAUAGGCCACGCGCUUACAGUGGCUAUAGAGGUAUUCUUUUUUUUUUACAGAUAUGCCAUGUUAGCACUAUAGACAUUGACUAUACAAUGAUUUUAUUCUCGUUACAUUAACCAACGCAGGAUGCUAUGAUACGCUGGCGUAGGAUGUCAGGCUACAAUGCUCUAUGGGUUCCUGGAGUGGACCAUGCUGGCAUUGCCACACAGGUCUGCAUUUAAGAAUUCAUUAAUCUCGCGGAAUUUAUAUGAUGAAAUAUAAACUUUGGAUAAUGUGAUUUUGUUGCUGAUAUGUUCUUUUUGGCUGGAUAUAUUGUUAAUCAAGUUGUGAAAUAAACAUAUGUGGACACCCAUGCUGGCAGCGCUAGUAACAAUGUGUAGCCAUUAAAAGAAAUCUGUCAACAUGGGUGUUGGGACAUGUUAAUAGAACAUACUUCUGCAAUUUAGUGAUUUUUUUAAAAUCAUGUUUUGAAUUUCAUUUCCUACUUUUGGAUGUUUACUGUUUAGCACUUGUUCAUUCAUUUGUGCAUAGCCAGAAUCCCUUAUAUUUCAGGAUGGAGGUAGCUUUUUUGUUGCCUCUAUUCCCUUAUAAGCAAAUCAAUAUUGUAUAAUUUUGGCCAAAUGUGUGUUUUGUGUCUGCUCAUUUCAACUUAUAUUAUUUCUAUGAUUUAACUUACCAUUUGUAGUUCGGAUUUCUUGUUUGGACUAAUUGGUGGACAUUUGAGUACUUCAAUGUUUUGUACUUACUUCUUUUUGACAUCUGCUCUCAUGUUUAUCAGGUUGUCGUAGAAAAGAAGCUUAUGCGCGAAAGGAAGCUGACAAGGCAUGACAUAGGGCGUGAAAAUUUUGUUUCUGAAGUAAGCACUUUUUUCCAUGACAUAUUAUUUUUCUCGGCCAAUUCUUUAUUUGUUUCCAUUAUAUUACUUGGUGUCUAUGUUCUGAAAUGAAAAAGUUGUCUGUUUUGUUUGAAUGCUUAAUCCUGUAUCUGAUGUAUCAUUUUUCUGUUCAAUUCAUUCCUUCCAUUUUAUCAUCUGACAAACAGGUACUCAAAUGGAAAGAUCAAUAUGGUGGUACCAUAUUGAAUCAAUUGCGCCGGCUUGGGGCCUCACUUGAUUGGUCCCGUGAGGUAACAUACCUAUUUAUUUUAGUUGGGAAAAGGCAUGACUCGUGCUUGAACCAUGCAUAGUAACUUCAUUUUAAACUGGAUACCAGGCUUUUACAAUGGAUGAGCAAAGAUCUAAAGCUGUAACUGAAGCUUUUGUCAGGUUACACAAAGAAGGCCUGAUAUAUAGGUUAGUUUCUCCACAUUUUCUGUUCAAGUGUUAAAUUGAAAAUUUUAUAUAGGUUAGUUUCUCCACACUUUCUGUUCAGGUGUUAAAUUGAAAAUUUUCCCACUGUCAAUUUUGCUUGAUUGUUGAUCUACGCUUCUAUUUUUUAGUUGCCAACCUAGUUCUUUCACAUUUUAUGAAUGGUCUAUUCCUUUUCAGAGAUUAUCGCCUCGUGAACUGGGAUUGCACACUUCGAACUGCAAUUUCGGACAUCGAGGUUGAUGGAACUUUUAUAUUGUUUAUGAUAUGAUAGACAUUGUUAUCAUUUGUAUGCAUGAUUAAGAUAAUUAAGAUGGAAAAUGCUGUUUUGACAGGUUGAUCAUAUUGAUCUUAAAGAAGAAACUAUGUUAAAGGUCCCUGGUUAUGCCAAUGAGGUGCAGUUUGGUGUAUUGAUAUCUUUUGCCUAUCCUCUUGAAGAAGGCCUGGGUGAGAUCGUUGUAGCAACCACCAGAAUUGAAACGAUGCUGGGCGAUACAGCAAUAGCUGUUCACCCCGAGGAUAAAAGGUAUAAGCAUCUGCACGGAAGGUAUGCAGUCCAUCCCUUCAAUGGGCGGAAACUCAAAAUAAUCUGUGAUGCUGAGUUAGUUGAUCCCACUUUUGGUACUGGGGCUGUAAAGGUAAGAGUUGCUGCUGAGGGCUAUUUUUCAUAAUCUUACUUUACCUACUUGGACCUUCCCCAUAUUCUUAGAAUUGUAUUGUUUUCUGGUUUUUAUGCAGAUUACACCUGCCCAUGAUCCAAAUGACUUUGAGGUUGGAAAACGGCAUAACCUUGACUUCAUCAAUAUAUUCACCGAUGAUGGAAAAAUAAACAGCAAUGGAGGUGCACAAUUUGAAGGAAUGCCCAGAUUCACAGCUAGAGUUGCCGUUAUUGAGGCGCUGAAGGAAAAGGUAUUACUGGAUUUGCUUAACUAUCCACUAAAAAAAAUUCCCUGAAAUUGUAUGAAUAUAUGGAUUAUAAUGUGUGACAUGGCAUGCAUGAUUUAACAGAGUGAAAAUGCAAAUAGUUAUCAUGGUCUUUGUAUCAUAAACAUGCUAUAUAUAUUCUAGCAUGACUUUCAGUUCAGCAUUUGUGCUGGAAACAGCUUAUCAGUGUCAGGUUGGGUUCGGCUAUCCAUAAAUAUAUAUUUUUUAAUCUCAUGUCUUACAGAUAUCCUUCGUGCUGUGGAAAUUAUUGAUAGCUUAAUCAUUUUUAUAAAAAAUUAAGUCUUUGCCUUCUUGUUUUAUAUGAUGGAUUAACAUUUUUUUAUUCUUCUAAUUAAGGGGCUCUAUAAAGACACAAAGAAGAAUGAAAUGAGCUUGGGCGUUUGUUCAAGAACUAAUGAUGUAGUGGAGCCUAUGUUAAAGCCACAGUGGUUUGUUAAUUGCAACUCCAUGGCCAAAGCGGGCCUUGAUGCUGUAAGGUCCAAAAAGAUUGAGAUUAUUCCCCAGCAGUAUGAACAAGACUGGUACAGGUAUAUCUUAUGAUGUGUCAUCUCUUGCAAUUAUCAUGUCAAAUGAAUCAGAUAAACCUGAAAUAAAAUUAUCCAUUAAUUACUGCUGUCCUUGCAGAUGGCUUGAAAAUAUACGUGAUUGGUGUGUGUCGAGGCAACUAUGGUGGGGACAUCGUGUACCUGCAUGGUAUGUGACACUAGAAGAUGACCAGGAUAAAAACCUUGGUUCUGACAAUAACCGCUGGAUAGUUGCAAGAAAUGAAAGCGACGCAAACCUGGAGGCGCAGAAAAAGUAUCCAGGAAAGAAAUUAUGGCUAGAUCAAGACCCUGAUGUGCUGGACACAUGGUUUUCAUCUGGUCUUUUCCCCUUAACAGUACUUGGUUGGCCGUCCGAUACCGCUGACCUCCGUGCUUUCUACCCUACUUCGGUGCUAGAAACUGGACUUGAUAUUCUCUUCUUUUGGGUAGCAAGGAUGGUGAUGAUGGGACUGCAACUGGGUGGUGAUGUGCCAUUUGAGAAGGUAUAGCACAAGUUCUGGUUCACCGCCAUUUAAACUGUAUCAUAUGAUUGUAGCAGUCUAGUCUAAUACAUUUUGUUCACGUUAGAUACUCUAUUCAAAACCUAUCUCUGCCUACUUUGUCCCCUUCAUGUGGCUUAAUUCUGUAACGCUGUAAUCUGACCAAAAAGAGACCCCCAUGCUAGUGCAAUCUACCUGUAAUAUUGUGGAUGUUUAAUCAAGUUACUGUAAAUUUGUUAACUGAAAUGAGGAACCUGCCCAUUUUAAAUUUUUCUCUGCUUAUGUUCUCCUCCCUUAAUCUCUACAGCCCGCACUGAUUUCCUUCUGAAUGAACUCUGCACCUUUUUAAUAUUUACCAUAUAUUGCUUACAUAUUUGGUGACAUCAUCCUUUAUUUCCGUUAUAGUAAAGGCAUGAAGUUACCAUCUUUCCUUUUGCUUGUGGCUCCAAAUUAUAUCCUUUUAUUUCUGAACUCAAUUAACAAGCCAACCAUAGGAGCUACAAAAUUUCGACACUUCAUAUGGUAGUGAAGUAUAUUUAUCUCAUGUCCAAUGAUCAAUGACCACACACCCUCUUCUUAGGUUUAUUUACAUCCUAUGAUCCGUGAUGCACAUGGGAGAAAGAUGUCAAAAUCACUUGGUAACGUUGUUGAUCCUCUUGAGGUGAUAAAUGGCAUGUCACUGGAAGGUCUUCUGAAACGUUUGGAAGAAGGCAAUCUGGAUCCAAAUGAAUUAAGCAUUGCGAUAGAAGGGAAGAAGAAAGAUUUUCCUGAUGGCAUAGCUGAAUGUGGUACCGAUGCCCUCCGCUUUGCACUGAUUGCUUACACAUCCCAGGUUGUUAUGGUGCCCAGUUGAGUUUUUUCUUUAUUAUACAUGCAUUUAAGCUUUUUUUACAAUCUGUUUUGUUUCUCAGUCUGACAGGAUAAAUCUUGAUAUCAAGAGAGUGGUUGGAUACAGACAGUGGUGCAACAAAUUAUGGAAUGCCAUCCGUUUUGCGAUGGGCAAACUGGGUGAUCAUUACACUCCACCUGCAACUGUAGAUGUUUCUUGCAUGCCACCAAUAUGCAAGUGGAUACUCUCAGUGCUUAACAAGGCCAUUGGCAAAACUGUUACCUCUUUAGAAGCAUACAAAUUCUCUGAUGCAACAUCUACUAUAUACUCGUGGUGGCAGUACCAGUUAUGUGAUGUAUUUAUUGAAGCUAUCAAACCUUAUUUCUUCAGUGAUUCUCAAGAGUUUGAAUCAGCAAGAGCUGCCUCCAGAGAUACCCUGUGGAUCUGCCUGGAGACUGGUCUGCGCCUGCUCCACCCAUUCAUGCCUUAUGUAACAGAAGAGCUGUGGCAGCGUCUUCCACAGCCCAAAGAUUCUUGUAGGAAAGAUUCAAUUAUGAUUUCGGAAUAUCCAUCUCUUGUUGAGGUAAUACCCGUGUCGUAAAGAAGAUUCUUGUAGGAAAAAUUCAAUUGGUGAUUUGAGAACUUAACACAUGGAAACUAUUGUUCUUUAUGACAGGAAUGGACUAAUGAUAGACUUGAAAAUGAAAUGGACAUUGUCUUGGACGCCGUGAACAGAAUAAGAUCGUUGAAGCCACCAACAGAUUCAAAUGAAAGGUAUGUACAUGGUCAUCUGUUUUGUUUUUGUGUUUGGUAUUUGCUUGUUUGGUUCUUCUUCAACCUGCUUUUGCAAAAUGGAGUAAUAUCUUGUUGAUAUUUUCGUCUUUCUUUACAGACGACCUGCUUUUGCACUUUGCCGAGGCCAAGAGAUUGCUGCCACUAUCCAAUGCUAUCAAUCUCUAAUCUUGUCUCUUUCCUCCAUAUCACAUCUCAAGGUUAUGCCUUACAUUUCUGUACGACACUGUUAUUUUUCAUUAGGGAAAAAUAUAUGCCUUGCAUCACCUACAAUCAAUAAUCCUGAAACCUAAAUGUACUUUUAUUGCUUGAAAUUGCUGUUGUUACCCGCUGAUUCUUGCCAAAUAACUGUUCUUCUUGGCUUUCUUCAUCUUUUCAUAUUUAUAUGCUACAUACUUGAGAAAAAAUUGAAUUCCACCUGAAUUAAAAGCUCCUGAACAAGAGCACUGAUUUUUUAUUUGGAAUUCUUCAGAUCCUGACAGAGAACGAUGAAACUCCAGCCGACUGUGCCACUGCUGUUGUAAAUAAAGACUUAUCUGUGUACCUUCAGCUCCAAGGAGCUCUAAAUGCAGAUGCUGAACGUGAAAAGCUAAGGAAGAAAAAGGAUGAAAUUCAAAAGUACGUGCGCUCAUCCUGUCUUCACGGUCCACUUUUUUACAGUUAAGACCUGCGCAUGUAUCGGUAUUCAUUAACAUGGUUGGUCUCUUGACAUACACGCAGGCUACAACAUGCCUUGGCACAGAAAAUGGACGCCUCUGGUUACCGUGAGAAGGCUCCACAGAAUGUGCAGGAAGAGGACAUGAGAAAGCUCACCGCAUUAUUGGAACAACUAGAGGUCAUCAGUGAAGCUGAGAAGAAAUUAGAUGCAAAAAUUGGAAAUAACUGAGUCUGAUGCCUCUGUUUUAAAGAUGCUCUGCUUAUACCAAAGUUGAUCCCACAUUUUUUUUACCGGAAAGUCAGUUAUGCACCUGUAUACUCAGGUUUAGAAUCGAUGGUUUUGGUCGAAAUUAAAGUCACAUUUUCCAGCUUGUAAGAAUAUACUGACGGUCUGUACAGAACCAUAUUUUUGGAUGUUCGAUACUGCCAAGCUUUUGAUGUUGAUGCAUGUGGGCACUAUGUCAGAAUAUGCUGUAGCUGUAUUAAUUAUUAUUGAUGUUUCCUGUCAGCAAGCUUCGAGGUGUACUCCUUCUGUUCUAAAACCUAAUAUUCACAAUAUCAAAUUAUCAUAAUUAGAUUCUAUUAUGAAAUAUAUUUUCAUAGUAGAUGUUAAUUCUCUCUUUUUUAAAUAAAUUUGGUUAAAUUUUCAUGACGCCUUAUAUUCUAGGACGGAAUGAGUAUGCAACAAUGCGUCACUUUUGUAGCUAUUCUUUUGCGGCCAAACUUGUGAAUCAAGAAAAUACUGCACGCUUUUCGUUCAGAAGUGUGUGUUUGAAUAAGUUGGGCUUCUGUGUUGCCACGGGAAAUGAGCAAACGUAGCGGCUGCACCCACAAAGCACGCCGUGCACCAACCCCUGAUUGCGCCAUGCGGGGAGUGCGCAGAACCACACGAUGCCAAGGGCGCGGCGCCGCGGAUCGUGCUCGGGGCGCGUCGCGUGCCCCACUGCGCGCCACCAGCGGCGGCGGCGGCGCUGGGGCUCAUGUCGCGGUCCGCGCCGCGCGUGUCGUUCCUCCCUCGCCGGCCCCAGCCGGACAUGGACAUCAUCCCGAUGAAGUUCAUGUCCAUCCGGCUGCACCGGCGUCGUCCUCACGCUGGACGGCCUUACGGCCACGGACGCAGCCAUUCGCGCGCACUUCACCUAAGCCAAGCCCAGCGCGCGAGGGUGCAAGCCAGCCGCGCCGCGAGGGAGAGCCUGCUUCGAAACUUUCAAGCGCCCGUGCGCUCGCCGCGCUGGGCACCACAUGGACGUUUCUAGCCGAUCAUGCUAUGGGCGCACGCCCCCGCGGCGUGGGGAUUGCACGAAAUUGGCAUCCCCCGUGGCGGGCGCUCGGUUCGCCGGCAGACCGGCAGAGCCACGGACUGGAGGGAAGAACACUCGUGAGAACAAUGCACCACUCUCUGUGUGAAGGGACGCUAGCUACGGGCUGCAGCUGCCGCCGCCGCUGUACUGGAGGCUGCCCCCUGGUUAACGUCGCGGCAGCAGAGGGCCGCUCCCUCAGCGCCACGCCACGGCGCCAAGCUCGACUCGCCUGCUCCGGGCUCCCUCGGCGCGAUCUGCGCGCCGGCGCGCGCUCCACGGACGACGCAUUCUCCAUCUCCACCUCCCACCGACCGGCGACGCGCAAAUCGUCCCCGCGCCGCCGCCGUCCCUGGCGGCGGGCAAGAACGAAGGCGCGACACGGACGCCGAUGUGGGCGCACAAAGGUACGUGGCCGACUGAGUGCUAGGUACGAGAAUACGGGCAGGGAGCAGGACGGGAACAGCGUUGCGCGGCUAAUCGCCGGCUCCGCGGCUGGCAGGUCGUGCUCCGGGCGCGCUAGCCCAGCGGCCCGCGGCGAGGAGUGGCGCGCGGAGGUGGACGGGGUGGUCGUGAUUUCAUUUACCGUCCACCCCACACGGGAAUUUCUCUUUUCUCUUUCUCGAUCUGUAGAUCGUAUCUGAACUUGAAAUUUUGCGUGACACCUUGUCACCGCGUUCCUCGUCUCCAUGAAUUUUCGUAGGAUAUUUGCGCACCGGUGCCGCCGUCAAAUGGGGAUUUCCCGGUGGACGGGGGUGGUCGUUAUUUCAUUUACUGACCACCCCUGCGGAAACUUCUCUUUUCUGCUUCUUCCUGUAUGCAUGACAUCUGAGUCUGAAAUUUUGUAUGGUUAUUGGGGACAAUAGGCCCCAUCUCUGUGAAUUUUUAUGGGAUUUUUUAGCUCUUGUGCCGCCGGGAAAAUAGGAUCUCUCAUGUGGCCGGCCUGUUCACCGGUCCUGCAGGGCACCCGAUGAGCAGCGGCCGUGGACUGCAGACACGGACGUGUUCAGGACUUCAGGCCAUGGAUUACACGUGAGAUCCGAGACCGCGGCGAAGGAGCUAGGCGCUGCGGGCUACGGCUGCACUUGGUGGAGGAUCUUCAGUCCUUGUCCGUCGCAGUGCUCCCGCUCGGCUCGUCAACGAUAGGGCCCUAUAGGCCUUCGGCCGGUUGUACUGGCUACAGGGAGCGUCCGGUCGUCGGUGAGGAGCUAGGCAUGGAGGUCUGGGAGGAGAAGGCGCCGGGUGUUGACGCCACGGAAGAGGGAGGGGAGCGCGCCGUACGCGGACGGUGAAGUCGCGACGCCGCGCUCGUCGAGCCUGUACAGCGCGGCUUCGGGAAGGCGAAGUGAGUGCUCUUGCCGGCGGGACAUGGAGGCGUGAAUCCUGGAUCGUCGGGAGCACCAAGUCAGACUCGCGGUCACCGGAGCCGGGGAUGGCAUGGCCAUGGCGAAGUCGUGCCGGCCGGCGAUGGGUCAGACCUCCUCACCUCCUUCAACGAGUCCGGUGAAUUCCUCGAUCUGCACCGUAGACUGUCCAUCCAACGGCGGCAGGUAUCGGUGAGAUGGACUCUGGUCAACAGAUUUAACGCUCUUUGCAAAAAACGCCCUGAAAUGGAUCGCGGUCAAUAAUCGCGAUCCAAUUUUUUUCGUUUAACCUACUAAAAUGGAUUCAAUUUUUUCAUAAACCCCCUGAAAUGGAUCGCGAUCAAUAGUCGUUAUCCAAUAUUUUUCACUUAACCCCCUAAAAUGGAUUCAAUGUUUUGCAGAAACCCCCAGCUCUGUUCGUCUACCUCGCAUCAUGAGUUCAAGACGGACCUCAAUGGGGGAUGGAGGCGGCCAGCGGCGACGCUUUCGCCCACGACGGUGCCCGCGUACGGCACCCUGAAUCGUGGUUUCCCCAUCCACACCCGCUCCUGGUGGUCUCCGCCUCCCCAUACUUCCGUACUGGCACCGCGCCCGCGCGCGCACGCCACAAACUGAACCUAGCGAAUGUGCCGUCCUUCCGCGCCGCCGGCGAGGAUGUGGACGUGCUGGAUAGGGUGCAACUGGCGCGGGUGCGGGGACCAACAGAUGCGAAUAGAUUCUGAUGAAGGCACAGCCACCACACGUCUCCGUCGUAAUGUACAGCUGAAAAAGGUUAGCAUUGCUCUAUUGUCUUGUCUGUCUACCGUCCCUGAAGAACAGUCAUGGUGAUGGAGUUCCUGGAGCUCUGAACAUCAUCUCCUUUUACCUUACAGUUCCUCUCUGCGAAAUACGCCGGCUGAUCCGGCGCCGGCAGAGACACGCUCCCGUUCUCCAGGAUGGACACGACAGACGACAUGAGCGGCCGGCCGUUCGGGUCGUCCUGAACGCAGAGGAGCCCGACGUGGAUGCUGAGCAAGACUUCAUCCAACGCGCAGCUCUCCACGAUGGAUGAGUCUACCAGGUCACUUGCAUUCCCUUCCUUCCACAGCUUCCAUGCCUGCAAAAAAAUCAAACCAAAUCAUAUUUUCUCAAAAACUGAUAAAUCAUUGCCUGCACGGACUGCACUCCAAGUGGUCUUAUACUAUGUACUUACAUAGGCUACAAGGCCUGGAGACCCCAUUAUGUCAUCGGUAGAGCUUAUCCUGACGCCGCUAACAAUCUCCAGGACCAAUAUGCCAAAGCUGUAGACGUCAGACUUGACAGAGAAGACGCCCUCAAUUCGAUAUUCAGGAGCUAUGUAGCCACUAUUAACACCAUCAGAAAUUCAGACUUCAGAGUCGUCAGGCACAAACCAUGUCUAAUCAUAUGCAAAAUUCAGUGUUGAAAGACAAAAUCGAAGUAUUACUCACUAUGUUCCGACAACUCUCUUAGUGUUUGCCUUCUGCUGGUUUUCGCCAAAUAUCUUGGCCAUACCGAAAUCUGCUAUUUUGGGUCUCAUCUCUGCAUCCAACAAGACAUUACUCGCUUUGAGGUCCCUGUGUAUCACUGUCAGUCUUGAAUCUUGAUGGAGAUACAGAAGACCUCUAGCCACGCCCUUGAUGAUCCCAAAUCUUGUCGGCCAAUCCAGCAGAGAUUUCCUUUCGUUGUCUGCAUUGAACAACAAUACCAUACGGGGAUAAUGAUUACUUUUUAGAGUUAGGAUCAUGUUACUUCAAUGUGACAUUUUAGCAGAUUCAGUUAUGAACUUAUGAUGAAUGGAACAUACCGAAAAGGAUAGCAUCUAGGCCUUUAUUGGCCAAGUACUCAUAUAUCAGCAACCUCUCAGCUCCCUCGGUGCAGCAACCGAGAAGCCGAACUAAGUUCCGGUGCUGCAGUUUGGAAAUCAAAAUAGCUUCAUUCUUGAAUUCCUCUAUCCCUUGUUCAGAAUCCUUGCUGAGCCUCUUGACAGCGACUUCGCGACCACCUAAUAAUGUCCCCUUCAGAAUUAUAGAACAAUAACUGAGUGUUGACUCUUGAGUACUAUAAUCCAAUUCAUGGGUUCAGAUGGAAAAAGGAUAUUGCUGCAGAACAUGAUAGUACCUUGUAAACUUUUCCAAAACCUCCACGCCCGAUCAUACAUGCUCUCGAGAAGUUAUUAGUUGCCACAGCAAUAUCACUGAACUGUAUGGAAGGGAAUUCAAGAUCUUCAGUAGGGUUUCCUUCUCCAAGUUCACUUGAUGUGCGCACACUGCCAGGCACCAGCUUCUUCUCACUUUCACUGCUUAUUCUCUUACCUGCAAAAUUGAUGUUAAACAGCAUCUAUUUUGUGAUAACAUGUACUUCCUCUGUUUCACAAUUGUUGUUGUUUUAACUUCUACUAUUCUCAAAAUACUUGCUGUUCUACAACUCCAUUGUCAACUUUGACCCAUGUUUUCCAAUCCUACCCGUACUUACUAAAUGCGCAUUUCAGAGUUUGUACUUUCGAAAACAUAAAUGCACAAUUGAGAAGAUUAAUUAAUGAUAGGAUGGUCCUUUAAUUAUUGUGUCUAAGGCUCAAACAACAGUAUUGUGAAACGGAGAAAGUAUACAGAUAAACUACAAAAGGAAUAUAAGUGUACCUUUGGCUCUGCACUUACAAAACCACAAAAGGACAAUGCAUGUGACAAUCAAAACACUUGCCAACACUGGAAGUAAAAUUUUCACAGUUUUUGUCCCUGUCCUUUUGCCUGCACAAAUACAGGCGAAUGCCAUGAGCAAUUGCAAGUAGAUGCUUUUGCUGCCGGUUUAAAAUGGAGACAGUGAUACGAGCUCACCGUACAUAUAUGUGAGUACAGUGUGCCCAUGUCAAUGCCAGCCUUAUAAUCGGAAAAAGAAAAAAAAUAGAAAAUAAAAUCAAACCUGUGAAUCCGGCAGGAACCCGGAGGUUAAGCGUCUCGGCGGUCACGCCCCAGAUCGCGCCGAUCAUCUGCGCGUCGACCAGCUCCCCUGUCCACACCAGGCACCGCGCAAUGUCACCCUUGGCGCUGCUGCUGCGCAGGCUCGCGUACGCGUACGCCACGCAGGAGCAGUUCCGGCGGCACGCCGCGGCGCAGUCGUCGACGGAGAUCAUGUUCCCGAGGAGCACGAACUUGUCCGGCACCUUCAUGUUGGACAUCGCCAAGAACGCAUCCCCCUCGCCGCUGCCGUCGCGGCACGGCGCCAGCGCCUGACUUCGGCGGCAGCCCCGCGAGAACACGCCGCGGCUCCACUCCCCUUGGCUCGCCGGCUCGAAGCCAUCGAGGCACUUGCACGUCGCCACGGCCUGCGAGUGGUCGCAGUAGCCGUAGGCGCCGCAGCUGCCGUAGGGGCUACACGCGCGGGACGGCCAGGACUCGAGCGUCGCCCACGCCGACGCGUUGCGGUUCCAGCUCAGAAGCUGGAACUUGCCGGCGUCGGUCACCACGUACCGCGUGGGCGGGGCGCCGUCGGCGACGGAGAAGCUCGAGUAGAUCUCCUCCUCGCUGUCGACGACCGUGACGUAGAUGACCGUGCCGGUGGCACCGUGGUACUUGCCGGCGGUCAUGUACCCCGUCCAGACCGAAGUGCGCCAGUAGAUACGCGUCCCGUUCCACAGCAGCAGCUGGAGGGACGUGUUCGGGUCCAUGCCGUAGGAGAAGCUCCCCGGCGAGGGGUCGCCGGGACCCUUCCACGAGACGAUGCGCCAGCCGUCGACCCCGUCGUGCGGGCGGUAGCGCCGCCCGACCUUCAUGCCCGGGAUGAACGUGUCCGUCGGGUGGUCGAAGCUCCGCCACAACGUCGCACCGUCCGGCGAUAGGAUGACGAGGUUACCGUCGUUCCGAAGCACCGCCGCCGUCGAACCAGGAGUACCUGAGCUGGUGGCGCCAGUGAUGUUCGUCGUCCAUACGACGCGGCCGCUGGCGUCGGACAAGAUGAGGUUGGAGCCGCCGUUGGCCAGCGCAAGCGACGGCGCGGAGGAGGAGUUGCCGGAACGCCCGUCGACGAUGACCGGCGCGUCCCGGUUGGCGACCCACACCACGGUUUGCACGGUCACGGUGGUGUUGCUGUACCAUAUGCCGAGGUACUGCCUGGCCGGCGUGGCGUCGGAGGGGGCGAAGAAGCCCAGCACGAAGGCGCCGCCGUCGGACACGAUGGUGUCACCGGGCAGCAGCGACUCCCCGUGGGUCAGCUUGUCGCCGGCCGGCGAGCACAGGCGCGGCAGGAGGAGGAGGACGGCGGCCGUGAUGCAGGUGCAGCGCGACCACUCCAUGGUCGUUGCACGUCAUUCAGUAUGGCACCAAAGAAAUAGGUCGGUAUAGUUUAUCGAAGCUGCAGACAUCCUCCUUCUCGCCUCUCCAGUACGGUUGCACAAAUGAUACACUACUCCCGUGCCAAGACUUGGCCUGGAAGCUGAUGGUGAUAGAAAAUUCUGGGUUCUCACUUGACUAGUUUCAGCGCUCCGAGUUUCAAAGAAGCUCGGAGCUUGACGCCUGGGCAGUUGGCCUCAGGAGGACGCUUGGCAUUGGUGCGCCUACAUGGACAUGGUCGCCUAGUGGCAGGUGAUGAGGUGAUGAACCAAGAAACGAGUGGCACGCGGACCAGUCAUCUCUGUAUGUGUCACAUCGAAAUCGACACCACCAACUGCGUUGAUUUCUGGGUGUAGCUGGGGACGAUGCCGCGACAGAGUUGGAGCGUCGCAGGAGGGUGUGGAACCACGGUUUCUGGCGCGCGCUGCUUAUUCAAACAGCGCGUGGAGUUCUGCUGUUCUUCGAAGCACGAUCUUAACUGAAGAUCACGAGGCAUGGCCCGGAAAGAAAAAUAAACAGGCUGAGUUCUGCUCCGUGGUGGCUCUGAAAUAUUCAACAUUGCUAGAAACAAGGACCAGUCUUCUCUGCAUGUGUCACGCACGAUGAAAUUAAAUCUGAACCAACAACCACACUGAAUCAGAGUUCUGUUUAGAACGAAGCUGGCAUGACGCUGGAACGGGAUACGAAGUCGUGUGGAAGCACGGUUCCUCGCGUGCCAUUCUCAGAUUCAACAAUUGCUCACAGUUCGUGCUGCUCAAUGAAAUUUCUUCAUUCAUGAGUUACCCUUCUGACAACAUUGUAAUUUUCUUUGCCUUGUUAUUAUUUUGAUUAAUAUGAUACGAAAAACAUAAUUUCUUCACAUCUAAGUUUUCUAACAUAACCAAAAAUGAAACUGAAAAUUAGGAAACGGCUUAAACCUCAGACGGUGAGGGAGCUUUUGUUGAGAAAUAGUUGGACAGUGUUUUGGUACAUCAGAAACAGAUUAUCGUCCCUCUAUAGUUGUGAGAGUAAGGGAAUUCAUGGAAUUCUCAGUUCUGUCCCUUAUUUGCUCUACAUCACUAGUACUUGUCUGUCCAUAGUGCCCAGGGUUGUUGGGUGUUGGCAGUCUGGUGCUUCCAUUCUCUAGAGUGAACACAACAGAAGACAUAAGUGGUCUAUCAUCUGGGUUUUCCUGAACGCACAAGAGGGCCAUAUGACUGCAAAGCAAAACUUCAUCUAGUGAGCAAGUGCCCAUAAUAUAUGGGUCUGCCAAAUCUCUUGCCUUCCCCUCCUUCCACAUGUUCCAGGCCUGAAACAACCAAAACUAUUAUUUGGAAUUGCGGUAAUGCGAGAGCCUCUGCCCUCUAGACUCUGAAUUUAGUUUAUGACUUCAGGAAAUGCAUAUACUCACAUAGACUAUUAGGUUAGGAAAACCCAUGAUGCCACCACUGGAGCUUCUCCUUAUACCAGUAACAACCUCCAAGAGUAGGACACCAAAGCUAUAGACAUCGGACUUGAUGGAGAAGACGCCUUCCAUUGCAUAUUCCGGAGCCAUAUAACCACUGUUUAGUCAAUUCACGUGCAUAUAUUAUUGCGUGAAAGUUGAAUGUAGUUACACUUGUUUGAAAGAAAAUAUAAAUAGUUACUUACUAUGUUCCGACAACAUGAUGAGUGUUUGCAUUUUCCUGGCUAUCGUUGAAUAUCCUUGCCAUGCCAAAGUCUGCUAUCUUUGGUCUCAUCUCUGCAUCUAGCAAAACAUUAGCAGCUUUGAGAUCUCUAUGAAUUAUGGUCAACCUCGAAUCUUGGUGGAGAUAAAGAAGCCCUCUUGCAACCCCUUUGAUUAUAUUAAGUCGCAUAGGCCAAUCCAACAACAUUUUCCUCGAAUUAUCUGCACGAAGAUUCAAGGUAACAUAAUUUGGCUGUUAGGUGCUAUUUGUAAGAACUUAUAGCGUGUCACAUACCAAAAAGGGUAGCAUCUAAGCUUCCAUUAGCCAGGUAUUCAUAAAUCAGGAUUUUCUCAUCAGCCUCAACACUGCAACCAAGAAGUCGAACCAAAUUUCUAUGUUGCAAUUUAGCAAUCAGAAUUACUUCAUUCUUGAAUUCCUUUGUUCCUUGCUCAGAAUCUUUGCUUAACCUUUUGAUAGCAACUUCUCGACCACCUAGCAUCGCCUUCAAAAAAAGAAUAAGGACAAAAGUUAGAUUUGAGUUUAUCACACAAGCAGCUCAAUGUAAAUGGAGCACAUUAUUAGAAAUCGAUAAAAAAACAAUUUAAUUUCAUGACCCGAACUAGUAGGAUGAAAUCACUGUCGAAUUAAGUAAUUACCUUAUAAACUUUACCAAAACCCCCCUGCCCAAUCUUACAUGCCUCUGAGAAAUUGCAUGUUGCAUCCACGAUAUCCUCAAAUCUAACAGAGAGGAACUCAAAGUCUUGGGCGUGGUUUCCUUCCCCAAGUUCAUCAGAUGCACUCAUGUCAUCCAAAGUUAGCUUCUUAUGCUUUGCACCAUAAUUUACUCUACCUGCUUUCCAAAUUCUAUGACCAAUUGCUCCUCCGAAGAAAGAAAUAUAGACUUGUAAGAAUGCAACUAUGUUGAGUUCUACUACCUUUGAACUUGAACCAUGCUAGGGAAAUGGCAGCGAGGAUCAGAAGGCCACUUAUUAAAACCGCAGGGAGCACACUCUUCAGUGCGUGGCUCCUCUUCAUCCUCAUCUUACCUGUGUGCUUUACAAGUCAGCUCAUGUAGCACAACUGAUGAACGAUUAAGGCCUAUUUGCUCCACCACACACCCCAAAAAAAAAGCAUAAGACCUAUUUGGAGUGCACGAAUUUCACAUGAAACAUUUGAAUUUCUGUCCAAAUUGGUUUUCAAAGUUAAUUUCCUCAACAGUCAAGAUCAAGUCAGGUUGCACAAGUACCUUCAUCCAAGCCUGCAAUCCGUAGAUACAGCGUGUCGCUGACAUCCCCUACGCCUACCUUCACCGUGUCAAUCAGCUCACCGGUCCACACCAAGCACCUCGUCAGAUCCCCCUUCGUUCUGCUAGUGCUCAGAUUGGCAUAAGCAUACGCCACGCACGAACAGUUUCUGGUGCACUCCGCUGCGCACUCAUGGAGGGAUCGGUUCUUGACGAGCACGAACUUGUCCGGCGACGAAAUCCCAGGCAAGGCCAAGAAACCGUCGCUGCACAGCAGCGCCGCCUUUCGCCGGCACCCCUGGGAGAACCUACCGCUCCUCCAAUCUUCUAAGCUCGUUGGCUCAAAACCGUCGAGGCACUUGCACGUCGAAGGAAGCUUUGUGAGGUCGCAGUAGCCGUUCAGGCCACAGUAGCCGUAGCUUGCGCACUCACCACUUGAGGCUUUUGUCCGACCCAAGAGUAUCCACGCGGACGAUCUCCUGUUCCAGGUUUGGAGCUGGUAGUCGCCGGAGUCUGUGAGCACGUACCUGGUAUGCCCGGCGCCGUCCGAGAGGCUGAAAGUUAUGUAGAUUUCCUCCUCGUUGUUGACAACGGCGAGGUAGACGAUGACGCUGGUGUUCGUCAGGUACUGGGCCGUCUGGGUGGAAACCAUGUAGCCCGUCCAUGGCCCGCUGCGCCAGAUCGGACGGGUUCCGUUCCAGACGAAGAGCUGGAGGAACGUGUCUGGGUCCCCGCCCAAGGAGAAGGCUCCCGGCAAUGGGUCGGCGGGGCCCUUCCACGAGACCAGGCGCUCGCCGGCGCGCGUAUCGUACCUGAUCCGGAUCUUCAUGCCGGGGAGGAACGUGUCGGCCGGGUGGUCGAAGCUCUGCCAUAAGGUGGUGCCGUCCGGAGACCGGAUGACAAGGUUGCCGGUGUUGAGAAGCACCGCGGCAGCGCUGCCGGCCGCCGGAGCCGGAGCUGCACCGGCGACGUUGGUCGUCCACUGGACGCGGCCGCCCGCGUCGGACAGGACGAGGUCAGAGGCGUUGGUCAGUGACAGCGCCGGCGACGGAGAGGUACUGCUGUUCGUGACGGGGGUUUCUCUGUUGGCGACCCACACGACGGUGAGCCGGGGGAUGUCGUUGUACCAUAUGCCGAGGUACAGCUUGGCCGGAGUGGAGUUGGUGGGGGAGAAGAAGCCCAAGGCGAAGCUGCCACCGUCGGAUACGAUGGUGGCGCCAGGGGAGAGCGGCUUGCCGGGGACGAGCCGGUCAACGGCUGCACAUGGUGGCGGCGGCAGCAGCAGGAGGUGGAGGACAAUCGUGUACCUGACGAUAGCUGGCCAAGCCAUCAAGCUUGCACCGAUCCUUGCAACGCUAUCCUAGCUUAAUUAGCUUGCUGGUCAUGGAGGUUUUACUUGAGAAGAGAAGGUAUUGCUGCCUUGAUCCUUGAUCUACUGGCAAACGAUGUCAACGCAACUGCCUUGUGUUUUCUUAUAAAAAAGAACAGCCAAAAAUAAUCACGGGAGCGUCAUCUUAUAGAAGUGAUGGCGUUUUAUUAGAUGGUUCAAAGAAAGGGUGCGUUUCAGGAACCUCUACAGGCUCAGCAACGAAAGAACAUAACGUAUACAAGGUGUUAUAGUACAAGAGCUUGGAAGGGGUAUAGGUUGUUGUACUCAGCUGUGUCAAGGAUUCAGACACGUACUAUGGUUGACAUUUCAGCUGUCCACGUCAGCUGUUGCGAUAGUUAGGACGACAUUGCCUUUGCUGCUAGACAUACUAGUGACAGAAAGUGUAAGGAAUGUAUUGUGUCAGUUUGAUGCUGUCCCUUUCUUUCUUUUGAAGGGGUAUAUGUUGUUGUACUCAGUACAAGAAUACCAGUUUCCGUGUGGUUUCGUCCGUGGUUAGUUUCAGGCAAGACGUGAGAUUACGCACGCACGAUCAUAGUGAAAUCCAAGAGUAGCUGCUGCUCAUCAGUUAUUUCUUUCUUCCAUGAAUUACCCGUAAUAUUUAGAAUCGUGGAUUCUGAAUCGAAAAAAACCACCAUAUGAGUGUUAAAUAAUAUGAUUAUACCACCAUAUGAGUGUUAGUCUCCAAAGGUCAAAAUAAUAUGAUUAUAACCAUCAUGAUAGUAAAAAACAUAAAUCUAUCUAUUAUAUUAAUAAAUGAGUGUUAAAAGAAAUCAUCAUAUUCGGAAUUUGCACUGUCUAUUUAGAAAUUUCCACAUUAAUCUAAAAAAAGAAGAAUUUGCACCGUCGGAUUUUAUGAAGAUCUAACAGUUAAGAUUAACUCAAAGAGUCCAAAAUCAAAUACGAUAUAUAUAUAUAUAUAAAUAAUUUCGGAAUUUAAAAAUUAAGAAAAUUAGGAUUUGAUCAAAAGUUCUUGCCGGAUUGGUAAAGAGUUAAAUUUAGAAUUAAAAAUCGGCGCUAGCAGCGGUAAAGGGGCGCGCUUCGCCAUCAUUGUCUCCGCUUCGCCAUCAUUGUCUCCAUCACAACGAGGUGAUCGCCCUCUUCUUCUGGUGCUUGAUCCUCUACUUCAACGGCCAGAUCACGCCCCUCUUCACGUCCAGCGAGGUCAUGCUCGCCGCCGUGCACGACCUCUCCAUGCUUCUCACCUUCACCAUCCUCCUCAACAGCGUGCAACCCGUCCUCUCAAGCAAGCUGCCGACGAGCCUCACAUGACAUGACCUGACCUUUUCCAUGUAGGCUGUGGAUCUUCAAUAUUGCUGUUGCAAGGGUGAUGUUCGUCGGUUUAGGAUAGCAACGAACAUAGGCACUUACUACCUGAUCGGCACUUUCGGAUCGGAGUCGAGGUAAUGCUACAAAUAUUUCAUAGCUAGAUGAUUAAACAACAACAGCUUGUCCAUGGAUCAGUAGCAUCCAUCACGAUAUCGAAUUUUCCAAAGCACAGUAAAUAAGGAAGUAUGAAAAAAAACCACCACGUUUAUCAAGAGAGGCUAGAAAUUACCACGUUAUUCUAAAAAAGAGAAGAAUAUACACUGCUGAAUUUUAUGAAGAUCUAACAACCAAAAUAAACUCAAAGAGUCCAUAUCAAAUACGAUUAAUAGAUACAUAUAUAUAAUAUCAGAAUUAAAAAAUUAGGAAAGCUAGGAUUUGAUCAAAAGUCCUCGCCGAAUAUAAUUAGUAAAUAGUUAAAAUUUGAAUUAAAAUAAGAAAAAAACAGAUCUGAGCAAAACCAUGUCGAAUGCAAUUAAUAAAUAGUUAAAUUCAGAAUAAAAUAAAUAAGAAAACUAGCACUUGAUAAAACAAAGAGUCCAAGUUGAAUGCUGUUAGUAAAUAGCUAAAUUUGAAAUAAAAAAUAAAAAAAUUAAUAGUUAAUCAAAUAAAAAACUGAUAUUUGAUUUCUAUUAAGUUUGGGAACCAAAUUAUUACGUAAAUAGCCCAUGUAAAAUAAAAUUGUUUAAGCUACGUUUAGAAAUAUAGCUUGAAAUUGCCACACUAACAAUUUUUUUUAACUCUAAUAGUUUAAAUAAUUUCAGAGGGUUUGUUGAAAAAAUUAAUAUGUAGUUUAACUUGAAAUUAAAUAAUAUAAAAUCUAUAGUAUUAUAUAUUAUAUAUGAUUUGGUGCAAAAUAGAAUAAUAAAAGAUCCAUGUAAAUAAUAAAAUAAAUCACUUACAUGUAAUGAAAAGUAUAAAUUUUGAAAAAUAAAGGAACCUAGGUUCCUAAAAUUUUCAUGCUACUAUCAGUACUGGUACACACUUUUAUAAACAAUUAAUUAUUAAUAAUGGUUAGGAUGUUUGUUAGAAUUCCCUCAACGGGUAUAAAUAAAACAACCUCGCACAAGAAACCUAUGUAAAGCCUCAAAAUGGCUUAUACUAUAGUGAAGGAGAAAAAAAAAUAGCUUCACUGGUUUCGCCUCCCUCCAUAAGUACUAAUAAAUUCUUGGAAUUACCACGUUACCACUAAGAAGGUAUUUUGCCAAACGUCAGGCUCGACCAAAAGAGUUGAUUCACCGUUGAAGCCAAAGCUAAAACUAUUUUAGAAGAACCAAAAAUCCUACCAAAUAGAUACUUAGUUUGCGCGAUGGUUUAUCUUUGUCUCACAUUAUUAUGAACUAAAAGAUUGAGAUAGUGUGCAAUUUAGGGAGCGUGAUGAUAAAAACAAUAAAAAAUAUUCGAGUAGUCAUGGAGAACCACAACUUAAUAACAGUAGCUUAUAGGAAUAGAAAGUAAAAAAGUUAACAUGGAUCAAAUUCCGAAAGAGUAAUGAUGACCAUGAAGAAAAUAGUGGAUUAACCACAAAGAAGUAUAGUCAUAUAGCAGCAUAUAGAGAGCACAUGCACAAUCAUUAAAUUUGGACCUGAAAGUGAUGAGUUGAUAGAUCGCCAAUAUUCAAAAAGGUGAUGCUAGGCACUCGCCUAGACGCGCUUAUGCGCUACGUGGAGGGGUGCCGCCUCGCCUAAGAGGUUAGGCGGUGGAUAGGUGCGACCGGGAGGAGGCGGUGGCAGCAGGGAUGGUGUGCGGCGGCGGCAGAGGAAGCGGAGGUUGGGGCGGGCGGGCUGGCGGCGGCGGAGGAGGAGGAGGAGGAGGCAGGGGCGGGCGGGCGGAGGAGGAAGAGGAAGCACGGCCGAUGGGUGGGUGAGCGAGGAACUGAGGGAGCGGUUAGUGGAUAAGAGAGGAGGCUGGGAGGUGGGUUGGGUUGUUUUAAUGGGUUUUUUUCAAAGUUAAGCCCAUCAGCUUCUUCUUUUUCUUUUUAUUUUAGAGAUACAUGUAUGUGUAUAACAAGAUAUAUAUAUAUAUAUAUAUAUAUAUGUAUAUAUGUAUAUGUAUGUAUGUGCUAACGCCUUGAAACGCCUAGGCUCGCUUAGGCUCUAGGCGGUGGGUCACCACCUAGAUACCGCCUAGCGCUUUUUUGAAUAUUGUAGAUCGUCAAAAGUGCAAUAAUAAAGAUUAGGAGCACAACAAUGAUAGUAAGAUGGUACAGUCAUGUCAUAGCCGCGAUAUGACACUAGCUAGGUAACAAGGCCGAGUACCACCUAACAUGGCUAUAGAGGCACAAUGAUCACUAAUGGCAACAACACAAAGUAGCGAGAUGGUAAUUUCUUGGAAUGUAGCAUUGUGAUAAGUGUAUGUUCAAGAUCUAAAAAAAUUAGGAGAGAAGGAACGAUAGAUGAUGUAGUUACGUGUAACGCUGGUGUGAUCUAGAACAAAGAAAUAUGAAAGCCAAUGUUUGAAAUCCAUGCCUAUUUAUAGAAAUCUGCAUGAAGUGUUUGAAAAGAGAAAAAAACAAGGCACUGUCUGAUAUCAAGGAACAUAGAAGAGAGGCGACAAGCACAAAGAAUAACAUUAUACCUUACCAGCUACAACAGUAGAAUGUAGACCCAGUUCUUAGAAAGUGUUGAAAAAAUAGUGCAUCAAUCAUAAGACAUUAUGGAGUAUGCAUGCAUGAGCUUUAGGUACCGAAGAUUGGAGAAUAAAGAAAAGAAAGAAGAUUAUUUAUUUCUACUUUAUACGUUGAACUACUGAUCUAGGUCUUCUCUAAAAGCGUGAGAACAAUUCUGCAUGCAAAGUGAUGAAAACACUUGAGAAAAAAGGUGUAUCGCCAGUUAAAAAAUUUAAAAAUUAUAUUCUUAUCAAAAAAGUAUUCCAUAUAAUAUAAACAUGAGGCGUUAGAAGAAAUAUAAAAAACAUGUUUGUAUAUAAGAUAUUACCUUUUCUCAUGAAUUCAUAUUAUAAAAAUACUACAUAGUAUUUUAGAGAAAGUACUUGAUAAAAUAUGACAGAUAAGAAAUAACACAGAUAAUUCCUCAGUUUAGGUCAUCUGGAAAAAUAAUUAUGUUGACACCAUUUGAAAAUAUUAUUUGCAUAUUUUUAAGUAAAAGUAAAAUUAUAUAUGUAAUGAAAAAACUAGCUACCCGCGCUAUUUGCGCAAGUGACCUUGCUAGUUCUGUUGACUAUAUGUGUAAAAUCUAGUCUGACAAUCCAAAGGUAAGGUCAUAAAAUCUUAUGAUGGAAUCGAGAUUCUACCAACCAUGACACAAAUUUCUGUUGCAAGGUUGAGAAAGUGAGAAUGAGAAGCCUUCGAGUAAUUUAUUUUAUUUAUUAGUUGAUGAGUGAGAAGGUAAACAAAUCAUCUUUAAUUUUUUGGAAGUUGGUGGGAUCAAAUAUUUCUAUUUUAUAGGAAAGUUGAUCUCCUUUUAAUACUAAAUGGCAAGACAUCUCCUUUUAGUCAAAGUUUAUUUAUUUGAGUUUUUUCUUUAUUAUGUUAGGAAACAAAUAGUAUCAUCAUAGCUCACAGUGACUUCUCACAAAGAAAAAGAUGAAACAGAAAAAUUAGCAAGGAAAUGAGCACACAACGAUGAUAUUGUUUAUAAGAAGAAGAAGAACAGUAUGAUGAAAUAGAAAAAUAUUAGCAAGGAAAUGAGAACACAGUGAUUAUCGUUCCAGAAAUCAUCUUCCCUUUAUGUUUGUGAGAGUAAGAGAAUUCACUGAAUUGAAAAACUUUACCUCUUAUUUUUAAAAGAAAUUGGUGCUCGUAUCACGGGUGAAUUAGGCCUUUCUUAAAACUUUAAUUAAUAUAUGGCUCAACUAGUUUGCACGGAACAUAAACUAGAAUAUACUAUCUAGAUAUGCACUUAUCUAGAUAUGCAACUAGGCUUCUUUUAGUGACAAAACCUCGUUCCAAAGUAUUUUGCAACCUAUAGCCAAUUCUACCAGGUGGAUAAUACACCGUAAAGGCAUACAAGAUUGCAAGUAUGAAAUGCGGAAACUUAAAAAAGGAUGAGGGGAAGCAAACUCUUGAUACGCGGAUUUAUUCUGUGGUAUCGAUAGGCAUAAAGCCAUCCCUAGUCUACGUUAUUGAAGCGCUCACUAAUAGUAUUGCUUCCUAGUCACCAAGUCUCUUCCGAGAAUCUUCUUAACUCACCACUAAGGCUUAGCCACCGAGGCUCUCGCCAAGUACCCAGUCAUCUCGAUGUCGUCUCCACUAAGGGGCUUCUCCAUGAAGAAGUGGGUCUCCAUGUCCCACGCACAAAGACGUCGUCGCUGCUCCACACAAAUUCGGACGGUCAAAAACUUGCCAGCGAGUCACCAAGACUCCAAGGGGCCGGCACACCGAGGUACAAGCUUGAGGUCCACUAAAGAACCAGCACAAGAUCACAACACAUUACUCUCACACUUUCUCUAGAGCUAGCCUAGCGCUACACAUUCACAAAGCUUAUGUUAAACCUAAGGAUUUGAUCAAUAUUCACUUGGGUGGCUUAGAGAACUUCUUUGGAGUCUUGUUGCUUCUCACGAACUCCAGUGGUCUCAAAUGACACAGUGAGCCCAUAUACGAGCUAGAGAUACUCUUCUUGCCGUUACAUGCUUUUACCCAGAAAAUCAUAAAGCGUCGGUUAAACCGGUCACAUACGUCGGUUUAACUGGUCACUCUGAAGUUGCAUACUAGCCGUUAAGCUCUGACUGCCUGCUUUUGCUAACGUCAUUGCACCAACGUCUUACACCGGUUCAACCGAUGCUGAAAACUUUGCUUGAGAAACUUCUAGAACCAAAACAUACGUACUGAGUAACCCUAGCACACUUGCACGGACGCCUUCUUUUGCACCAUUAGUUUGGUACCUCUGUUAUUUCUUCACUUGAUUGCUAUGCUAUCUCCUCAUUGCACCGACGCCUUUAUACUUAUAGCGUUGGUUCAACCGGUGGUACUAAGUUCUUCUGCACUUGAUUGACAUUGCACAGUCCAGUGCACCGCUCGGUUCAAAUACGAUGCCGUCGGUUUAACCGACGCAUGUUUCAUGCUAAACCUUGUUCAAGUCAUCUCAACUAUUAUUUGGACCAUUUUGACAGCGAUUUAGACCAUCUUGUAUAUGGAUUGGACACUAUCCAUGGGACCUAGAAAUUCUACAGAGCUUACAAACUCGUUAACAAACUCGUUAAUCCUAUUAACUGUAUUCACACAAUCACCAAAAUCACAAUCAUAGUCUAAUAGAAUCAUGUUCCUUACAAUUUUGCUCCGUAUCACUAGUCCCCUGUCCAUAGUGCCCAAGUUUAUUCGGUGUUGGCAGUGUAGUGCUUCCGGUCUCCAGAGUAAGGGUAUUUUUGCACAAAUCUUGAUAAAACUAAAGGAUUUUUAUUUUUACCGUGCUUCUAUGUUUGUAAGAGUAAGAGUGUUCACGGAAUUGUAAGUAUUAUAUCUUAUUUGCUCGAUCUCAGUGCUCCUUUGUGCAAAGUAUGCAGGCUGGUUUGGCUUCGGAAGUGCGGUGCUUCUAUUCUCCAGCGAGAGCACAACAUAUGACAUAUGUGGCCUAUCAUCUGGGUUUUCUUGAACACACAGGAGUGCUACUUGAAUACAAAGCAAAAUUUCAUCUGGCAAACAAGUAUCCAUAAUAGAUGAAUCUGCCAGAUAUCCUGUCUUCCCUUCCUUCCACAUAUUCCAUGCCUGAAAAAUAAAAACAAGAACAAUCAUUUUGAUUGUGGUAUCUCCAAAAGUUUCAAAUCCUCUAACUUUGAUCUUGAGUUAUAACUUCACAGGUACUCACAUAGAUCAUAAGAUUUGGAAAACCCAUUAUAUCAUCAAUUGAGCUUCUUCUUACACCAGUUACGAUCUCCACGAGGAGCACACCAAAGCUGUAUACAUCAGACUUAAUAGAGAAGAUGCCUUCCAUUGCAUACUCAGGAGCCAUAUAGCCACUGUUCAACCAUUCACUUGCACAAAUUAUCACAGGGAAGUCAAAUGUAGUCAGAUGCCAAUCAUGCCUUUAUGAAAUAAGCACUCACUAUGUUCCAACAACACGACGUGUAUUUGCCUUCGUCUGGUUGUCAUUGAAGAUCCUUGCCAUGCCAAAAUCUGCUAUCUUGGGUCUCAUCUCUCCAUCCAGUAAAACAUUAGCGGCUUUGAGAUCUCUAUGAAUUAUGGUCAGUCUCGAAUCUUGGUGGAGAUAGAGAAGUCCUCUCGCGACUCCUUUGAUUAUAUUAAAUCGUAUCGGCCAAUCUAACAACAUUUUCCUUGAAUUAUCUGCAUGAUGGUUCGAAUGAAAGCAAUAUGUUUAUGAGAUGUCAUUUUGAGAUAUUUUUAAGAGCUUGUAUUAAGUUGUUACUUGAAUGUACCAAAAAGGGUGGCGUCUAAGCUUUUAUUAGGCAAAUACUCAUAAAUCAACGUCUUUUCAUCACCCUGAACACUGCAACCAAAAAGUCGAACCAAAUUUCUAUGUUGCAAUCUGGCAAUUAGGACAACUUCAUUCCUGAAUUCCUUGGUUCCUUGCUCAGAGUCCUUGCUCAUCCUUUUGAUAGCAACUUCCUUACCAUUUAACAUGGCCUUCAGAAAUGUAAAAAAGAAAAAUGGCAUACAAGCAACUCAAAAAUAAUUACUGGAUUGAAUCAAGCAGAAGCCUGUGCUGAGUGAAGAAAUAACCUUAUAAACUUUGCCAAAACCUCCCUGUCCAAUCUUACAUGCUUCCGAGAAAUUGUCUGUCGCAGCCACAAUAUCCUCAAAUCUGACAAAAGGGAAUUCAAAAUCUUGGGCGGUGUUUUCUUCCCCAAGUCCAUCAGAUGUAUUAGUACCACCCAGAAUUAACCCAAGCUUCUUGUGAUCUUCCCUAUUUCUUUUCCUAGCUGCUCCCAAAAAUUUAUCACCCAUUCUGUUCCAGAGUACCUCAUAGACAUAUAAAAAGAAGAAGCAGAGUUGGUACCUUGCAACUUGAAGCAUGCAAGGAUAAUUCCCGCAAGUAUCGCAAUGCUACUUACUAACACAGUAGGCAGCACAAUCUUCAUUGCAUUGGUCUUUGCUCUGCUUCUGCUACCUGUGCAAGGUCAGUGCAACGACUUAUGCAUACAAGCCUGAAAAUUUUAGCGAAGAAUUCAAAGUUUACUCGAUAGAAAGACACAAGAGAUGAAGUCGUUGGCACACCAGUAUCAUCCAAACCUGCAGACCGGAGGUACAGCGUCUCACCGCCAGCCAUAUCACCCAUCUUCUCCGUGUCAAUCAGCUCGCCGGCCCAAACCAAGCACCUCGUCACGCCCCCCUUCGUUCCUCUGCUGCUCAGGUCAGCAUAAGCGUAGGCGACACACGAACAGUUCCUGGCGCACUCCGCCGUGCACUCGCCGGCGGUUCUGUUCUGGACGAGCACGAACUUGUCCGGCGACUUCAUCCCCGGCAACGCCAAGAAGCCGUCGCCGCACCGCAGCGCCUCCUUCCGCCGGCACCCUCGCGAGAACCUGCCGCUGCUCCACUCGUCGGAGUUGGAAGGCUCGAAGCCGUCGAGGCACCUGCACGUCGGAGCAGCCAUGGUGCUGUCGCAGUAGCCGUACGGGCCGCAGUGGCCGUAGCGGUUGCACUCCCAGGUCGGCCAUUUGCCGAGAACCGCCCACGCCGACGAGCUGCCGUUCCAGCUCUGGAGCUGGUACUCGCCGGAGUAGGUCAGCACAUACCUGGUGUGGGCGGCGCCGUCGGAGAGGCUGUAGGAUAUGUAGGUGUCCUCCUCGGUGUUGACGAUGGCCACGUAGAUGUAGGCGCUGGAGUUGGCCUGGUACUGGCCGUCCACCAUGAAGCCCGUCCAGGGGGCGCUGCGCAGCAUCGGGCGCGUCCCGUUCCAUACGAACACCUGGAGGAACGUGACCAGGUCCGCGCCGUAGGCGAAGCUUCCCGGCGAGGGGUCGUCGGGGCCCUUCCACGACACGAUCCGCUCGCCACGGCGCUCCCUGUUGUACUUGUACUUGAUCCAGAUCUUCAUCCCGGGGAGGAACGUGUCGGUCGGGUGCUCGAAGCUCUGCCACAAGGUAGUGCCGUUCGGAGACCGGACGACGAGGUUGCCGGUGUCCAGAAGCACCGCGGCGAGGCCGGCGGCCGCCGUCGGCGAUGGCGAGACACCGGUGACGUUCGUCGUCCAAAGAACCCGGCCGCUGGCAUCGGACAAGGCGAGGUCGGAGCUGUUGGUCAGGGACAGCGCUGGCGGAGGGGAGGUGCUGUUUGUGAUGGGGGUCUCUCUGUUGGCGACCCACACGACGGUGAGCCUUGGAACGUCGUUGUACCAUAUGCCGAGGUACAGUUUGGCCGGAGUGGAGUUGGUCAGGGAGAAGAAGCCCAGGGCGAAGCUGCCGCUGUCGGACACGAUGGUGGCACUAGGGAACAGCGGUUUGCCGGGGACGAGGCGGUCGUCGGAUGCACACGGCUUCACCAACAGGAGGAGGAGAACAGCGGCAUACCUGAUUGCCGACCAAUCCAUCAGAUCAAGGUCUUCUCCUUUCAGAACGGCGAGGCGAUUUCUGAAAAGGAUGUGUAAUAAUAGUUCGUAAGACUGAAGAUUUUGCUUCAGCAUUGAUGUCUAAGUGUUUUUGUUUUUCCUCUUUAGCCUGACAGCAAUCAUGACCAAUGCAUCCGGGAAGCUUUGAAUGGGCUCGACUACGGAAGCAGUAGGUAAAAUAAUGCAAAAAUUUGAAAGUUUAGGCCAGAUUUAAUUUACCAAUUCAACCUCAUCUUGUGUUUGACAUUUGAGCAGUCCACGCGGACUGUGCGGUGGUUAGUAUGAGAUUAUCAUUUAUCGAUGCUGCCAUUGACAGAAAAGCCAAGAAGCACAUAUACUAAUGCAUAUGAUGCGUACAGAAACUAGAAAUGAUUGAUUGUUCGACUUUUGACGACUGAAGUGGUUGGUACACCAUAUGAAUAUGAUCAAUAACAAUCAGUUUCCUAUGUUUUUUAUUUCUCACAUGUCUCAGGUUUAGUACUUUUCUGACCACAAAGAUAAGCUCAUCUAGGUUUGUUCUGAGUUUCACUGUUAAACUUUAACUAGCAAUAUCUAUAAAAAUAUAUUGUUUUAAAGUAAAGGGUUAUAUACAUUAUGUAAGUAUUUUUUAUAAAAAAAUAUAUUAGUAUUUUUCAUAAUGAAUCUAGUAAUAUCAAUCUUAUCUUGUCAACCUAUAUAUAAUUUCGUUACAGAACAGAAGAGCUGUGAAAAAUGGAGCUGCAAAAAUAAUUUACCUUGCUAACCAUUAAUUUUGCAUCAAUAUUACUCCAUUAGUGUUCCUUCAAAGAAAGGUUACCAUAUCUGGAAACCAAAAAAAAAAUAUCUACAUGCCCUCUAGAACUGAAAGAGUCAAACUGUUCUUUGAGAUUUGAGUAUUGUCUCUUCUCUGUUCUACUUUACUAUUAGUAUGCGCAAAAUAUACAGGUUUACUCGAGGCGGUAAGUGGAGUGCCUCCAUUCUCCAAAAUGAACACAACAGAUGACAUCAAUGGCCUGUCGUGUUGUCCUGCACACACAGGAGUCCUGUGUGGAUGCAAAGCAAAGCUUCAUCUAUUAUGCAGCUAUCUGCAAUGCUUGAGUCUACCAAAAUCCUUUGCCUGCCCUUCCUUCCAUAGAUUCCAAGCCUGAAUAAAUCAGACUAAUAACUGAGGUUGCGGAACAUAUGAAGCAUUGAGGUCUACUCCUUUCAAAUUCAGAAACCGCUUAUACUCACAUAGACUAUUAGGCUUUCAGAUUCCAUUAUCUGGUCACUGGAGCUUAUCUUCACACCACUUACAAUCUCCAAAGUCAGAACACCAAAGCUGUACGCAUCGGACUUCACAGAAAAUAUGCCUCUGAGGGCAUAUUCAGGCGUCAUGUAGCCACUGUUAGUAUUGUACCAGGAAGAGUUAUUUUUCUUUGAUUUAUUAGGUUUGCCUGUAUGGUAAUUUCAGGGAAAAAAAUAUUACUAUGUUCCGACAACUCUCUUUGUGUUUGCAUUUUGUUGGUUAUCACUAACCAUCCUUGCCAUACCAAAGUCUGAGAUCUUGGGUCUCAGUUCUUCAUCCAGCAAAACAUUGCUUGCUUUCAGAUCUGUAUAUUAUCUUCAGUCUUGAAUCUUGGUGAAGGAGAAGGUCCUCGGGUGCUCAUGGCGGCGGCAGCAGGAGGAGAAGGAGAAGGACAGUGGCGUACCUGAGAGCUGGCCAACCCAUCGGUGAGCCGAAUUCUGAGAAGAAUGCACCAACACAAGCUGUUGGGCAGGGAUCGAUCGACUAGCCAGUCCAGGGCAUCUUCUUUAAACUUUUAUUGUUACGAGUUGCUGACAUGAGACUUGAUCUACAAGCAGCUAUGAGCCGAUCACAGAUCGUUUAAACUUUGACGCGGUUGAUCUCAGAUUGAAAUGAACAAAAUAAGGUAGUUUCAGACUCAUACUGGUUGACAUUAUUCCAGGUGUGUCCAUCAGUUCAUGGUCAGACCACGAGGUAGUUAGGAUGCCAUUGUCGCCUCUGUCAGCCACACUAGUGAUAGAAACUAUAAGGAAUGAGGUGAUCUAAACGAUUGGCCACGCCGUCAGUUCUAAUUACUGCGUGCGUUCUGCACAGCGUUCCUCCCCCAGCACCUGGGAAAAAUAACUUACCUUACAAACCAUCUAUUUUUCAUUUUUAGUUUCUGAGUAUUCAUUCAAAGAACUAGCCUAUCAACCCGUGCUCCCGCACGGGCUAAAUAAAAUUAAUAUAAAAAUAAAACUUAUAGCUAAUAAUUAUAAUUAUCUAUCUCACGCCCUCUUUUAUCUAUUAAGUAUUCUAACACAUACUCUAAAAUAUAUAUUUAUCAUUAUCUAGUUGCAAUAGAUUUUAUUUUGCAUCACACCUCUAUAUGUGUUUAAUAUUAUUUAAUUGAACCAUUUAUUUGUAAAUUGGUAUUCUUAUCUCUUCCAUUGUACAUGAAUACAUGGUGACAUAUAUCGUGGGUAAUAUUAUUAUAUAAACAAUAACAUAAAUAAUAUAUUAAUAAUGAUAGAUAUAGUAAUUUAGAAUUUUUUAUUGGUGCACUUUAAUAUUUUGUUAUAAUUAUAUAAUUUAGGUUCAGAUUUAGGGAUUACUUUAACUUUUAAUAAUGACAUAAUUGGGUAAUUUAUAUGCAAAUUUAGAGGGUUAUUUGCAUUAUUUUUGUAAGGGCAUAGGUAGGUAAUUUACACAUAGAUUAGGGGGUUACUUUAAAUUUUUUUAAUAAUAGCAGAGGUUGGUAAUCUAGAUACAUAUUUAGGGGGUUACUUUAGUCUAUUCUUAUAAUAGCAGAGAUGGUAAUUUAUUAGAAAAGAUAACAGAUCCAAUGACUAUUAAGAUUAGAGUUAUCGGGUUGAUGGCCCGGAUGUUUCUGAUUUUUGUGAGAAUUUCUAGAAUUUCUCUAUUUUUUGUAGAGUGUUCACUUAGGAUUCUCGGUGGCUUCACGUAGAGGCUUAAAAAAGAACCUUUAAUUAUUCAAUUAGUAAUAGUAAGAUGGUUAUCACAUCUUGAAACAAAAAAAAGGGCCUAUCUGCCCUCUAGAACUAAAAGUCACACUGUUCUUUGAGUUUUGAGUAUUGCCUCUUCUCUGCUCUACUUUACUAUUAGUAUGCGCAAAAUACAUAGGUCUAUUCGGGGCGGGAAGUGAGGUGCUUCCAUUCUCCAAGAUGAACACGACAGAUGACAUCAGUGGCCUGUCGUUGGGGUUGUCCUGCACACACUGGAGCCCUAUGUGGAUGCAAAGCAAAGCUUCAUCUGGUAUGCAACUCUCUGCAAUACUCGAGUCUACCAAAUCUUUUGCAUGCCCUUCCUUCCAUAAGUUCCAUGCCUGGAUAAAUAAAAUUAAUAAACUGAGGUUGUGGAACUUAUAAAACAUUGAAGUCUACUCCUUUCAAAGUCAUAAAAAACUUAUACUCACAUAGACUAUAAGAUUUUCAUAUUCCAUUAUGCGAUCAGUGGAGCUUAUCUUCACACCACUCACAACCUCCAAAGUCAGCACACCAAAGCUGUACGCAUCAGACUUGUCAGAAAAAUAUGCCUCUCAGGGCAUAUUCAGGAGCCAUGUAUCCACUGUUGGUAUUGUACCAGGAAGUGUUAUUUUUCUUUGAUUUAUCAGGUUUACCUUUGUAGGAAUUACACGGGGGAAAAUAUUACUCACUAUGUCCCAGCAACUCGCUUUGUGUUUCCACUUUGUUGGUUAUCACUGAACAUUCUUGCUAUACCGAAGUCUGCGAUCUUGGGUUUCAUCUCUUCAUCCAGCAACACAUUGCUUGCUUUCAGAUCUCCGUGUAUUAUCUUCAGUCUUGAAUCUUGAUGGAGGUAUAGAAGCCCUUUAGCAACCCCUUUGAUGAUGUUGAACCGUGUUGGCCAAUCUAGCUCUAUUUUUCUUGUACUGCCUACAAAUAAAGGGCAAAGGCGGCAUUUCCCAUGAGCAAUGACCAACUUGUUGUGUUAAAUCUUGGAACUGUAAUGUUCUAUGAGGAAAUCAUACUGAACAGUAGAGCAUCUAAGCUUUUGUUAGGCAUGUACUCAAAGAUCAGUAACUUUUCGUCGCCCUCUAUGCAGCAACUGAUAAAUCGAACCAAAUUCCUGUGCUGCAGUUUGGCGAUCAGAAUAACUUCAUUUCUGAAUUCCGCUAUUCCUUGCUCGGAGUCCCUACUGAGCCUUUUGAUGGCAACUUCUCGACCAUCUAACUUUGCCUUGAAACAGAAAUGGUAAAUGGAUUAGCUAGGCUCGAGUAAUCAGGCACGAGAGAUGUGUGGAUGAGUUAAACUUUGCCAAAACCUCCUUGUCCUAUCAUGAAUGAUUCGUGGAAAUUAUUUGUCACAGCUGCGAUAUCUUGGAAGCUUGCAACUGGAAAUUCAAAGCCUCCAGUAUCGUAGGAUUUGCUUCUCCAGAGUGCUCCAGCAUAUUCAGCUUUCCAAGGACUAUAUCGUAUUGUGUUUUCCCCUUUUUGUUUUUUACCUGCUUCCAAAAUGUCAAGAACGUUUCUUCUCAUGUGAGGAUAAUGAGAGAAUUCAGCAGUGCAAAAACCAAUUUCCCUCUGAUGAGUACAUGUAGAAGUGUAGUGAAGUGAAGUAGUGCCGGUACCUUUGAACUUGAACCAUGCAAGGGAAGCGCCUGCGAGUAUCAGAAUGCCGCUUAACAAAACUGCAGGAAGCACAAUCUUUACAGCGCUGCUGGUCUUUGGCCUAGUUCCUGUGCAAAGUCAUUUCAGGGAAGUGAGUGAGGUGCACGAAUAUAUCACAAGACAAACAACGGAUCAAAGUUUAUUUGAUGUAGAUAGAGGAGAUGAGAUCAAUAGCACACCAGCAUCCAAGCCUGCGAUCCGGAGGUACAGCGUGUCACUGCCAGUGCCAGCCACAUCAGUCACCUUCUCUGUGUCAAUCAGCUCCCCGGCCCACACCAAGCACCUCGUCCCGUCCUUCGUGCCGCUGCCGCUGCUGCUCAAGUUGGCAUAGGCGUAGGCCACGCACGAGCAGUUCUUGGUGCACUCCAUGGCACAUUCCUCCGAGGUCCGGUUCCCCACGAGCACGAACUUGUCCGGCGGUUUUAUCCCCGGCAAGGCGACGAAACCGUCGUCGCCGCACCGCAGAGCCUCCUUUCGCCGGCACCCAUGAGCGAACCUGCCGCUGCUCCAGUCCUCCGGGAUCGCCGGCUCGAAACCAUCGAGGCACUUGCACGUCGGGACGGUCGCCGUGCCGUCGCAGUAACCAUACGGACCACAGUGGCCGUAGAGGUCGCACUCGUCGGCGGGCCAAUUGCCGACGAUGGCCCACUCCGACGGUUCCCAGCUCUGGAGCUGGUACUCGCCGGAGUAUGUCAACACGAACCUGGUGGGCGCGGCGCCGUCGGAGAGUCUGUAGGUAAUGUACAUCUCUUCCUCGGUGUCGACGACCGCCAUGUAGAUGACGACGCCUGCGUUCACCCGGAGCUGGCCGCUGAUGGUCAGGUAGCCCGUCCACGGGGCGGUGCGAGCCACCUGACGCGUCCCGUUCCAGAUGAAGGCCUGCAGGAACGUGUCUGGGUCCAUGCCGUAGGUGAAGCUCCCCGGCGAGGGGUCGUCGGGGCCUCUCCAGGACACCAGGCGCUCGCCGUCGCGGGACCUGUACCUGACCCGGAUCCUCAUGCAUGCCGGGGAGGAACGUGUCGGCCGGGUGCUCGAAGCUCUGCCACAAGGCGGUGCCGUUUGGGGACCGGAUGACGAGGUUGCCGGUGUUCAGGAGCACUGCGGCGAGGCCGGUGGCUGCCGGCGAGGAGCUCGAGUCACCGGUGGCGACGUUGGUCGUCCAGAGGACACGGCCCUCGGCGUCCGACAGGACGAGGUUGGAGGUGUCGGUCAGGGACAGCGUUGGUGCAGAGGUCGUGCCGUUUGUGGCCGGGGCUUCCCGGUUGGCGACCCACACGGCGGUGAGCCUGGGGAUGUCGGUGUACCAUACGCCAAGAUACAGCUUGGCCGGAGCGGAGCUGGUUGGGGAGAAGAAGCCCAAGGCGAAGCCGCCGCCGUCGGAAACUAUGGUGGUGCCCGGAAGGAGCGGCUUGCCGAGGACUAGCCGGUCGUCGGAUGCACCCUGCGGCAGCAGGACAAGGAGGACGGUGGCAUAGGUGAUAGCUGAGCGAUCCAUCGAUGAGUCGAAUUCUGAAAGUAUCUGCUGAUAACCUUGUAGUAGCUUGUUGGGCAGGGAUCAGCUGCACGACUGAUGAUCUUACUUGAUGAGGAGUUGCUUGUGCCUUGGAAUGGAAGCAACCUGUACUCUUGACGAACAGGGAGAUGAAACCCCGUUUGAUUUUAUUUAUACGAAAUUAACCAAUAUAUAAUCACGGAAGUCUAAGUUACAGAGAUGGAGACAGGUAAUGGCAAUCAUAUGUUGCUUCAGUCCAAAGGAGAGGGGUAUGUCAGCAUCGAAGAAGCUUUUUUUUUCUUUCAGAUAUAGGCCCCGUUGAAUCUAAGUACUAAACUUUAUCACUGUAGCACUAGUUUAUCCAAACAGAAGUGUUAAUGGAUAGGCUAAACUUUAGAUGAAACUAAAAGAUUUUAAUAAAAACUAAAAGACUUUAAUAAAGGUACGAGUACCAGUAGGUGCUAAAGUUUAGCACUCAACUUUAACCCAGGCUGUAGUUUUUUAUUUAGGAUUUUGAUUGCCUUACCUCGGUUCAUUAGUCCCUAGGUUCAUACUUAGAGCCUGUUUAAUUGGCUAAAGUUAAGUGCUAAACUUUAGUACCUAGCACUCAUAUAUUUGCUAAAAUUUUUAAGUCUUAAUUAAAAUUUAGUCUAUCCUAUUCGUAUGUCUGUUUAGAAAAGAAAAACUAGUGCUAAAGUUUAUAUUAGCACUUAGAUCAAACACGCAUUAGUUAAAAAAGCACAAUUGACAAUUUUGGUAAAAAAAGCAGGAAGAAGGUGGGCCGUGUGCCAACACAGGCAGUUUUAGCCCAGGCAAAAGCAGGAAGGAGGCGGGCCGCAUGGCCGUGCGGUAUACUGGGCCGGAACAUGAUCGUAGGUUUCUUCUGCCCUAUGCGUGGCCCAAAGCUCUGCCACACCGCCGCGGCGCCGUUCGGCGACCGGAGGACGAGGUUGCCGGCUCUCGUGAGCGUGGCGACCGUGCCGGACGCCGAGGACGAUCAAGUCGUGCCAGCGAUCACGUUGGUCGCCCAAACAACGCGACUGCCGGCGUCGGACAAGACGAGGUUGGAGGUAUUGGUCAGUGCAAACGUCGGCGCAGAUGAGGAACGACGGCCGGCGACGCUGAUCGGGGUUUCCUGGUUAGCCACCCACACGACGGUGAGGUCGGGGAUGCCGUCGUACCAAAUCCCCAGGUACAGCUUUGCAGGGGUUGAGUUGGAGGGGGAGAAGGAGCCGGGGUCCGAGACGAUGACAUCGCCGGGAAAGAGCGUCUUGCCAACGACAAGCUGGUCAUCGGACGCGCCCAAUGGCAGCAAGAGGAAGGUGAGUAAGACGACGGUGCAAGCUGGCAAGCACGUCAUGUCUUCGUCUUCUUCUGCAGCUCUCUCAGAACAUCCUCGCCAGGACAUUGAGCUCCUUGACUCGAGGCUUUCUUUCUCUGCACGCAGCAAUCUGGGAGUUAUCUACUGGACUGAGAAUAGUUUACUGCAGUACAUAGUUCGUUGAAUUUGAGUAUUUGACAUUUCUGGGCUCCAUGUCGUAACCGUGUAUUAGGAUAACAUCAUUAUAACUAUGAUAUGCGAAAACAAUUUGCUAUUGUUUACGGUUGGAAUGGAGACUUUUAUGCACAUUCCGUAGGGCCAGGCCCAUGGGCCGUAAUGACCCAACCCAAGUUAAUUCGUCAGUUAUGCGGCCCGUAUACGGUCCACGGUUAGGCCCAUUAGAAAAGCAGGUACGCUCACGCGUAAUAUACACUGACACGUGGGCCCGUCGUGAGUACAUAUGGAAACAACCACCAAGCAUUAAAUGCAUCUUCCCCACCUCGGAUGACACGUGGGCCCGAAAUCUUCGACCACUUUCGCGAGAUUGCGGAAUGCCCGAACUGACCCUCCAAGAAGCACAGGGCGGGCGGAAGAAGCACACCGUGAAAACUCCCGCCUUCAGCGGAAAAUAACCCGAACCGCACCCACAUAGUCACUGACGGGUAGGCCCAGGGACCCCCAACUAUCCAGAAUCCAUCGAAGCAGCACCCGCAGGCUAGCCAGAGUUCACGUACUCGUAGCGGGGAAACGGUAGCCAGCGGCGCGCCGUGCGGCCAAUGGGAGGCGAGCCCCCGGAUCGGUGACGUGGCGGAAAAUUUUCAGAUCCCGCGCAAACGCUCACCGCCCCCGCCUUUAAAGGCCGCCCCCCUUUCCCCUCCACUUUGCAUCACGCAACGCCCACAGGCACUCGUCACGCGGCGCACGAGCAAACACGCAAACCCACGUCCCGAACCGCCCGGAAGGUACUGCGAGUUCGAAAUCGAGAUCAAAUCGUUGCGAAUUCGAGGCUGUUGGUGUGGGUUGUCGCUGAGGUCUUUUGGUUUUUUUGUAUUUGGUGUGCCAGGUUCGGAGAUGAAGUCGAGGGCGAGGUCCAGCGGCGCCGACUCCAGGUACGAUCCGAUGGCGCCGACUCCUUUCCCCAUUCUCGUGGUGUUUUACUGUUUUGGUGGUGGUUUCGGUUCGUUUUGCUUGGGGUUCUGACGGGGUUUCCUUUGCUGUUGUUUGUUGGUGGUGGUGCAGGCUCUCCGUGAGGAAGUCCAAGGCCGACAAGGACCCGAACAAGCCCAAAAGGCCUCCGAGUGCCUUCUUCGUCUUCAUGUGAGUGCUAGAUUCAUGGGGCUUUUGUGAUUUUUCCCCCGUGUUGUUUUGGUUUCGUUCUGAUCGACUGGUGCGAUGGUUUCUGCAGGGAGGAUUUCAGGAAGGACUACAAGGAGAAGCACCCCAAUGUCAAGCAAGUCUCCGUGGUAAGCGUUGUUUCCUCCGCGAAUUCGUCAUUCGAUUCGAAUGUUUACGUGGCUUGUUUGCGAUAUUAUCGUUUCUGAUGCUUUUGGCUUUGUGACUCGCAGAUUGGCAAGGCUGGUGGUGACAAGUGGAAGUCCCUGUCCGAAGCUGUGAGUUUGCUUUCUCCCCUUUCAGCCGUUCGAACUGUCUAGUUUGUUUCGUUGUGCUCUUUGGUCGUUUGAAUGCCUGUUCAAAUUUCGUCUUGGUUGGUGGCCCUUGCGUUGUGCAUAUAUCUGUGGUUAUUGCUGAAAUGUUAGAUCUGCGAAAUUUCUGUGUUCGUCGAGUUCAAGUUUUGAGGGACAUGCCCCAAUAGACGGUUGCCAGUUCAAAUUCCACUCAUGACUUGUUAUUAGUAAUCUUAACUGGUGGUUAAGUUGUGGAGCUUGCUCCAGUCUUAGUCUUAGAUCUAUGGAGCUGCUGAUGUCUAGUUAUAUUCUGCUUUGAUGGAUUACUGUUAGGUUCAAGAGAAUGAAUUAGACACGGCAUGUUCAAUCCCGUGUCGAAAUCUGUUCGUUCAAAAGAGUUUUUCAUUGACGAACUUGUACAUUCAGUUACUGCGAUUCCCUGCUGCAGUAUAUAUCGGAUAUGACUAUUUAUGUUUGAAUUUAGAGCUAAGAUGGAGUACAUUUCUGUCCUCUUUGACGUUGCAAUGUGACUGCUAACAUGCAGGAGAAAGCUCCCUUCGUGUCCAAGGCCGAGAAGCUCAAAGCUGAGUACAACAAGAAGAUGGACGCCUACAAUAACAAGCCGGUAUACUCCACUCUCCACUCACAUCGCCUGACAUUGCCUGCAGGGUCUCUAUUGUACAUGGAAGUGAUGUGUGUCCAUUGGCAUCUGCUUUGCAGACUGGAGGCCCUACAGCUUCCGGUGACUCUGACAAAUCCAAGUCCGAGGUGAACGACGAGGAUGAGGAGGUGAGAGCAGAGCCGCCCCCUUGCUCUCUUCCUGGUGUACAUUCUGCUGCUUUUUUCACUUCCUCUCUGCAUCACAACCUCACAGAUCUGUCGUCUGAAACUUGUUUUGCAGGGUGACGAGUGAUGCGUCCAGCUCUCACCCGCCAAGUCGUCGCAGUCAGUAGUAGGGAAGUCUUCGUCGUCUUCCUAACUGGGCAUUGCUGCUCCUUAGCCUCUGGGUGCUGUCUCUCUAGAUGUAGCAGUAGUAGCUGUCCACUCUCGAGUUGGUAGUUGCAAGUGUUGUCCCUGAAGUGAAGCAGUUUAGUGGUAGUGUGUUCGCUUCUUCGGCACUUGACCGUUGUUGGAUUCAGCCUGCAGUCUGUACUUACCCCAAGCAUCUGUUCCUGUUUUACAUCCCAGAUCUCAAUAGAUGAGUUAAUUUGCUGAACUGAAUUCUGUCUCUUGUUCGCAUCUCUGCUUGUUGUUUACUGUUCGAUGAUAGUGAUUCUGGCCUCUGGGCUGCUCUUUGCUGUGAUGUGCGAUCGUGAAAAUUUGGUUGUCUAAGUGAAUGUUUUGCAGGCAUCAGUCGAUUGGUUAUCUGGUCUGAAUAAUAGGGGUAUUUGGAUUCAGAGUAAUUUUUAAUCUAGUUCACAUCGGAUGUUAAAGAUUAAACGUGAGCUAAUUGUAAAAUAGGAUAUUUGAUACUAGUUAAAGACUAAACAUGAACUAAUGGUAAAAUAGAGACUAUUAAUUAAUCUAUUAUUAGCAUAUAUUUAUUUACUAUAGCACAAUUUUAUCACCAUCUUGUAAAUUAGCCUCUAUUUAUAUAAUAAAUUUUAUAAUUAGAUUAUAGUUAAUACUUCUAAUUGAUAUUAAACAUUUGAUGUGAUGGAUUAAAAUUCAGUUCGGAGGAACCAAACAGCCUAGGAUAGUUGGAAUGACCUGAGAUGAACGUGACACAUUCUGAUCUGAUUUGUUGAAGUUGGAGUCUGCAUCAUUCUGAUUGGCUACGGAAGAAAUUCUGCAGUUUGGCCUUUUGGGUAAAAGUUAAAAGGAUGUUUGGUUGGGAGAGCUAAACCUUAGUAUAUCAUAUUAAAAAGAAUCUUAUUAUUUAAUGAUAUUAAAUAAAUUUUAAUUAUAAAAUUAAUUGCAGAGCCUCUAGGCUGAUUCGUGAGACGAAUCUAAUAAGGUAUAUUAAUCUAUGAUUAGUAGAUGGUUACUGUAGUAUUACUAUUAUAGAUUAAUUAGGUUUAUUAAAUUUGUCUCACGAAUUAGCAUCUAUCCGUGAAAAAAAUUUGUAAACGAAUCUUAUUUAAUACUUUUAAAUUGUAAAAAAAAUUUAAUAUAAUAUAGCUAAGCUUUAGACCUCCGCAACCAAACGGAAUGCUAGGUUGUUGUCUGGUGCAUUUCGACAUUUGGCUGGGAUUGUAAUUGGGUCAGAACUCAGUACUACUGUGCGGCGGCGCAUCUGCCGGCGUCGAUGCGCGAUUGCGUGGUGCUGAAACAGUCUCGUCUGAUUUGACGCAGCGUCAACGGCUCAACGCUAUGUACCUGGGUCACUGGGUGGUUGUACUUGGCACGCCGCACGUGCAGCAGCGUUCGCAAACGGUUGGAACUUUGGCGGCGACGAAUCGCAUGCUCAACGGCUCAAGGCUCGUCACAACUGGGGAAAAGGCAGGCCAUCGCUGAGAGGAGUGACGGGCUGACGGCAUGUGCCUUUCUGCAGCUGCGCAUGCUCGGGAUGCGUUGCUCCGAGCACGACCGUUGGGAUGUCAGUCUGAACUUCACACGAAUAGUAGUACUAGUAGCGGAUCUCAGGUCGGAGCAGAUGGUGUCAACUGCUGAUUGCUGGACGGAGUCGUGUGACAUCGAGUCAGGAUGUUUCUCGGGCGCCUCUGAAUAUCUGAUUAACCGUUGGCUUCACCCGGCCUGACCAACCAUUGUGCGACCAGCAACUGCUGGAUCACAAGUUCUUGCCGUGAAUGCCUUGUGACCUGCACCGAUUCAUCUUCAUGUGAAUAGAAUGACUAAUUAAGGGGGGAAAUCAUUUGAAAAUGCCGCAACAUUGUCAGAUUUAUCAGCUGGCAGAAUCAAAAAUAUUCAUACAUCUACAUUUCUGCAUGGAACACUCCCAAUCCAAGGGAGUGUUUCGCAUGGAUCAAUGAUAACAUUUGUUUCUCUAAUCGAGUAUAUUCAGCCAGCUCUAUCAAGAAAAGUAUACGCAAUCAGCUUUUUUUUUUUUAAAAAAAGAAGUAUACGCAAUCAGUGAUAGCAUGGACACAUGACUAUCCUAACAACCAUUGGGACACGGAGGGCCAGAAAUGUCAAAAUCAGCGAAGCCUAUACUGCACCAAACUAUUGUAUUCGCCGCCGUUGUUGAGUGCCGAAAAGGAUCAGGUCAAGAUGCUCAAUGUCCUGGCAAGUACAUUCCACGAACACCACGAAGGUGACGGCACGAUGAACCUGGCAGCGUGCACGCUGUCCACCGUCGUCUUACUCCUCUUCCUCUUGCCACCAUGUUGUGGCAGAGCUUUGACCACCCAACCGACAGUCCGACACGUUCCUCCCCGAUAUGAACAUCCGAGCGAGCCGCGGCGGCCGCGCCGGUGACCGCCUUGUUUCUUGGAAGACUGCAGGCGGCGACCCGUCGCCGGGGAGCUUCGCAUACGGCAUCGACCCGGUCACGUCCCUCCAGCUCCUCACCUGGAACGGAUCGAGUCCGCUCUGGCGCAGCGGCGCGUGGACGGGCUACAGGGUCGCCACCGAUUUCAUCGCGCACACCAGCACCGUCGUCUACUUGACCGUCCUGGACAUCGAGGACGACGCCUCCAUGUCCUUCACCCUCUCGCCCGGCGCCCCGCGCACGCGGUACGUGAUGAGCCACUCCGGCGAGCUGGUGCUCCAGAGCUGGAACGGCGCCUCCCUGGAGUGGGACGAGCUCGCCGCGUGGCCGCCGUACGAGUGCAGCCACUACGGCCACUGCGGCCCGUUCGGCUACUGCGACAACACCGUCGCGGCGCCGACGUGCAAGUGCCUCGACGGCUUCGAGCCGGCGAGCGGCGAGUGGAGCAGCGGCAGGUUCUCGCAGGGUUGCCGGCGAAGGGCAGCGCUGCGGUGCGGCGACGGGGACGGUUUCUUGGCGCUGCCGGCGAUGAAAGCGCCGGACCGGUUCGUGGUCGUCGGGAACAGGAGCUUUGACGAGUGCGCGGCAGAGUGCAGCCGGAACUGCUCCUGCGUGGCGUUUGCGUACGCGAACCUGAGCAGCAGCUCCAAGGGGACUUCACGAGGUGUCUGGUGUGGGUAGGGGAGCUCAUCGACGCGGAGAAGAUCGGCGGUAAUGUCGCCGGAAGCGAGACGCUGCAUCUCCGGCUUGCUGGCCUGGACAAGGGUACCGAUUCUCUCCUGCAGAACAUUUUUUUGAAGCGACUCUCCUGCAGAACAUGUUUAUAAACUCUCAAUAAAAUAAAAGCACCACAUGUCUUCCAGAAACUUUCCAAAGAUCAGAUCAGAAUUGGCAAAGCUCUUGUAACUAACAUAACAAUCAGAGUUCAGACUUCAGAGCCAAAACUAUACAGCAGCUACACCUAUCAACCUUCAUAUCUCUAUAUUUUGUCAAAAGAAAAUAAGAAAAAUCUCUACUCUAUUUUGACAAAGCCACCAUUCAAAUGCAUCUAUGAUGUGAGUAUAUACUAAUGUUUUGCGCGCGCCCAUGCGCACGACCAAGCACAAAAUUUAGAAGGUGAGUUUAACGAAAGUGGAAGCAGAGAAACAGAGGUAAAUAUAUUACAACUGCGGGUCUGGUUAGAUCAACUAAACCGUAUUUCGUUUGCAUAUGUUACAAUAUGAAAGCGCAUGUGCUGCGUUAAAAAAUGCUCGACAGAAAGGAGUGUAGCAAUAGAAAUAUUGGCUGCAGAAAUAGUAAAGGAGCAAAGCCAUAUGACAGUAAAAAGAAGGAAAGGACCGACGGAAGCAGGAAACUACAAGCAGGCACCAUAGACUUUUUGGUCCACGAGCAGGCUCAGAACAAGCCGGGCUUUGAAGAGGGGAAAUGAAGCCAAAAGUGAAGACGGUUGGAUAAAAAAUAAGCAGGAAUAAGAUCAAAUCUCUCAGGGACCUCCGGAAAAACCAAGAAAUCAGCGGAAUCUCGGGGAGGAGCGAGCAAUCGAAACUGGAGCAUGGGCAACAACCAAGAAAUCUCGGAAAGAAAGAAGGAAUUCAACCUGAAACACGAGCAGCGAACAAAGAGGAGGCGGAGCAAGCGGAGGCAGCAGAAACUUAACCCGGAAGGAAAGAAACGGGCAAAGAAGAGCAGUAAAGCGCAAGUAGCUGAUAUUUAUCCCGCAUCGUUCGCUACCCACCGCGACGAGUCACCCUGCCGUAUGCCACCACAGAAGUGAAAAGGCACACGCGUCAUGACGAGGAGGCGCGCACGCGUACGACGAAAGGCAGGCGCUGCAACAGCGAGGCACCCGCUCGGUCCAGCAGGCGCCAUGACGCCGCCGAUACUGAUAGAUGGACGAAGCAAGGCUUGAAGGGUUCAUGCCUUAUAUCGAUCCUGUUAUAUGUAAUCCCCAAGGCAAAUGGCGCAAACCCACCGGUAGACUAGCUGACUCAAGAACACCUUUAAUUGUGAAAUUUAAGUUCACACACUUGCUAUUCCUUAUAUCUCCAUAUCACAGUAGAAUGUGUAAAUAUCGGGCAAACUCAGGAUUAAAUUCAUGAAAAUAUGGCACGUUACCAGUUCAGUGAAGCACUUGCAAGCAAUAUGUUCCAAAUAGUUGCGCCAACAGUCUUCACUAUAUAUGUCGUUCAUAAACUUGAAAUUGCCUUUGUGAAGGUAGAAGGAUGGGUAGAAAAACAGUGAAGACUGUAUCGCUAGUUUUAGCAAGCAUUCUGCUGACGUGCAUAUCCCUUCUGAUAUUAUGGAUUUAUAAGUGCAAAGGUACGGCAAAUCUUACGCUCGCAAGGUCUUUCAUACACAACAAUAAUACUUGAUCCAAAUUAUCUCCAUGAGUGAAAAAAUGUUCCUGACACUUUGGAAGCAGGUCUUAAAAAGAAACGCGGAAAGCACAAGAUGCUAAUCUUGGGAAAUUUGAGUGAUCCUGAAGGCUUUGGAGAAGGAAGUCCUACUGAAGGCUACCAAUUUCCAGUAGUAAGCUUCAGAGAUAUCACAGCUGCGACAGAUAACUUCCAUGAAUCAUAUAUGAUUGGACAAGGAGGUUUUGAAAAAGUUUACAAGGUAACUCAUCCAAAGCUUUCCUUCCAUUCUAGGAUUCUAGUUGGACUAACACCAAAUCAAAACCAUCCACUUUCCAUUUUAAUAACAAGGCAAAGUUAGAUGGGCAAGAAGUGGCCAUCAAAAGGCUCAGCAGGGAUUCUAAGCAAAGAACAGUGGAAUUCAGAAAUGAAGUAAUUCUAAUUGCCAAACUACAACACAGAAAUUUGGUUAAAUUUCUCGGUUGCUGCGUAGAGGGAGAUGAGAAACUGCUGAUCUUUGAGUACAUGCCCAACAAAAGCUUAGAUGCCCUACUUUUCAGUACGAUCCAAUAGCGCACUGCACUUUUUGGAUUGAACAUAACAAGUUGGUCGCUAUUCAUAAAAAAAUUAUUAAUCUUUGUAGGCACAACAAGAAAAACACGACUAGAUUGGCCAACACGGUUUAACAUAAUCAAAGGGAUUGCAAAUGGGCUUCUAUACCUCCAUCAAGAUUCGAGACUGAAGAUAAUUCACAGAAGAGAUGAAACCUAAGAUAGCAGACUUUGGUAUGGCAAGGAUGUUCAAUAACAACCAACUGAACGCAAACACAAAGCAAGUCGCCGGAACAUAGUGAGUGAUACCUUUGCUGAAAUUUGCAUAUUAGUUCACCUAAGUCAUAUAAAAAUAACUUUCCUUGGUAAAUUUGAACAGUGGCUACAUGGCUCCAGAAUAUGCAAUGCGUGGCAUAUUUUCUGCUAAGUCCGAUGUGUAUAGCUUUGGUGUGUUGGUUUUGGAGCUUGUAAGUGGUGUGAAGAUAAGCUGUACUGAUCAGAUAAUGGAGUUUGAAGACCUUAUAGAUUAUGUGAGUUCAAGAUUUUCAGAAUUUGCAAUGAGUAGGAAUUGAUUUGAUUUAUUCAGGCGUGGAACCUGUGGAAGGAAGGGAAGGCAAAUAAUUUGGGAGACCAAAGUAUUGUGGAGAGCUGCAUACCUGAUGAAGUUAUGCUCUGCAUCCACAUAGGGCUCUUGUGUGUGCAGGAUAAUCCGAACGACAGACCACUCAUGUCAUCUGUUUUGUUCGUCUUGGAGAAUGGAAGCACCACACUUCCCAAACCGAAGAAACCUGUAUAUUUUGCCCAUACAAAUAACGAAGUAGAACAGAGAAGAGGCAACUAGAGGGAAGGUAGGCCUUUUUUUUGUUUUGGGGGGGGGGGGGGGGGGUUAUUUUCUGAGGUAGGACAGUGUUUCAUUUCGAGAUAUGACCAAAAGUCCAAAACUCAAAUGGCCUGUAAAAGAGCAUUCGCAUACUGAGUAAACCAUAGCGGAACCAAAUUUCUGUUCGAUUUCAUUGACAAAGAUGUUCAGAACUUUUAACAAGCCAUAUGUAAUGUAAGCAACAACGGUAUAGUAACUCCAAAUCAGUGCAAGUGAAUCUACAUCCUUCUGAGAUGAAAGAAUCUACUAAAUCAGUGCUCUAGAUGGAAAUGUUCAGAACCUCAGAUUCAGUUUGCAGUACUGCUUAUCAUGAGCUGACAAAUCCCGUUAGGCAAGCGGAUUAAGAUUCAGAUUCUGAACCAACAAACAAUAGGUGCAGGGAGAAACAAAAGCAUAGAUGAAAGAACUAGCAGCGUCCACAUUUUGCUGAUUCGGACGCCCAAACUUUCAAGGCAAACAAUCUGAAAAGCAGUAUGACCGGGCUUCCAGGAUUAGUUUGGCUGCGUGCGCGACGACGAGGAUAGGAGGCCGCGGAAGGAACAACCACGGCGACGAGGAGGCCGUCUGUAACCGAUCGCGACGGGACCUUCCUUGCUAAACACCCGAGGCACACGCGCUGCGUCGGCCAUCCACAUUCUCCUCCCGUCCUCCGUUCUUCUAGAACCCGCUUCUCCAGCCAUCAGCCGGCGCGCUGCAUCCAAGCCAAGUCGCUAGCUCAAGCCCUGCCGGCCACCGCUGAGCUGACCAGUAGCUCAAGAGAGAUGGAGUACAAAAGGGGCCCAGUAGGGAAGGUCCGAGUAACGGGAGAGAAGGCUGAGGAGGAGCGGAAGUCCAUUCGCCGCCGCGGGGUGGCGGCCGUCGCCGGAGCGGAAGGUGAAUAAAGCUCGAAGGAAGCAGGCGCAAGAGAGGGGCUAUUUUACAAAAGUCAGGAGUGUUUAUGAAAAUUGUUCGAUCGAUAUUUUUCAUAUAACCCCCUAAAUUGGAUCGCGACUAUUAAUCGCGAUCCGAUUUAGGGGUUUAUAUGAAAAUAAAUGUAUUUUAGGGAGGUACCUGUAAUAAAAUACCGGAUCGCGGCAGGCGUGGCGAGCUGCGACCCGCCGGCCGCGCCACGAACCCGCCAUGGCAGGCUACGGCAGCUCCAGCCAACCCCGCCUCCACCAGCUGGAGCAAUUACUGUGCGCCACCAAUACCGGUACCGGUAGGAAGAGAGCGCCAUCGCUCGAAGGUCGAAGCACCACCAAUAUGCCAGCGGACCGGCGGCGCCGAGGCGAGCAGGUUGUGCACCGCGGCGAAAGCCAGCAAUGCGCGUCGGGCAUCUUGUUCACCGCGAGAAUGGUCUCCUCAGUGGAGCCGAACUCCUGCGCGAUGCCGGCGACGGAGCUCCCGGCCGGCGCGACGUACGUGAGGUGCGCGACGGGGUCGCAGCUGCAGGGCACGGGGAUCCACCGAUCCAGAGCUGCUGGCCAACGACGACCUUGUUGGGGUCGGAGACGUUGUUGGCGGCGGCGAUGUCCUGCUAGGUGACGAGGCCCGCGAAGGCUCCGCCCGCCUGCAGCAGCUCGCGGUCGUGGGGAUUGUCAGUGACACACGCGUCCCGCCGCCGUCGUCUCGGUGGCUCAGUGGCAAGUGGAUGGAAGGGAAAGAGGCCAUGGCCCGUGGGCCUCGCCAUUUUGACGUGGGGCUAGCUGUCCGGGGAUCCAACGACGGCUGAAAAACCAUCCGGCCUCUCAAUUCAAUCAACUUGCAUAAAUAUUGAUGUUUGGAGCAGAAAUACCAAUUAGAUCAGUCCCAAUUUGUGGUCUGUACGUACUAAUUUGUGUUUCUACCUAAGCUUCGUGGUAGUAAGUCAAAUACAUAGUAUAAAUUAUUGGAAUGAACGACCUGCAAUACUCUCGACAGAUUCUGAUCAACUGAGGAUUUUUUAUCCGUAGAUGAUUUUGGGAGUUUGCUGGAUGUGUAACUUGGCUUGUCCCAUCAUUAUUUGUAUGUACAUUCUAUCUAGUAUCCCAUCAUUAUUUGUAUAUACAUUCUGUCCAGAACUGAACAAAUCUUUACCUCUCCCGAAGUCUUUGGAUGAAGUUGGUUGUAGUUUGGUAUUAGACUGCUGCUUGACUGGUGAAUGGCAAUCUUGUCAAUCUCCAAACUAUUGCAAUGCCGGCGCACGCGUGAAUGAGAUGUGUGGUGGGCGCUGUGCUACUACUGCUGCAAAUGGUCGCUGAAAGGCGUGGCAUCAUAAUUCAUAUACCUUUUCUCCUCCUGCUGGCCUACACAUCCUUGCUGUAGGUGUGGUAUUAGCAAUUUGGCAGUCUCUGAUAUCGUAUAAAUUAUAUAUUAUAUCGUCCAGAACCAUAAGCCGCUUCCGUAGCAUAGUGGUAGUGCGUUCGCUUCGUAAGCGAAAGGUCGCGAGUUCGAUCCUCGCCGGGAGCUGUUCUAUAUUUAUUUUUAGAUUCCCUUUUUUUCGUUCUUUUUUUUCCCUUUUGGCCACCAACACAACUUUUACAUAUUGAGGUCUUCAAAUACACUCGUCAAAUACUUGGCGAGUCCUUUUGCCUUCAAGCCUCCAAGGCAAACCUGAGCAAUGUCCUGAUUUAUCCUUGAACAUUUUGGGUACUAAUUUUAUUUAGGAUUAGUCGAUGUUGACAAAUUCCAUCCUAGCCUGGAUUUGAAAUUUCUGUGGGCAAGAAGCAGUUCUUGAAAUGAGAAAAUGUUUAUAAAUGUACACUGGGAGGCAUCGUCAAUUGUGUAUGUACAUUUUCUAAAAAAAAACCAGCAUCCUAUUCCUACUGCCAGGCCAUGCAUUUUACGCCCUGAUUCAGCUCAGGGAACGACUGCUCUAAUCCAUGUAGAUGUUUGCAUCCCCAUGGCAAGGUGAUAUCUGCAUCUUCUCCCUGCAAGCUGCGUUUCGCAGAACAAAGUUCUUCCCAAUGUUUUGUAGCAAAGAUCGUAGCUGCCUCAUCUUAUGGACCUUCCAUAUCAUGUACCAGUUGUGGGUUUGUUCGUGGAAGGUAACCUUAGCUGCUCCACAGAAAAUUCAAAGGACAAAAAUUGGAGUGUUGUCAGUUAUAGCCUGAGAAGUUUUACUAUAUAGACUGAGAAUUUUUACUAUGUUGAUGCAAGAUGAGGACCAUGCGAACCUGACUACACUUCAAAUUCUGGGAAAGUGAUCACGAGCAGAACGGCAAAAGAUAACAGCAAUGGCAGUAAGUAACUGACCUUGGACCUUCUUGAGUUCAGCGGUACUGGAUCCUUCUUCAAUGGCUUAUAUGCAAAAGACUCGAGGUCCAUUACUGGUGGCGGUGAGAUGGAGUUACUAGAAUUUCUCCAGGUCUUUGAAGCCUUCAGAUGCAAGCGCAGAUAGCCCCAAUUAGAUUUAUUAGUUUUCUCAAUGUACAUUAUAAGAUUAGUCAGGUAAAAGAGACACCAUACCUGUCUCUUAGAUGGCUCAGGCUUGACAUCCAAACGCUCACUGAACAAGAGCACCUUCAUUUGAAGAGACAGCCAUCAAAUUAAUGCGGCAACAGUAGCAGUAAAUUACUGUAUGCAUCCAGAUAUAUUCAGCACCGGACAGGAGAAAGGGCAAUUCAAGGGGAAGCAAACUACCUUUUCCACCAAUUGUUGAUUUGGUUUAUCAGUUGCAAGAACUUGCACACCGAGGAUCGUGGCACAUGUGUUUUCAGAAAAGCAGAAAGGACAGGUUACUGCCUUGUACACGCAUCCAUCCUUUGCAGACCAUACACCAGAAUGACAUGAACCCUGGCUGCUAAAUUUGCCAAAGAAAUUCUGGUUGAGUGAAGAAGCAUCGCAUUCUAAUAGUUCUAUCUCUGCUGGAGUUGAUGCUUGAAAACCAUCCUCUGGGAAGCCAAUAGUUGAUAGUCCAUGUCUCAAAAGAAAUGCCAAGUAAAAUUUUGAUGAUGAAGACUGUGAACAAGUAACAAGAAGCUCAUCUUGUUCUAAACCAAGAGCUGUUUUGCAUCUAAUGCAACUAAUGAGAAGCUUUUUUUGCAUAGGCAUCUUUUCUGAGACCUCUUCUGCCCUGUAGUUUCUUUCAAGCUCAACAUUUUCACAUCUUGACAUGCUCAUAUUCUUACAACACAGUUCAGCAUUUCUAUUAAGAUCCGCAUGCACUAUGUUAACAGCAUAAUCAGUACGGCAGUGUGAUUUGCUUGCAGAAUUAGAAUGAUCCGAGUAAGUGCAACAGCUCAUUGGGGAUCUCAACCUUCUCUUUUUCUCACAGUGAGAAUUUACACUUCUGUUGAUGAAAGUCUCAUGACAGUCUCUGUAGGUGGCUCUUUCAGGAGUAGCUGCUGAUGUGGAUAGACAAGAAAGAUUUCGAUUGUUGAUCCCCACUGAGAUGUUUACCUCAGAAUAGUUGCUGGGGCUAGCCACUGGAGAAAUUUCCUCAACUGGAGGAGACUGUGGUGACCUGCCUUCUAAUGGACUUAAGAUUGUCAUCUUAUACCUGUACAUGUUAGGAUAUAGCAAUUUAAAGAAAAAAUGAUGGUACAGUACUAGGAAAAAGAAGCCUGAAAGAUGAUAGAUUACCGAGGCUUAAAAUCAUCCUCUUCAAAAUUGAUAACUUCUGUUUUGACUUCAUAGUUUGCCUCAGUAUCAGCUACACCUUCGGAAUCAGAUUGAACUUUGCAGGCAGGCAGUUGGUAUGCCAUUCGAGGACUGUUGGGAGUCGGAGAGAUCUCUUUCUUUACUAAAAGAGAAGAUCUCGACGAGAUUUUUGAUACUUCUGGCGAUGUAUAACACAUACCCACCUUUUUUUGGUCUGCUGCCACUCCAUCAAUGUUUGGAACUUUCUGACUAAGACAUUCAGUCUUUAUCUUCUGAUUCUUUUGCAGUGCUGAGUGGUUUGACAAACUUAAUUCUGGCCAUGGCAGCUUUCUUUUAUCACUGAGUGAUGAAAGUGCUUCGGAUUCCAACUUAAUCUUGGGAAACAUGUCACGAUCUUUGAUUUUUAUUUUUUCCUGAAGUGAUGGUCAUGUAUUUCAGACAGGCCCAUCCACACUUUAGGAAAAAUAGAUGUGUAACAAUAGCAAUACCUCAGCAUUUUGAAAGAACCUUUGCAACCCAUCUAUUGUAUCCUGAAAGCUAUCAUACUUCUUGAUUGCAUUCCUUAGCCAUUUGGAAAUGUAAACGAGAUUUCUGUCCUCAUUAUAUCGCUCAUCUGUACACAUAACAUGGAAAUUUAGCUUCAAAAGGCACACUCCAUUUACUAAAUAGUCAAAUCAAUUAAAUACCAAAAACUUUACGAAUAAACUUUUCUGUCCAGCCAUGCAAAUCUUAGAUACAGAUAACUUACCAAUCAAAAUUAUGCCUCCAUAGUCAGAUUUAUGACGAAUGCAUCGGCCUAAAAAAGACAAGGACAAUAAUUAGCAAUUUCAACAUCUUCGCCAGAGGAGAUGCUUAACAGGUAAGUCAGCAGUCAAAAACCUGCAGCUUGAUUCAAAGCACGAAAUGCUUGAUGGCAGUACCAUUCGCUCCCACUCAACAAACAUUUUGAUGAUUUGAAUGAAUCAUUAUAUCUCUUUUUCAGCUUUACUUGAACAUCAUUUCUGAUCCAUGUUGAAUCAAUGUUAGUGCGAAACAUAGGAAAACGCAUUGCAUCUCUAGAAAGAAAAAGAAGGAAAGAAACAUACAUAUUUGGAAAUGGAAUGCCAACAAUAACCUUAUGUCUGGUCAAGGAAGCAACUGGAUAUCAAAAUCAUUUAUCAUAUUUACUAAUCAUGCUACAUGAUAGUAGGGGAAAAUGGUUUGAUACUAAACACUUCAGGGCAUAUCAGUUUUAUUUGUAAAAGGACAAAAGGAUACCACAACUCUAGCAUUGUCAUCAGAGAAGUCAAUCCCUUCAGAUACCUGGAAAUAAAAUCAGCAGCCAGCAUAAUUAUAAGCUGGUAUAACCAUAUAAGCACAUAACGGAUUGAGCAAAUUAAAUGAGGGUUUAAGAAUGUAAUAAAUUCAUACAAACAUUUGAUGUAAGAAAGUAGCACCUUCCCACGACAAACUGCAAGAAGAGCGGCUCCUGCUUUUGCAGAUUCCUGUGACGAAUUCUUUGCCAAUCGAUUCUUCACUAUCUGUUUUGCACCACCUCUGCCUUUCUUGACAGGAGCCUUACCAAGGAUAGCAUCAUAGUACCCUUUUAAAACAGGCUCAAGUUCCUCGGUACUUCCCUUGGGCUCUGAAACAAACAAGUCAUAAAUAAAGAAAAUAGAAAACUGAACAUGGCAUAGUACCAUCUUCUAUAAUUAAUGAAAUGAUGUUUCAGCAUACUUCGCGAAAUCUUACCAACGAACACAUGUUUUUGAGCAUUAAGCCGUGCCCAUUGACCUGUUUGAGACCAGCGCACUUGUAAUUUGUCCAACAACUUAUAGCUAGGAAAAAACACUAGAGCACCACCAGGCACAAUUCUGCAUAUUUCUUCUAGUGAAGUUCCAAGUUCAUCCUAUGUAAAAACAAAAUAAUAUUUUCAAAAUAAGUUAAUAACAUAUAACUAGAUUUAAUGAAAAUUUACCUGGAAAGAAGAAUUGUCUGCAGUUUUAUAGCUAGCAUUCAAUUUCCGUCUUGUUGGACCAGAUGAUAGAACAGCUGCAAAAACCUGCAAACCAAGAUAGACUGAAAAACUGCAAAUAACAACUACUGUUUGACAUAAACUAUAUUUGCUAGUCUUUCCAAGUACAAAAGGUCCAUAUCCAGAUCUCCAACAAACUAAGGGUGAGAACUCAUUAGGCAAAAGUUUCUUUACGCUGACAGUGUGAGGCAUAAUUAACCACUAUUUACAUCGAUGAACCGAGAACCAAUUUAUAAAAUCUUUUAAAGAGGCUGCAGGAGAACAAGUUUGUAGCGUAGCAUGGUGGUAAGUUCUCCAGUUGUGAGGUUAGCAACCAGGGCUCGACCCUGGAUCUCAUGAAAAAAGGCCCCUCACUGUGUGUUCCCGAAAAGUACAGGUUAAGACCCAGCUUGUGGCAACGGUGUCCCCAUAAGGAUAAGAGCGGCUUUCGGGUGCCUUUUCUCAACCUUUCAAGUAAUGCCUUUGGGAUGUCUCUCCCCUUGGGUCAAGUUCUUUUUAAUUUAAAGAGGUUACGGACUAACAUACCAACAGCAGGGCUAAUAAAUCUUAAACCAGCUCUAAAUAGAAGUCUAGAAUUAAAACAGUGAGAUACGAGUAAUGCUGUUGUGGACGCGUUUGUGGGGCGGAUAUAUCAGGGCAGGAGGCGCCCUCAGCAUUAGGGGCCGACUCCUGCUCAGUAGGGCUCGGUUGGAGGCUUUUCAGGAGAGGAUCAGCAUUAGUUAGGUUUGGUAGUUUUGGUUGUUAGGCCCUGGCAGAAUAUAAGCUGGGUAGUUCUUCGUGUUUGUUAGCCAGAGAUUGAGUCAUCACGGUUCAUAGCCUCUUCGGAGGGCGAACAAGACCCAAUCUAAGCCAUUGUUACCUCUAAGCUCGGAUUAAUAAAGCUGAUCUCCCUAGCCCAUAUCAAAGGCAUAUCAAGUUCAGGCCAUGUAUGCUAUGUCAAUAUGUUUAGCUUUCACAUAGUAACCAAGCACUCAUUUCAAAUAUAUGUUGGCACAUCAGCAUGCCAAUUAGCAAUAUGCAUCCUAACCAAACUAGGACUGUUCAUUGCUAAUUGUCAUCAGAUAAAGCUUGCAAAUACAGAUUGCAAUUUCUUCUUUCCCUUGGGUCAGAAGAAGAGAAGCAAGCAACAGUGUGAAGUAGUGUAUUUUAUGCCCAGACAUUGCAUUGGAGAAAAAAUGAACUAAUUUCAAUUUGCAGAAUAAAAAACAUUGAUUAGACAUACCUGAGAAUCGACAUUAAUUACAUGAGGAGCUUCCAGGCAAGCCUCAAACUGGACACCAAGUUCAGAUGCAAAUGAACCCAUUGGUGAAAGUGUGCUGCAGAUAUAUGUAGUUUAAGAGCUGUAAAUUAUCUGCCACUGGAGAGAACUAUCAUUGGCAAUUUCAGAGAACCUCAAACAUGGCAUAAUAAAUGAAUUUUUGGUUUGUAAGAUGUCUAUCUCGAUGCGCCAUGUGCCUAAAAGGUACUGAAAAGCCUUUACACUAGUCCACAAUACUGAAAACCCUGCCUUCAGACAAGUUCCAGUCGGCAGAAAUCUGCAUAGUGUUAAUGCUUUAAUGUUGGGACUUACUCGUAGGAUUUAGACGUGUUUCAAAAAAAAAAAGACCUACUCAAGCAAGUUACUAACAGUCACUGACUAAUUCGUCCCCUUUCCAUGAACAAUGCAAAAGAAAUGUUCAGUUAUACUGUUCGAAACCAAUGUGCCAGAUUGAUGUAUUCAGAUUAGCUACCAUCAGCAUGUCUAAUUCAUCUUCUAUGUUUUUUUUUUCCUCUUUCUAGUUUCAUUCACCAUCUGAUCAGAUAUCUGCUUCUUAACAGGGCCUUACUACUAAAGUUACAUUAAAGCAUUUUAACAUCCGAUGUGGGAAAAGGACUGAGCAGACUUACCCAGAUGUCAGAAUUACUGAAAGGGUUAGAUCCGCAAUUUCUCGAAAGACAACAGCAGGAUUGAGACACCAUAAACUCAUUGUGCAUUUUGAAGAAAUUUCAUCCUUGCCUGUGAAUGGUUCAAAAGUCAUGUGAUGAAAUUAGAAAUAUUACUCUUGAAUUUGAUAAUGGAAUAGAACUGGCAGCAUACCUAGAAUUAGUGGAUUAUAUUAAAGUAAGCAACCAGGUUCGUGAUUUGAAUAGCAAUGCCACUAAUGGCUCUUUUACAACACCUAAAGUGCACAAUCUGGAGGAUCAAAUAUUUUACUCAAUGUCCUAUCACUGUACUCAUGUUAUCAGGAAAGAUUUAUCUGGGUUCUAAGAUUGUUUCUUGAUUAAGAAUGGAAAAGAUUUAUUACCUUCCUUUUUAACAAAACGCUGCAAAGCAAGUUGAUAAUCACAUGAAUUACGCCCAUUAUUAGCAAAAAAGUAACUCAAUGAAGAGAAUAGACCUGCAAAAGUUUGAAUAGUAUCAUUGGGUUAUUAAGUGUAAUCAAGAUGAAUAAAAUAAAGUAGUUGCCAGUCUACUACUUACUCUCUAGUGUCAUAGCACGACCACCACUUAAGUGUGAUCCAUCUGAUUCAGUAUCGGAAGCAGCUUUAACUGCCUAAAGCAAGAAUAUGAUAUCAGUAUAUAAGUUGAUAGCCUGAAUGUCUCACAUCCACACCAAAAUAGAUUAAUAUAUGCAAGAGCAACUGCACUGUGAUAUUUGAAAUAAGAAGCACCUUUGUUGCACAUUCUUGCAAUACCGAGAAGUGUGUUGGAGUAAUACCAGCCCGCUCGAGUUCUUUCAUAGCCUUUUCACCAGUCCAACUGAAGAUUACAGAAGGUUAAGUGCACUGUAGGUAGGAAAAACAUACAGUACUGCACUAUAUGUGAAUGUCACUUCAUACAUGACUCAAUAAAUGGUAAACAAUAAAUCAUAUAAGAAUCAAGAAAUGAGUCACAUGCUACGUACUAUGAAGCGGGAUGUCCAAACUCAUGAUUCUGCAGAUUGUCCUCCCGCUCAGAAAUCCAACCCAUAAGACCCUGCAAUAGUACUAAAAGCUUAGGUCUAGGAAUAAUGUUAGUACUAACUAUUAACACUAUCCUUACUUUUCCUGGAAAAGAAAAAAGAAUAGGGCUUUUAACUCUUCUCUUCUGAGAGGUACCUGAAUAACAUCAUGUAGGGGUUGGUAUAUCAUUGCAGCAGCCUCAUCAGUGGCCAAGUUUUGUAGUUCUGCCUGCAAUACUUUACCACAGAGUCAAUUUUAGCAUGCUUUUAAACUUUAACGGAAAAUGAAUUUCAACUGAAAGAUUUUUGCGGUUGACUUACAGUAAAGUGAUUCUUCAUCGACAUCAACACUUCCAGCAUCACGUGCUGUAUCUUCUAUGUUGCUGCAAAAUGAGGAUGCAAGAUGAAGACAAAUAAGCGGGGUCGCCAUUUUGUCACUACAUGUCUAAAACCACUCUGUAGGGAAAUAUUGAGAGCCGAUCACAUAAAAAGGCACGCACAAGAACUAUUCUAAUUUAAUUGAGGAAACCGAAUCAACAAGUAAUUGAAUAGCUAAAAGAGUCAUAUAAGUGAAGUCUUACUGUGCCUCAUCAAGAAUAAUGAUUGAGCCACUGAUAUCAAUGUCCAUUGCCCUCCUGACAAUCGGACUAAUCAGGUAAUUAUAUGGGCAGAAAACCAGCUGUGCUGCUUCUGCCAUGUGUUGUGCAGCAAAGUAUGGACAUCCUGCCAAUAAUGGAAUUAUAGAUAAUUGAAUGGGAAUCAGUAGGGACCAUAUAUAACUGUCAGGUGGAAACAAGUGCCACUAAAGAGACAUGUACCCUUCACUUUCUGGCCAACCCUGACAAGAUCCUCAAUAUCAUGAACUUCAUAGCAGCCACCAAUCUGAAGGGAUGGAUGUCGACUUAGCUUCUGAGCAUUCCUGCAAGUUUAACUCAUAGCAUUAGCAUUUAAAGAGGAAAAGAUGCUCUCCCGGCUAACUAUAUGUUCUGACAUUUAGAAGAUAGGAAAGCUCACUUGAAUUCUGAGCAUGAGGAACCUUGAACAUUGUCGUCUAGCAGCAACUUGCUGAUGAGAGGAAAAACUCAAUUAGAAGUUAGGUUACUAAUGAGAAUGCAAAAGGUUUGAAAUAGAUGCUGUUUUAUGUUAAUUACCAUUGCUCAUCAAUGUUGUCACUCAUGCAAGCAAGCUUAUUUAUGCAGUAAUGCUUCCUUGAGGCCUGCUUUGACAGGGUACAGACUAAUCAUUAUGAACCACAAAUGGAAACAGACUAUGUUAUUGUCGCCCCAGAACAACUAUCAGUUACCAUUAGAAAUCUAGUUCAAACAACAUGCAGAUGGAACAUGGAUUACCAAGAUGGCCAUGCGCACUCGGUACGACGUCUUGCGGUACUCCCGGACAACCUGGGUUAUCUGCGCGUGCGUCCUCCUUCAGAAAUACAACCAACGAAGAAAUCAAAGUCAAAAUCGUCCACUGCCCUCAUCAAUCGAAGUCACAAAGCAGAAAUCCUACGUCGCGUAAUAGAUGGUCGGAGCGUUCUUUUUCUUGGCCGCCUUCUCUGGGAUGACUGAACAAUCAAGAACCCCCAAAAGGCAAAAUGAGCAAACGACAAGCCACGGAUUACCAAGAAAGAUUGAUCCAAGAACCGCCAAAGGAAUUGAAGAGAGAGGAAAGGAGGGAGCGAGGCGCACCCGGCGUCGCCUGCGGCUGGGUAUCGUCGGCGACGAAUCCUCCGCCGUGGAGGAACGGGUCGGGGGCAGUGGCGGGCGCGGUGGGUGGGGAGCGGAGCGGGUAGUGCCGCUGCCAGGCGAGCGCGGAGCAGAGGAGGGAGAGGGACUUGCCGGUGCCGGUGGGAGACUCGAGGAGCGCGUGCGACUGCCCCUGCCGCCGCGCGCGGUCGAGCGUGGCGAUGACCCGCCCCAUGAACGCCAGCUGCGUCCCGUAGGGCUUGUAGGGGAACUCCACCGGCACGCCGCCCACAUGGUACACGCCUCCGUCGGCCCGCGCUCGCGGGGCGGGAGGCGCCGAUGACGACGGCGAGACGAAGUCGUCGGCGUCGGCGUCGACGCCGGCCAUGGCGGCGGCGCCCAUCGGAGGGUGGCUGAGAGGAUUUGGGCGGGGGGUCGGGCGGGAGGAAUUGGGGGGAAAUGCGAAGCUGCUCGAAAAGUGGCUGCGCGCUACCGUGGUGUAUAUGAUACAUUUCACGAGAUGAGCUUGUGCUCGUGGGCUAAUGUUCGUAAGGCCCAACACUAUCUUCUGAGAGGAUUUGGCCCAUGACUCAAGCGAGGCAACGGUUCAGUCAGAUUCAGAUGGCCCAAGCGCCAAACCUAUCUGGCUCCCGGUAGCUGGAUAGCUACUUGGCUUCCGGAUGCUUUAAGAUUCGUGCACGAGCUAGAGAGCGUCUGAUUCUCAUUGUCCUCUUCCUCCUCUCCGUCGUGCGCCACCGCUGCCACCAUUGCUGCGCCUGGGUGGCCGAUGCUCCGCCACUGCUCGCAGCUGGCCCCCUACCCCGCGCAUUGCGCCACCCUGCGCUGCCCGCCUCCUCAGCCACCUCACGGCUGCAGCCGCGCGCGGCCAUCGUGUUAGAAGAAGAGAAGAAAGAAUCUAUUUCAAAGAAAAUGUUGAUCUAGAUCUUGAAAAAUAUUGAAUUUAUAUUUUUGAAAUGUUAAAAAAGGUCGUGAAAAAUGUUGAUGUUAGUAUUUGUUUUAAAAAUGUUGAUUUGUGUUUCUGAAAAAUGUUGAAUCUGCUAUUUUCAAAUGUUGAUUUAUAUUUUUGAAAAUGUUGAAUCUAAUCUUUUAAAAUGUUGGAUUUAGAUCUCUAAUUUGGGCCUAAUCUCUAAUUUAAGCUUGGAAAAUGAUGGAUAGCAAAAUCCACAAUUGAUCAUGUUGUUCAAGUCGCACGUUGCUUUCUACCACAUCAUUUUAAACGAAGUUUUACCGUAUGGGCUUUAAAGCUAUAUCGCUUAACCACCUUCCACAAGCUACGUCCGAGCCCCCUGGCCCGAGUGCGCUGAGCGUCUGCUGCAUUUACCAUGGUCGCUUCGCUUGAUUGGUAGUAACGCUCAGCGGGGCAGCGUCCCAGCUGGGCAGCUAGUGUUAAUACACCCUGCAUAAUCUUGGAAAAGUCACUCCUGGAGAAGGAAUUCGCAAUGCAAUUCGUUACUGUUUGCAGAAAUGCAGAAAAGGCUGUACCGCUGUAACAGUGCUCGUUGGAUUGAAGGUUGACAAUAAAGUUUCAGAGGAAAACAAUCUAUUGUAACUAGUAGUAUCAACAUAAUUAGUGGUUCCACAAUUUGUUUUGUCGGUGAUUUGCAAACGCAAUUUAAUGGCGAUGCUAACACCAUUGGUACAUUUGCACCCUGCUUGCUCGCCAUAUGCGCACAGAAGUCAAAAGAUUACAGCACAGUGACUAUCUCGGACAGAGGAGAACAAACACGGCAGGUUAACAAAGAUAUAGCACCCAACUCAACUCUUAACCGAUCAUGAAUGGUAUGAAUUGAUAUAACAAACCAGAAUGUACACAGUUUACAACAACGCCGUGGCAAAUCCCAGCCGCUUGCCAGGUGAUGGGCGCCGUUUUAUCUCCUCGUCGGGAAGGAAUGACUAUCGUAUGUACAAUGGUACUACAGCACAGUGGAAUUCCACUCCCUUCUCUACAAACUGUACAAAUCACGCUCCCGUUUAUCCGAUAUGGACCUAGAGCUACAGGCCACGGCGCAGCUUUCUCAGUUGUUUGAGGCGCAUCUGAGCACGCUCAAGGCUGGGCCCUUGGUGCGCCAAGCCGUGCCAGGUCUCCGCCUGCCUGCCGCUCAGCAUUUGGUGCCUCACCAGCUCGCUGUGGAGGGAUGCGACGUUCACUAUAGGCACCGUGGUCGGGCGCCCAUGAGCACACUGCAAGAGAGGGUUUUAUUCAGCGCGGAGGAAAGCUUCUUUCCAUAACAGGAACACAGAGUAACAGUGAAAAUAAGAAACCGAACAGCCAGCCAUCCUUACCUGGAAGCAUAGAGAUGUUGCUUUCAGCUCUUCAAUAAUCAGACAGCAUUCGGAUGGUAGCAAGGGGUCACCAAACAUGAUCGCCCCUACAGUAAGCCAAGAAGAAACAUCAACAAGCCAUGUUUUAUCAAAGUGAUAUAUGCAGAAAUGCUUGCAUUAUGGACAACUAUAGGGGGCAAAUAAGUAGUAACCUCUGCAAGCUUUGAAGUUAAGAAUACGGAGAACUGCUGGGGGCAUAGCUGAUGACCCAUCAGUCUCAUCAAGCUGGAAAAGACAGCAAUAGGUAACAGGACUAAAGGUUAAUGAACUAACUGUAAUAAAAUAUCCACAUACAAUUUUUUUAUUGCAGAUAGAAUCAGAUGAAAAUCUGAGGCUCGUUCACUUGUAGAGCUACUUUUACAAGUAUGCGAGGACUUAAGAGGAAUUUAAGUUGCACAUGAUAACAUAGUGGUUACCUGCUGGAUAAACUCCAUGAGAUCUUUCCCUGUCAAAUUGACACCCAAAAUACAUGGAACCUGUGUAGCACAGAUUAUGUUUAGCAUACAUGAACACGGCAUACAAUUUACCUAACAAGGCUCAAUCAGAUACUUGGUUGUAACACUGUUUUCAUAUAUAACUUGACAGAAAUGAGAAGAUCUGGGUUUGAAAUUCAUAUAUUUCUCAUACAUAUUUGACAUGAACCUUUGAAGAUCUUGGUUCACCAUUCCGUCUCAUUCUUGUCAUUACUAUGUGUACAAUUACGGAUAUUAAACAACUUACAUAGGGUUCAAUGACCUACAUGAUUUUUAAAAAAAAAGAUAAUAAAAACAAAUACAAAUCUGUAGACCAUGUUCAGCAUAUUAAAGGAAAACAUGUACAUGACACAUAAUAAAUAGAAAUACAAAUCAGUAGGCCACCAUAUCCACCAAACAAGUUAAAUGGUACGGACAGAAGCAAGGGAGUUCCUUACAGCAACAAGAGUAACAAGACGGGUUUGUCUCCUCAGAAUGUUCAUGUUCCUGAAAUAUACAAAGCAAAUGAUCAAAUGACAGUCAUACAUUUGAUCUAUAUAGAUGAGGUGAAUAGCUUUUGCACUUCAGGGGAAAGAAGCUCCCCAAAAAACCAAAUGCUAGCCAAGCACCUACUUUUUGAAUGAUUCAGAAGAAUUGCUACUACUGCUGAUGAUCCAGCCCCAUUUCCGAAUCUGCUCAGCAUACUUCUGGAACAAUUGAAACCCAGUCUCAGGGAGAGACUGAAAUUUUUUUGGUGAGUACAGUAUUGAGCACAGCAUAUUAGUAUUGAAACAAGUUCACAAAUGCUAUAUUAACAUAAUGCAUCGGAUGCAGACUAACAAACAUGACGUACUAAUUCCUCCUCAGAGUCCAAGUAAGUGACAACAUGGCCUUCUUCUGAUAAAACCUGCAUGAUCACUAUAUAAGUAUGAAAGAGUAAAAUAUUGUUGUUCCUGGCCACUGUAAUAUUAACAACCUUUGUACGUAGCUCCUCUAAACGUAUCCUUUCAUCAGCUGCAUGCUGUAUGAUAGUAAAAAAAAGAGGACAUAAGUACAUGGCUUGCUACAUCUUUUGAAAACAUAAAAGCAUUUCAUCAGCAGUUCAGCACAUGUAUUACCUAGUUCUGAAUGAACAUGAACAUAAGAAACGCAUGUUCCACAUUUUGGUAUAGAUAUAUAAUCCAAAUGCUUUAGGGCAUAUUUUAGAAACUGUUUUAUACCAAAGCAUAACAAUAUCUAAAGGUUUAAGUAUUUCCCUGUAAGUAGUUGAAUUUACAUCAGUACUAAUAAAGCUGACUAAAAGGUUUACUGAAUAAAAAGAAAUAAGCAACCAGUAGAGAGCAUGAGCAUUGGCCCAUGAUUUGACUGCUCCAAAUGCAGCAACAAGUAAAAUAUUUUUUAUUUCCAUAAUAUGAUUGUUCCAGCCAAAACAACAAGAAUACUAGAAUAGAUAAUAUGCUAGAAUCUAUUACCAUGGUACCAAGCCCCUUAAAAAUGAAGGUACCAACUGUGAACCUAAUCCCCUUGCAAAAAGGAGAAAAAGUGAACCUGAUCAACAAGGAGGAUAGUUUCCCCAGAUAUCACAGGAAUAAAUUUCUUGUCCAGCUGCAACAAGACCCUUGCCUCCUCAAAGCAGUUCUUGUCAACACAUUCAGGAACUAGCGAGCUACAAGAGAGAUGUAAGGUCCCAGAAGAAAUGCUAAGUACAUCAUCAUAGCAUCCACCAAAAGAACCAUGUGGCAAGUUCGAAGCCUGCAUAGGGAGGUAAAGCAGUAAGAACAUAACAAGAUGCACAGUAGCAAGGACAUAUGAAACCUCUAUGUUAGUAUCCCAACUCCGAUGCAUGCUUAACUGUAUGCUGAACAGAGCCAUCUCGCCAUUUAGUUAUCUGAGCAGGCGAAUCUUCAAGCCCAUCAGAACAGGCAUCUUCAAAUUUCACAAAUCCAUUCGAGCUGACCCAAACAAGAUAAGUGUAUAAUAACAGACUUAGAUAUUUUCAAGUAUUAAAGGUAUAUCCAGGAAACUAGGCUGGAUGAGCUUACCUGAAACUUAAGUCUGGAAAUUCACUGCUAUCUGUCUCGGGAACAGGCUGGGUUAAACUCAUACGUGAGAUAUCCACAGGUGUAGAUGCAUUGUCUACAUUUGAUUAGAAGAUGUAAAGUUAGCACUCAUAUAAAUGCAAUUCAAAAGAAGGCAAUGGUUGUAGGAUGUACCUUCGGGGCUGUUAGUGCAGAUAACUUUAUCGCCAUCUAUGGCCAAUUUGCUCGGUAGCUCAUUUAAUCGAAAGAAUUUCUGUUUCGCUCUAUAAAAUGGUGGAGCAGAAUGACUCCUAGAUCUACUGCCCUUGGAAGGCCUGGAUCUCUGGUCCAGUCCAAGGUUGUGUUGAUUCAGCAGAUCUGGAGUAAGUGUGUUGGCAUUUGCCAUAUUGGAAGAAAGGACACUCAAAUGGCAACCAUUAUCACUUCUCUCAGGAGAAAUAUCAACUGAAAAUCUCGUGUCAAAUUUUGAUUUCCACAUUAUCAGGUCAUCUUCAGAACCAAACUGGUCGGUUGAACCACAAUCCUUAUUGAAGUAAUUAAGCGGCUGUAUUGCAUUAUCAAAGUAAUCCAAAUUUUUAGUUCCUUCACAUAUUAUUGAUGAAACAUUGCUAAAUCUGUCCAAAGCAAAUCUAACAUCGCUGUCAAUAUUUUCACAGUUCCAAGAACCAAAGCUUUUAUCUGAUUUCUUUUGAAGUAUCAAGCCAGUCCUUGCACGACUGCAAGGUGUAUCAGCCAACGAGGAUAGACGGGAAAAAUGAUGGAAAGUAUCCCCAAUGCAGGGCCUAUCCAUCAAGUCACUGUUCCACACAGCAUGAAUAUCAGGGAAGUUCAUCUGGCUUACAGUAUCAGCUUCAAGGCCUUCAACACAUCCAGCUGCAGUCCCUAACUUCUUAUUGAUGCUGCACUUUCUCAAAACUCUACGGAAGCUCCUGGAGGUGUUAACAUCAUUAUGAUAAAAUCCAUCACUGAACUGUAACAUCUCAGGGAAAGAAACAUCAGUAAUUGUAUCUGUAGCUUCAUUGAGUAGGCAAUCCCCAUUUGUUUUAUCAAACUCAACAUAUGAUCCAUCCCAGCCAGAUGUGAGUGCCUUUACAUUUGUUUGAUUUUGCACCAAAUCAGAGGUCAUUUUGUCUGACCUAUUGAAGGACCCAAAGCAAGGUUCUUGUAUUUCAACUUCUGAAUCAAUCAACUCAGAUUCUUGUUUGUGAGCUAAAAAACCUUCAGUUGGCACGUCUUCCAACAUUCCAAAAUUACCAGUAUAUGCAUACUCAUGGAAUAUACCUUCUGUCCUUUGCCUUUUCCGACCAGUUGGGUUAACACUUGAAAGAUCGUCAUCUAACUGGGAAGGACCAUCCUCUAACCACCGAUAAUUGAUUCUUUCAGGAGACUGCAUUACCUUAUACCUUAACUUGUUAUCAAUACUGGCAACAUUGUCAGUGAGCCAGGGUGAAUUAGUAAUCCGUCCAGAAAAGGAGACAUGCUGCAUGGAUGGCUCCAUAUCAAAAGAAAAGCAGCAUGAGUCUUUCGGUGCUCCUGUGGCACUCAUAUCACUGUUUGUAUCUCUGACUGCAUUCUUCUGCUGAGUGUUUUUGAAGUGACCAUACUCUUCAUUGUUCUGCACAUUAUGAUGCCUUAGGAGUCCCUUAGUCAAUUUCACUGCAACAGCACCAUAUGAGAAAAGCUCAGAAGCUUAUCAGAUCAAAAGAGACCAAAAAAAAAGUGAAGUAUGUUCACCAAGUCACCAACCAUCAUUUUUCAGAGGCACACUGGUACCGCCAGCACAAACUCUGUCAGCUAAUGGAAAAGGGUACAAUGAUAAUGCCUUCAGAACAAUAAUUGUUCAUUCACAAAGCCAUAAGCAAGGGACAUUGAGGUCUCAUUGUCUAACCUUUUGGUGAUUGCAGUGCAUUCGUCUUCCAGUAGUUUGUGACAGUUUGUUCAAAGAAAAGCAAGACAGUUUGCCAAUCCUAGAGGUGGGAAGAAGUGGGAGAUUAAAUAGCCAAAUAGCAAAGUAAACUAUUUAGAGAUGAAACCAGUAACAUCAUGUUUCUGAAAAAGCACAAAGACACUUCUACUAAGAGUCAGUCCCACUCAUACAGGAACAUUAGCUACAAAUAAAGCUUACUACAAACAAGGAAACUCAAAAGCAUAGAGUCGUAGUGAGUCACCUUGAAUUCCACAAUGGUUUUUGUAGGCUCAAAAUGUAGAUCGUAGCUAGAUCUAGGACAGCAAAAGUUCAGUAGAAAAGCAGGGUAUAUAUCAGUAUUCUGCCUCUUCCUGCUCUGAACAUCAAUUUCUUCAUUCGUUCUCAUAAUGGAAGAUUGAAAACUAGAUGCCAGAUUAUUGAGCAUAUUAUGAAUCGGGUUUCUAUUCACGAAUCUUGAGUUGAUGUCUUCCAAAAGUCAAGGAUGUUUCCAAGAAUUUGGAAGAUAGUAAAUAAAAGUAGAUAACAGCAAAUUGGCGAGGAGGAUACACAAGUAUUGAAAAUCCUGAAAAUAAGAAUUGCACUUUGCUGAAAAUACUUUUAUCAAAAUAGUACUUCAUAGCUUAAAUAAUGGACCUUACCUUCGUACGAAACACAUCUGCAGGUCCAGAUAUGUGCCCUGAAAGAACCCAGCCCUGGUCAGAGGCAGAUAUCUCAUGGAGACAUCUGGAGACAUCAUCCCCGAAACUUUUUGAUAUAAGAGGCAAAGGGGAUGACGAAAAAGCUGUGUAUAGCAAUUCAUCUUCGCUGUAUUAAUGAAACAGGCAUGUCAAUAUGCUUAGUACAAGUAAAAUCAUAACCAAGCUUAGCACAACACACAACCUGUCAAUGUCAAGGAGUCUGAUUGAAAUCUGUGGAUGAAUAAGCGCAAUUUGCAGGACACACUUCUUCACAUGAUGUAAUUCUCUUUUCUCACUACAAAAUAUGAUAUGGGGAAAUAUUAACCAAAUGAUCUAUUGAACAGAGCUGUGAAUAAGAAGAGACAUAUGCGUAUGAAUAGUAGUAAUAAUUAUCACAUGCCUAGAUUGUAUUUGUUUCCUCCGUACUGGUUGAUUGUAAAAAAGCUCCCGAACAACAACUGCAAAGAUAAAAUGCCUGAUAAUAGCUCAAAUAACACAGGAGAAAUAUAAGUAACACACAUGACUGGGGUCUUGGAUAGACCGUUACAAACUCACUCUUCACAUUAUUACAUAUAUAUAGACACUGCACUGUUUCCAGGAGAAAAGUAGAACAGAUACCUGUGGUGCCAACAAUUUCCCUCUUGUCAUCUAUUCCCAGAUGUAAGCAUUUAGAUCCCUGUGCGAUUGUCAAAAGAAUUCAGAUGGACUAGCCAUGGAUAAUCAAGAUAAUGUACAUCAUUAAAGAAGUUCAGUUUUUCGGUUGUGCCUUUAUUAUCUUGCAAUAUGAAUUUGGUCUCCCACGAGCUUUCGUCCUGACUUCAACCACAGAGAUAUCAGAAAGUGAUGCAAGUGCUUCUCCAUUUAGUCCAAAACUUCUAGGACUAAGUUCCCCAUCCUCCAUCACAUUAUGAAAUUUGGAUGUUGCUGUUAUGGCAGAAGCGAAUUAUACAUCAUUAGCACAGUUAGAACCACAUAAUGCCAUUGAGUAUAUUAAUUCUUUCAAAACCUACACAUGUUUCAGGUAAUGGACCUAUACUUAAUUAAAAUGAAUGGCGCAAUCAGUUUUAACAAUGAUGGCAGGGGUCUGCUUGUUAAAUAAAUAGGUACAGUACUUCUUAAACAAACAACAACAUGAAUGUCAUUUUCAUUAUUAUGUCCUAAGCAAAUCAAUAACUCCAUAUUCUACAUCUGGCGUAAGUGAAUAAGAUGACCAUCCAGAAAACCAUUUCUUUAUGUUGCAUCACUUGCAACAAUGCAAAGUAACAUGACAAAAAAAGUACCAUUGAAUACAGGAAAACUGGAAAAGACAUGCAAUUAAAUAAUAAUAAUUCUGGCUUACUAUAUUUUUCGCCCAAGAGAACCAAUUCAUCUCGUGUAAUACCACAACCUGCGAUUUGUACAACAUCGCAAUAAGUUUUUUGAAAUGAUAACCUCUUUAAGAAUUUUUUUCCCAAAAAGAAACAGGGAGAGCAUAAGUGCAUACCAUCAUCUUCCACUUUUACAAAACAUGCUCUGAUGUUUAUUGCAAUGUCAAUCUGAUAUUGAUACAGAGUAUAUUAAUGAUGACACACAACAAGAAGAUAUCAUAUAUAUUAUAUGUUGCUUAUUUUCCCUUUUCCAUAUCGGAAAGCAAUACCUUGCUCGCAUUCGCAUCGAUGCUAUUAUAUAUCAAUUCCUCAACAACCCUUGGCAGGUCAGACAGAACAAUGCUUGAACGCAAGGAGCUAUGAACGCUCUUCGGCAAGCGCUUUAUGGUCUGCAUUUACUCAUACUGGGAAAAGAAUAUGCUGAAAUAGGAAAAUGCCCAAUGAUCAAUCAUAUGCAAGGAGAAUAAACAGGAAAGGUAAUUUCAAAAUUGCAGUGUUAUAAGUAGGUUUCUUCAGGAAUCAGGGGGGCGGGCCCAGCAUGUGGACAUGGGUGUGCACAUGUACACCCGAUAGUUUUUUUAAAAAAACGAAGUUUAACAGUAAAUACAUGGUAAGAUGCGAAUACAAAUAGCAUAGAUUAGGGUUUUGGGUGUUCGAUAUCGCACAGCAGGAAGGGAAUGAAAGGGAAUGGGCGACAACGGUGGCCGACCCAGUAUAGGACAUGGGUGUACAUUUUUGCACAAAAAAAAUCGAAAAUCCAUGGUCAGAUCAGAAUACAAAUAGCACACGGGGUUUGGGUGUUCGUUUUCGCACUGCAGGAAGGGAAGGGAAGAGAAAGGGCGGACAUACCUUGUCGGCCGGCGGAGCGCCCGACGAAGAGCGGGCAAGGCGGCGCCACUCCCCUGUCGUCGCCGCUUGGAAAGGAGGCCGAAAGAGAGAGGGAAGAGAAGAGGAAGGGGAGCGCCGCACGUCGGGAGGCCCACGAGAAGCCCGCCAGGCGGGCGAAAGGCUCUAGUUCGGCUCGGCUACCAGGCAGACUGGCAAUCAGGACUCAGGAGAGCGAGCGAGCGGGCGAGGCAAUCAGGAAUUCAGGAUGGUGGCGGUGGAGGGGAAGGGGAGGUGAGGCGGGACGUUGGGGCAGGAGUACCAGACGUCCUCCUAGGGGCAUAGCGGCAGCAUCAUCCUACGGUGACCGGAGUGGCGCCGCCAGGUCGCCAGCCUGACGAACCCGAGUCGGAAGGAUCGAUCCCAGGAGACGAUGUGUCUCUCCUGUGAGCCGAGCUAAUCCCUGCCUGAGUUGAGCCGCAUCGCAUGCAAGACAUUCAGGCAUGCAGGGCUCUUCCACACGAGGCGUCGAAUCUGCUGAACGUCCACAUUCAGGCCGGGGCUGCACGAAGGGCGUUUUGCAGCCCUCCUGCACCAGAUUUUUUUUGGCUACAAUGAAGGUCAGCAAAAUAAUGACAAAAAAACAACGAGUUUUUUGGCUAUACAAACCACCAGAACUACUAGUUCUGUCAGAUUCGACCUUUGAAAGCCUUCCCUAAGAACUCAUACAGCAAAAUCAUACAGACACUGACACUGUUAGGUUGGCACACUGUUAAACCGAUUGCCCACGCCAAGUAAAUCAUACAUACAGUGUUAGGCUGGCACAGAUGGCAUCAGAUAGAACUUGUUCACGAGCAGAGUAGCAGCACGGAUGGGCUUAAACUUCACCUCACGUUGUCAGAAAAAAAAGGCAUAUUGGUUCUGAAGAUAAAACAACACCAGCAAGCAAGCUCCAAUGCGGUGUAGCACGCUGGUUCUGAGCCGACAGGCAGCUUUACAGCGCACAAUUGCACAAUCCAUUUAGCAACUAGUUGAAGAAGCACUACACUGCACCGCACUGCAUCUUCUCAGCUAAAGGAAAAGGUUGUUGGCCAGAUCACAUUACCAAAUAAUAAUCUUACACCAAUAUUUGGCCCUACUAACACACGCAGGUUAACAUCGCAUUAGCUCUGCACCUGAAACACACUAGUGGAACACCUGAUACAUCAGAACACCUGAUACCACGAAGAAAGAAGCUGAAGCAUCAUGCCUCAUCAAGCUGCACCAAAAAAACAUAGUUCCUGACUUCACGGCUAUGUUACGUUAAAGUCUGUGGAUAUCUGCAGUCCCGGUCACAAAGAGUCCUCGAUCGCGAGCAUACUUGGUAUGUAUAAACUUCUAUUGGUUAGACUUCCUGAUCUCAUCAGAUCAAUUAAGCCAUGGGUGUUUCAAGCACUGCGCAGCAGAAGGCCUGUCCUCCGGUGUAAAAUCUAGUAUUGGCCGAAGAAAAUCAGCAAACCCUUGGGCGUCAGUUUCAGUGAAAUUGUACCUUUCAACAAGUACACAGUCCAGGGGCCAGAACUUCAGUCUCCGGAUCCUCUUUAAAUCACCGUGCCGAUCAAAGUAAUCCUUGGAACGAGUUCCUGAGGUAGCAAUCUGAAAGACAACAAAAAUAAAAUCAGAGGGAAAUUCAGAUAGCUGACUAAAGAGAGAAUGAGAGACUGAUGUGACCUUCCGAGGCAUCUUUCCUAGAGUUUCCAUCAUCAGAGCCAAGUGGUCCUAUAGAUAGAUUACAAAAAAGGCUGAUGAAUUGAUUGAUUGAUGAUAGCAAACACAUAACAGCAAACUUGAUAAACAGGACUCAUAGACCAAUUGAGCAGGUAUCAGAAUAAAGAAGUUUGUACAUACAACUAAUUAUUUUUCAGUUCAUCGGAACUUUAACUUGUCCUAGGCACUACAUCCGGCAACCAGAAUCAUAUAGUUCUAUUCUACCUUUUAUCAAAAAAGAAAAGGUCAGUACAGAUUACAGACAGAACAGCUCAUAAGGCCCGUAUUUGUGUAACCUUCAAUAGAAUUCCACAAAAAUCUAGUUCUUGCUUACAGUCAUGAUACAAAAGGAUUCUAAAAGUUCAGUUCUUCGAAUGAAACUGCAUACUGUAAUGGAGGUUGCUUUUCAAGAUCACAAUAGAAAGGAACCAGAAGUAUACUGCCACAAGAAAAAAA
rnacentral:lncRNA from 1 species